rnacentral:lncRNA from 1 species
GUAACACGACCACCAUGGAAAGCUCCGACUUUGCGUAAGAGCUCAUUGGACUGCUUCAAAGCGGUCUGGCCAACGAAAGCAGAUUGUUGGAUAGCAGAGGUUGCCAUGGUGCCUAAGGCUUUAGGUUGACUUGGUUUGUUUGCCGAUGGUUAUUGUAGUCUAUUUUGGUUUGGAGGAGAGAAGGGGUUAUAAUGGAAAUGAGAAGAUGUUGUGGAUCAGGAAAUGUACAUGUCAGCAGCAGUCUAUUGGUUGCUGCAUUGGUGUGGAUUUGCAAUUGGAUUUUUUGGAGAGUUGUAUAGGUUGAUUUUAUGCCGCGUGGAUUUGGAAAAAUCUUCUUGAUGUUUUUGGUGGUGAAGCUAAAGCCAUAUAUAUAGCCACUUAACUCUGCUAAUAUUUCUCAUGUUCUAGUAUCUCUUGUAUCAUCCGUAUAGAUAUAAGCAGCUAUUAGUGAAUAAUAAAAAUAUCUUUUAAAAGGUUAAAAUAAAUAAAAUUAUUCAAUUUAAAUAUAUAUAAACAUAUAUAUUUAUUUAGAUUUAAAUUAAUAAAUAUGUAAGAAUAGAGUUUGGCAUAAUAAUUUUAUUAAUUUAUUUAAAUAUAAAUGGACUAAAUAUACAAAAAAAAAAUAAAGUUGGUUAAUAUUAAAUUUUGAACCUUUUAAUUGAUUUUUUUAAUAAAAUUUACUAAUUUAUAGAUAAAACUAUAAUAAAUUAAUAUAUAAUAGAAAAUUUAUAUAUAACUUUUAAAAGUUGUACACUUAAAAACAUAAUCAUCUUUCUUUAGGAUACCACUAUUAAUACAUAUUUGAGUUUGAAAUUAUGAUAACUUAAUAGGGUGACUCACAAUCAUGUCUACAUUAUAUUUUUUAAAAUAAAAAGAUGUUUAUCAAAAUAGAAUUAUAACUAACAUUUGUAUAAAAUUAAAUUAAAUUAUUGACAACGUAAUAAUAAAUUUCAUAGUUAGAAUUAUAUAAAUUAUAUAAUCUAUUAGUAAAAAAAUAAGUAACUUCUAUAUUUGCAAAUAUCAUUUUUUUUGUAAUAUGAUAUUUUAAUUAUACUUUUAAGUUUUGAAAUUAUUUUAAUUUACAUGUUAAAGCACAAUUCACUUAACGUCCUAAAUAAUUAAUAUUACAAAUAAUAUAUAAAAUAGUCAAUAACAAUUCAUGAUAAAUUAGCAAAUUAUGAUAGACAAGACAAUGAUCACAAGUUUCUUCUUCAAAAUUUCACUAUUUUCAUACAUAUAAGCAGCUAUUAGUGAACGAUAAAAAAAUAUCUUUUAAAAUUUUAAAAUAAAUUAAAUUAUUCUAUUUAAAUAUAUAUUUUUUAAAUUUAAAGAAAUAUUUAAUAAUAGACUUGACAUAAUAAUUCACUUUAAAGAUAAAAUAAUAUAAAUAUGAAAUCUUAUUAAUUUAUUUAAAUAUAAAGGAAUUAAAUAUAUGAAAAAUAAAAUUCCUUAAUUUAAUUAAUAUCUAGUAGGUUAACUUACAAUUAACUAAUUAAAUUUUAAAAUUUUUAGAUUAAAUUCUUAAUAAAAUUCAUUACAAGAAAGUUUUAACAUUUAAUAAUUUAUAGAUAUUGGUGGAGCAUAUGGAGCCUGUGACGGUUGCUAGAUAUGGGAACGGGGUGGAGGAUAGGUACUGGCGAAGCAGUCUCAAUUUGGCAAGAUAAGUGAUAAUGUGCUUGAUCAAUAUAUUUUUAUUAUUUAUUGUAACAUCUCAUGCUCGGUUCGGUAACCGGAGUCGAACAAAAUAAUGUUAUUACCAAAUAUUUAAAUGAUUUUGAAACAUUCAGCUAAUUGGAAUAUGCAACAACAUGAGUUGAUAGCUUAUUUUGUUUUUGGCACUUACUUAAAAGUUUACAAAAUAUAUAUUUAAUCCAACCGUACAUACUGCCUUGUGUUUAAAAGAGUUUCGACUAAAUAUAGUAAAAUCAGAUUCUUAGUUUACUAGCGUGUGGACUACCACGAUAUGUACAUGUUACAAAAAUACAAUUAAAAGGCUCACAACUAAAACUUCAGCUUUUGGCUUAGUCCUUUUCCUAUCGUUCAAAACGGCUAUUGAUACCUGAAGAGAUAAAUCAAGAAGCAUGGUAAGUUCAAAAUGAUCUUAGUGAGUUCCCAUGAUGUUUACUUGCCCCCACAUACAACUUGCGUGGAAUAUAAGAAACGCAUAAGGACAACUAAUACGUUAAACAUUUCACGAAAGAAUAUAAGCAACAAGCAUACAAUACACUUCGCUCAAAUAAACAGUUCACUUUCACUCUCUGCAAACAUAUGUGUUACGGUAAGUAUAGUUGAAUUUACCCAAUGCAACCUAUACAGGUGAAAGAUCUUAGUGGAGUCAUACUCUGCUAAUACACACCAGACACAUGCCUGUGGAUUCAUGUCCACGGAUACAUACCUGCAGACUCAGGUUUGUGGAUUCAUACCUGCCCUCGUAUAUACAAAUCUAUUCUUAAAGAUAAUUCUUGCGGGCUUACGUCCGAUGAAUAUUUCUCAUGCAAUUGUGCUUGGAGAACUUAGACUCCCAGACUCACACUAUGCGAAUUGUUCGUGCAGACUUAUUUUCAUUAAUUUUCAUAUAACGGAGUCCCAGAAGACCGACUUAGCCUAGGAGCUUGAGGACAAGUCCUACAGACUAUCUUAGAUUGUAUUAUAGUCCUUAUGGACUCAUACUUGCAGUUGAUCCGGUGAACUCAUACUUGGAUGGUAAUCCAGGCGGACUCUUGUUUGAAUGAUGGUCUUGGUGGACUCACAACCAAGGAUUCUCUUUUAGAGAAACCAUUUGCGAAUACAUACUUAGUGAAUUUGUACACGUAGAUUCAUUCUGGUGCAGACACAUGCUUGUACACUUAAAGACAAGUCCUGGGGACUAUCAUAAACCUGUAUAUGUAAGGACAACUCCCAACGGAUUGUCAUAACUUGUGACUUGGAGACAAAUCCCACCACAACGCCACUCAUCUUUCAAUUAACAUCCUUCCACAACACCGAAACUUCUCUUUCAAUUAAAAUCUUGCCACAACGCUGAUACUUCUUUCAAUUAACGUCCCGCCACAACACCGAUACUUCAUGUAACACCCCUCACCCAAUCUGAUCGCUGGAUCCAAGUUUCAGGAUGCUACUACAAUUAUCUGAACAUUCACACGCAAAUCAUAACAUUGAAUUCAAUUUAAGUCAACAAGUUGUCACUACAACAAAACAGGUUUUUAGCGGCAUUUUUUUGGCCCUUUAAGCGUUGCUAUAAUUUUGUGGCGUUUAUGUGGACAAAAGCCGCUAUAGAAUAUGAUAUUUAGCGGCUCUUUUUUUACAAACGCCGCUAAAAAGCAUGACCUUUAGCGACGAUUUUCCCAAAAACGCAGCUAAAAAAUAUGACCUUCAGUGGCACUUCUCUCGAAAACGCAGCUAAAGAACAUAUGCUAAAAAAUAUAACCUUCAGCGGCGUUUUUGGGUGAAAAAUAAAAAAAAUCAAAAUAUCAUAAAAACGCCACAAAUCCAUUCCUAUCCCUUUACCUGCUUUAAGCAAAUCCUUUAGAAAUGUUGUUAUUAUUACAUACAUCACUCCAUUCUUUGGUUAGAGAAUGUAGCAGAAGUGGAAUUCCACCAAUUUAGAAAUGCAUAAUUUAAUUUGAAGACGUAUUAAAAUGGAAAUUCAUGAACAAGAAGAUCAAUGUUUUUCACUAUAUCUCAUGUAACGAGUCAAACUGCCUUUGAUUACAUAAGAUUCCUUUAAAAUUAAAAAAAAUUCAAACUAGUUCAUAUCAACUUGCUCAAGUUGUAUGUAUGACUUGCAGAUCAACACCUUAUUUGAACUUACAAUUCUAGGAAAGCAUAAAAUGUAGUUCCAUGAGCAUGCAUUUAAAGUGGCAAAAAAAAAUUUACUGAUUACAGUGACAGUCUAAGCUCCAAAUCUAGCUCUUGUGUGUCACUUGAUUCUGAAUUCUGACUGCCCGAUCCCAAUGAGUUGCUGCAAUGUUUCUUGCUCCUUGAAUGUGAAUCCUAUAAGAAUGUAAGGAACUAAAACAAGUCAAAUUUUAAAACACAAUCAUCACAUGGCACAUAAACUAAAAAAAGGAAGGAUAAUAAUUUAGAAGAUAAAUUAAAUAAUUUAGGAGAUAUUAAAAAUUUAGACUUAAACCAUGAGUCUAAAGAAAUAUUAACUAGUGUUAAUAAUAAAUUAGAUCAGGUUAUUAAUAAUAAUAAUAUGGAGUCUGAUAUAGAUUUAGGUCAUUUAUAUUAUGGUAAUGGUAAGGAUAAUAUUUUAAUUUUAUCUGAAGAAGAAAACACUUCUUUUGAUGAGUCGUCAUCUCUGUUAAAAAAUUAUAAAAAAACAUAAAAUAAAAAAAAGAUGAUAAACAAAAAGAAUAUGAUUUCCAGCCCUAUAAAACCCUUAUAGAACAUUGGAAAGAAAAAUUUACUACUACUAAUGAUCAACUAGAAAGAGUUGAAUAUUUAAAAUUAAUUAAAGAACUUUAUGAAAAACAUAAAGAUUUUUUUAGUAUGUUUAAUUAUCAUUAUAUGUUAAAAUAUGAUGAUAGUAGCAGUUCAAGUAAUUCUGAAAAAACAGAAUUAUUUAAGAAACAAUCUGAUGAAGAAAAAACUUCAACCGAUCAGGACGAAGACAUAAAAGUCUCAACUUAUAAUUCUGAUGAAGAAACCACUUCAUUUGAAGAUGUAGACGAAGUAAUAAAUAUUCCUGAACCAAUGGAUACUGAACCAACAGAUCCUUAUGGAAAAAGAAAAAUUGAGUCAGAUAUUCAAACAAAUGAUUAUCUGAUUAAAGAUUUAAGUAAAGUUCAAUAUACAACCAGUAUGUUGACUAGUAAUAUAAAAAAAAUUAAUUGAUGAGAAAGAUCCUAAAAAUAUAAGAGAAUUUAUUAAUAGAACUUUACUAGGACGGUUAGGUGUAAAACGUAAUACUCAUCAUAGGCAUAAAAAGAAAAAAUAUAAUAAACAAGUCAAAGGGAAACUAGAAAAUAAAAAAUUUUCUGGUCAUAUUAAGAGUCAGUUUUCUAGAAGAAAAACUUCUAAAGAACUUAAAGAUAUUUUAGAUAUUAAGAUAGGUCAUAUAGUCAAAAACUUUUCUAACAAAAGAAAAGAAGUUAGAAAAAGAAUUAAUAGUCUUGAAAAACAAGAUUUAGAAGUAUGUUUUCAAAAGAAAAUAAAUCCUGAAGAAAUGUUAUAUGAGUUAAUAUCAGAAACAGAUUCUGAUAAUAAUGAUGAAUAUAUAUUAAUGUUUAAUAUAGGAAGAAGUUCUAAUAAUUAAUUAGAAGAAAUUCCGAAUUCUGAAAAACAGGAUAUUAAAUUAGGUAAUUUAAUCGCAGAAGAAAAAGACUUUUCUGAUGAAAUUAUAGAAAAAAUUAAUAAAAAUCAUAUUUCUAAAGAGGAAAUAUAUAAGAUCUCUAAGUUUAAAUAUGGACUCAGAGACAUAUAGAAAAAAUUAGCGGUAACACUGACGCUAAGGAUACAAGAGAAGGAUUAACAGAAAUCCCUCUCUUUACUAAAGAGAAAAUUAAGAGGAUUAGAAAGAAAUAUCCUCAGGUUAGAUAUAUACAUUUAGGUAUAAUCAUGAUUACUAUUAGAGCCUUAUUUAGAAGAGGUCAUGAUAUUCCUAUAAUAGCUGUCCUUUUAGGUAAAAGAUUUGAAAAUCCAAUAAAAGCACUUAUUGGAGGUAUUCAGUCUAAUUUACAUACAGGUGUAAUAGGAUUUAAAGUUAAACCAAAUUAUUUUAUUUCCAUUUCAGACCCUCUAAUAGAAGAGUGUCUUUGCCUUAGGAUUCAGACAAAAAAUUCUGAUAUCAAUGAUUUAGUAGAAGAUCUAGCAAUUAGUUGGAUUUCUAUUAAUGAAUAUACAAAUACAGCAGAAGUAGAAAUAAAAGAGAUUAAUAACAAAAUUAUUGAAAUCUUUGAACCAAACAAGUUCACUACUGAAAUUCAGCCGAAAUUAUUAGAUCUAAGAGAUCUGUCAAUUCCAAGAGAUCGGAUGAUGGAAAGAAUCAAUAGUUCUAGUACUUCUAAACCAGUUAGUACUAUAGAAUAUAUGUCAUCAGGCAAUAAAUUGUAUUUUAAAAAUAAUUGUAUAACAAAUACAAAUGAAAAUUUAGUUUUACCCUCUAGUUCUCAACCAGAAGAAGAAGAAGAUAAUAUUAGUUCAAAUAGUACACCAAUAGGAAUUAAAACUGUUCAAAUUCCUAAAUUUCCUACUGAACCUAGUAAUAAUUCUAGAAAAACUAGACUGGAAGAAAUUCAAACUUCAACAAUUGAUAAAAAGUCAAAAGUUGGAAUAAAUAUCAAAGUUACAUUUCAGUUUAGAAAAUAUAAAAAAACAUUCUCUAAAUGUUUUGAUUGAUACUGGAGCUACAAUCUGUAGUUGUAGAGAAAAUGCGAUUCUUGUAGAAAAAUGAGAAAUAAUGAAAAAACCCAUAAAAAUAAUGGGACUAGAUGGUAGUAAAACUAUUAUAAAACAUAAAGCUAAAAAUAUACCAAUCUACAUAAACAAUGUUAGAUUUGUGAUUCCUAAAAUAGUAUGUUUUCCUAACAUGAAGGGAGAUAUAUUAUUAGGUAAUAAUUUUAUAUGUAAGUAUUUACCUUUUACUAUUGAAAAACAUUCUAUUUGGUUAUCAGUAAAAAAAGAUUUUUUAGAAAUACCUCUUGAUAAUAAUAAUAAGAUUGUGUGUAAUAAAAAUUUUACACCAAUUAAACUACUAGAUAAUUAAUAAUUAUUACUAAUGAUUGUUGAUUAUCUUAAUAAGUUCUAUGGAUAGAGGUAAACAGCCUCUAAAAGAAAUACUCGAUGAAUGGACUACUGCUCACAAAAAACCCAACAAAGGGAAAGCAGUAUCGAACUCCAAAAAAGAAUUUGUACCUGCACAACUACCAUUUUAUCCUAAUCAAGGAUAUUAUGUGUCAUAUCCAAUGGUAAACCAACCACUUGGACCAAAUGUUUUAAAAUAUUCAAUGGUAAACCAACCAGUUGGAACCUCUUUUUCAAACAUGGUGUAUCAAUCACCAAUGUUUCAUGAUAUGAAUUUAGCAUCACCAACCAAUUAUACUGAAAUCAUCAAAAGUUCGGAAAAUUUGUUGAAAAAACAACAAAUUGAAGAAGAAAAAAAUCUUUCAAAAAUAAAAGAUUUUUAUAAUCCUGGUUUAUCACCAGAAAAUUAUGACUUUAUAAACGAGAUAUGGAAAACUCAUAUUUCUAAUCAAAGAGUCAAUUUCAGAAGAGCUCUUACCAGAUAUUCAUUAUUUUUAGUUGAAAAAACAACUAAAGAAAAUGAAGCUGAAGAUUUAUUAUUAAAAUCUAUUUUAUACAGAGAUUGGGAUGAAUUCCAACUCUUUGUUAUGGAUAUUAAGGAGAUAAACAAUCUUCUUGAUAUUAUUCAAUAUUUUAUUCAUAAAAAGAAAAACAAUUCUAUUAUGAAUAAAGUAUUUAGAAUAUGUAUGUUUAAUAAAGCUAGGAAAUUUUUACCGGUAGAAAUAUUCACAAAAAUAAAUGAAAUAAUUUGCAGACAGCAAAUUCAAUUUCAAAAAGCUUUUUCAGAAUAUUUUCUACAAGCAUAUGUUUUUAAUGAUUAUUUAGAUAAUGAAUUUCCUACUUUAAAAUACAGAUUAGAUCAUGAACCAUUUGAUAUAACCAAUAUUGAAUGGGGUUUUACUAAAGAAAUAGUUGUGCAAAAUCUCUCUUUUCAUCUUUUAAAAGAUUUUCCAGCUAUUGUAAAGUCAGUUUUACAAAACAUCAUAAACAAUGAUGAUUUUUAUUACUAUUUUUAUAUUGAAAUUAGUAGUCUAAUAGGUAUAGCUGAAUAAGAAAAAAAUUAUCAACCGUAUCAAAUUUGGGUUAUUAAAAAGAUGAUUGGAACCCCCCAAUUAUCUGCUGUUAAUGAAGAUAAAGAACAUUUGUCAAAAACUAUUGAUAAAUGUUAUAAUAAAUUUGAUCAUUAUCAAGUCCAAACAGGAAUUGAUUUAUUAUCACAAGCCCAUUAUCUUCUCCAUGAUGAUGUUUAUAAAUUAUGGACGGAUGGAAGGAGGAUAUUGGCAUUUCCCAAUGGAAACAUCCAGGAGGAAAGAGAUGAAGAAUCUGUGAAGCUGUUAAGAAAGAUUGUUGAAAUGGAGAUAGAAGAAUUUCCAUCUCAUAUUACAGAAAAAAUAAAAAAUAUAUGGGAGACUUGGAACUCACCACCAAGACUUUCAUCAGAUUUUUUACAUUUGGACGAGAUUGAAGAAAUGAAUCUCAAUAAUAUGCAAGAAGGUUGAAGUCAAAAAAGAUGGCAACCUGAAAGAAAGGCAAUCCACAUACCAACAAAAAAGUUUGGCAACGUGGAUAUCAUGAUGACAUAAGCCAUGAUGGAAGCAACCAUGAAGGCUAAUCAAUGACACCCAGAUGCAGACAAAAAGUCUUGCAACGUGGAAGAUUUCAUCAAACCAAUGAUGAUGCAAGCAAUGAUAAAAGCUACAUGACACAAGCAAGUGAUGGAAGCGGUCAUUAAUUCAAGCAUGCAACGUGGAAACAACCAUGACCAUGCAAUUAAAAUUACAAGAAGACAAAUGAGACGUGGAAGCAGCCACAUCCAUUUGAAGCCGAAUCCUUAUCAGAAACACUGUUCGGGAUUCAAAAUACAAUUGUAUAGAAUUUUUAAUCUCCUUUAUAAAUAGGGAGGAAAGUUCAAUUGUAUAGGCAUCAUUUGUUUAUAGUUUACUCUUUAGUUUUCUUCUAGUUUUCUUCUUUGUAAACAUUUUCUUUUUUGUUAAUAAAAGAGUCUAUAUUCCCUUCCGCUCAUACUCUUUAAGUCCCUUCUCCCCCUAGAAUUGGUAUCAGAGGUGCCGGUGUAACGACUUUCUGGAGAAAUAAUAUCGUAAUAUUCAUUGUAUGUUUUUGUCUUUGAUUUACAUUUCUGUUUGUUUCACUGUUGUUUGUUUCAAAACUCAUAUAUCUAUUAUUAUGUCUUCUUGUUGCCGUUGAGUCCAGGGAGGACGUUAAGCGUUGUGUGAAGACGAUAUAGAUAAUAGACGGUCUUAGGUACCCGAGACAAACAUUAUGGAGCAAAUUGAGUGUCAAUUUCAAGAUAAAACUUGUAAUCAUAUUACGCAUAUAGACUCUAGAAAUGAAAACAACAUUUCAUCUCUGAGUAAGGGUAUAAAUAGUCUUGUUGAUAUGACUUCUUUUUAUUUUUCUAAGUUAUGUAAAAAGGUCAGUAAAGUAGAAGAAAAGAUAAAUAAUUUAGGAGAUAUAAAAAAUUUAGACUUAAACCAUGAGUCUAAAGAAAUAUUAACUAAUAUUAAUAAUAAAUUAGAACAAGUUUUUAAUAAUAAUACUGAGUUUGAUGUAGAUCUAGGUCCUUUAUAUUAUGGCAAUGGUAAGGAUAACAUUUUAGUUUUAUCUAAAGAAGAAAAUACUUAUUCUGAUGAGUCAUCAUCUCUGUUAAAAAAUUAUAAAAAAACAUAAAAAAACGUAAAAAAAGAUGAUAAACAAAAAUAAUAUGAUUUCCAGUCCUAUAAAACCCUUAUAGAACAUUGGAAAGAAAAAUUUACUACUACUAAUGAUCAACUAGAAAGAGUUGAAUAUUUAAAAUUAAUUGAAGAGCUUUAUGAAAAAUAUAAAGAUUUUUUUAGUAUUUUUAGUUAUCAUUAUAUGUUAAAAUAUGAUGAUAGUAGCAAUUCAAGUAAUUCUGAAAAAACAGAAUUAUUUAAGAAACAAUCUGAUGAAGAAAAACUUCAAUAGAUCAGGAUGAAGACAUAAAAGUCUCAACUUAUAAUUCUGAUGAAGAAACCACUUUAUCUGAAGAUGUAGACGAAGAAAUAAAUAUUCCUGAACCAAUAGAUACUGAACCAACAGAUCCUUAUGGAAAAAGAAAAAUAGAGUCAGAUAGUCAAACAGAUGAUUAUCUUAGGUCUUUAAAUAAACAGAUGAAAUUUUGGUAAUAAAAUCGAUAAUAUAGCAACUAAUGAAGUAAAACCUGAAUAUCCAGGAGAAACUUCUAACCAACCUGUUCAACAAAGAAUAGAUGAUUUAAAUAAAAGAAAUGUGGCCCAAGGAGGAAUUUAUUUAGAUCUAACUAAUACUCCUAUUUCAAAUUAUGAAAAAACUAUUGAUGAUUGGGCACAAUCUAUGACUAUUGUUGUAAACAGCAACACGUGGUCAAAAGAAAAUUUUUUAAAUUACUUUGUUGGAACAUUUCAAGGAGAUGUUCUACAAUUUUUUAGACGUUGAGAAGAGUCUAAGAAAGGUAAAGAACAAAAGGGGCAAUUAAUCAACCAAAUAGGAACCCCUAAGGAUCUUUUAAAAGGAUUAACCUUAAUUCUAAAAAUAGAAUUUUGUGGAUAUUUUGAUAAAAAAGAUCAAGAUAGUACAUCUAGUUAUAUCCUUUCUAAGAUUAAAUUAUGUGAUAUUAGACAUUUAGAAGAUUUUUCUAAAAAAUUUCUUCAUGAAUAUCAAAAGUUAAAAAUGAAAAUAUAGAAUUUUGGAAAAACCAAUAUUUUCAUAAAUUACCCCCACCCUGGGAUGAGAUAUGUAUAAACAAAUAUGUCUUAUUUAGAGAAGCACAGUAAAACAUCUGGACUUCCAGCAGAAAAUUUGGAUACUAUAGGAAAUAGGAUAAACUUUGCACGUGAAAGAAUAACUUUACAUUGUUUGCAAAGUAAAGCUGCUAAACAAGUCAAACAUAAAUUAAGUGAUAAAUAUUGUAAUAAAAUACUAGAAAAUGAAUGUGAAUUUGGAUGUAAACAAAUAUAUCCUAAAAAGCAGAAAAAAUAUAAAUUAAGAAAAUGGAAACCAGGUAAUAAAAAGUUUUUUGGUAAUAAUAAAACAGUGGUUAGGAAAAAGACUUCUGAACAAAGAAACAAAUUUGUAAAUGUUUUAUUUGUGAUGAAGAAGGUCAUAUAGCUAGCAAUUAUCCUAACAAAGGAAAAAAUGCUAGAAAAAUGAUAAAAAGUCUUGAAAAACAAGAUUUAAAAAUAUGUUUUCAAAAGGAAAUAAAUCCUGAAGAAAUAUUAUAUGAGUUAGUUUCAGAAACAGAUUCUGAUAAUAACGAUGAAUAUAUAUUUAUGUUUAAUAUAGAAUAUAUGUCAUCAGGCAAUAAAUUGUAUUUUAAAAAUAAUUGUAUAACAAAUACAAAUAAAAAUUUAGUUUUACUCUCUAGUUCUCAACCAGAAGAAGAAGAUAAUAUUAGUUCAAAUAGUACACCAAUAGGAAUUAAAACAGUUCAAAUUCCUAUAUUUCCUACUGAACCUAGUAAUAAUUCUAGAAAAACUAGAAUGAAAGAAAUUCAAACUUCAACAAUUGAUAAAAAGUCAAAAGUUGGAAUAAAUAUCAAAGUUACAUUUCAAUUUAGAAAAUAUAAAAAAUAUUCUCUAAAUGCCUUGAUUGAUACUGGAGCUACAAUCUGUAGUUGCAGAGAAAAUGCGAUUCCUGUAGAAAAAUGGGAAUUAAUGAAAAAACCCAUAAAAAUAAUGAGACUAGAUGGUAGUAAAACUAUUAUAAAACAUAAAGCUAAAAAUAUACCAAUCUACAUAAGCAAUGUUAGAUUUGUGAUUCUUAAAAUAGUAUGUUUUCCUAACAUGAAGGGAGAUAUAUUAUUAGGUAAUAAUUUUAUAUGUAAGUAUUUACCUUUUACUAUUGAUAAACAUUCUAUUUGGUUAUCAGUAAAAAAAAGAUUUUUUAGAAAUACCUCUUGAUAAUAAUAAUAAGAUUGUGUGUAAUAAAAAUUUUACACCAAUUAAACUACUAGAUAAUUAAUAAUUAUUAUUAAUGAUUGUUGAUUAUCUUAGCAGGUUCUAUGGAUAGAAGUAAACAGCCUCUAAACGAAAUAGUCAGUGAAUGGACUACUGUUCACAAAAAACCCAACAAAGGGAAAGCAGUAUCAAACUCCAAAAAAGGAUUUGUACCUGCACAAAUAUCAUUUUAUCCUAAUUAAGGAUAUUAUGUGUCAUAUCCAAUGGUAAACCAACCACUUGGACCAAAUGUUUUAAAAUAUCCAACGGUAAACCAACCAGUUGGAACCUCUUUUUCAAACAUGGUGUAUCAAUCACAAAUGUUUCAAGAUAUGAAUUUAGCAUCACAAACAAGUUAUGCUGAAAUCAUCAAAAGUUCAGAAAAUUUGUUGAAAAAAUAAAAAAUUGAAGAAGAAAAAGAUCUUUCAAAAAUAAAAGAUUUUUAUAAUCCUGAUUUAUCACCAGAAAAUUAUGAUUUUAUAAACGAGAUAUGGAAAACCCAUAUUUCUAAUCAAAGAGCCAAUUUCAGAAGAGCUCUUACCAGAUAUUCAUUAUUUUUAGUUGAAAAAAUAACUAAAGAAAAUGAAGCUGAAGAUUUAUUAUUAAAAUCUAUUUUAUACAAAGAUUGAGAUGAAUUCCAACUCUUUGUUAUGGAUAUUAAUGAGAUAAACAAUCUUCUUGAUAUUAUUCAAUAUUUUAUUCAUAAAGAGAAAAACAACUCUAUUAUGAAUAAAGUAUUUAGAAUAUGUAUGUUUAAUAAAGCUAGGAAAUUUUUACCGGUAGAAAUAUUCACAAAAAUAAAUGAAAUAAUUUGCAGACAGCAAAUUCAAUUUCAAAAAGCUUUUUCAGAAUAUUUUCUACAAGUAUAUGUUUUAAUGAUUAUUUAGAUAAUGAAUUUCCUACUUUAAAAUACAGAUUAAAUCAUGAACCAUUUGAUAUAACCAAUAUUAAAUGGGGUUUUACUAAAGAAAUAGUUGUGCAAAAUCUCUCUUUUCAUCUUUUAAAAGAUUUUUCAGCUAUUGUAAAGACAGUUUUACAAAACAUCAUAAACAAUGAUGAUUUUUAUUACUAUUUUUAUAUUGAAAUUAGUAGUCUAAUUGGUAUAGCUGAACAAGAAAAAUUUUACCAGCCGUAUCAAAUUUGGAUUAUUAAAAAGAUGAUUGGAACCCCCCCAAUUAUCUGCUUGUUGAUAUGACUUCUUUUUAUUUUUCUAAGUUAUGUAAAAAGGUCAGUAAAGUAGAAGAAAAGAUAAAUAAUUUAGGAUUUAUAAAAAGUUUAGACUUAAACCAUGAGUCUAAAGAAAUAUUAACUAAUAUUAAUAAUAAUAUUGAGUCUGAUGUAGAUCUAGGUCCUUUAUAUUAUGGUAAUGGUAAAAAAAAUAUUUUAGUUUUAUCUGAAGAAGAAAACACUUCUGAUGAGUCAUCUCUGUUAAAAAAUUAUAAAAAACAUAAAAAACGUAAAAAAGAUGAUAAACAAAAAGAAUAUGAUUUCCAGUCCUAUAAAACCCUUAUAGAACAUUGGAAAGAAAAAUUUACUACUACUAAUGAUCAACUAGAAAGAGUUGAAUAGUUAAAAUUAAUUGAAGAACUUUAUGAAAAACAUAAAGAUCUUUUUAGUAUGUUUAAUUAUCAUUAUAUGUUAAAAUAUGAUGAUAGUAGCAGUUCAAGUAAUUCUGAAAAAACAAAAUUAUUUAAGAAACAAUCUGAUGAAGAAAAAACUUCAACCGAUCAGGACGAAGACAUAAAAGUCUCAACUUAUAAUUCUGAUGAAGAAACCACUUCAUCUGAAAAUGUAGACGAAGAAAUAAAUAUUCCUGAACCAAUGGAUACUGAACCAACAGAUCCUUAUGGAAAAAGAAAAAUUGAGUCAGAUAUUCAAACAAAUGAUUAUCUGAUUAAAGAUUUAGGUAAAGUUCAAUAUACAACCAGUAUGUUGACUAGUAAUAUAAAAAAAUUUAACUAUUGAUGAGAAAGAUCCUAAAAAUAUAAGAGAAUUUAUUAAUAGAACUUUACUAGGACAGUUAGGUGUAAAACCUAAUACUCAUAAUAGGCAUAAAAAGAAAAAAUAUAAUAAACAAGUCAAAGGAAAAUUAGAAAAUAAAAAAUUUUCUGGUCAUAUUAAGAGUCAGUUUUCUAGAAGAAAAACUUCUAAAGAACUUAAAGAUAUUUUAGAUAUUAAGAUAGGUCAUAUAGUCAAAAACUUUUCUAACAAAAGAAAAGAAUCUAGAAAAAGAAUUAAUAGUCUUGAAAAACUAGAUUUGGAAAUAAGUUAUAAAAAGGAAAUAAAUCCUUAUAAAAUUGAAUCUGAUAAAAAUGAAAAAAUAUUUUUAUUAGAAAAUUCUAGAAAUACUAGAAUUGAAAAAUUAAAAACAGUUCUUCAGCAAAUAAAAAUUGGGAAAAAUGAUAUAAUCACAUUUUCAAAUUUUCAAGCUAAGAAAUAUUAUACUCAUAUUGAAAUCACAUUUCAGUUUAGAGAAUAUAAAAAAAUAUUCUUUACACGCUUUGCUUGACACUGGAGCUACAACAAGUAGUUGCAAAAAAAAAUGCUAUUCUUAUAGAAAAAUAGGAAUUAAUGAAAAAUCCUAUUAAUGCAAUUGGAAUAGAUGGUAAUGAAACUAUAAUCCAAUAUAAUGCAAGAAAUAUACCAAUCUACAUAAACAAUGUUAGAUUUGUAAUUCCUAAGAUGUUAUGUUUCUCUGAAAUGCAUGGAGAUAUAUUACUAGAAAAUAAUUUUAUAUAUCAUCAUCUACCAUUUUCUAUAGAUAAAUAUUUGGUUACUUUGUCUGUAGAAAAAUUCUCUAUGGAAAUACCACUGGUAGAAAACCAUAAGUUUGUGUGUAAUAAAAACUUUACACCAACUAGAAAAGAACAAAUUAAACAAAUAGAAACUAAUCAUUGGUUGUUUAAAAUAUUAGAAAACAAUUUUAGUGAUGAACCACUAAAGUUAUGAAAAAAUAGUCCAAGAUAUUGUGAAAUAAAAUUAAAUAAUCCUAAUAAAAUAAUUAGGGUUAAGCCUAUGAUCUAUACUAAACAAGAUAUGGAUGAGUUUGAUGUUCAAAUAAAUGAACUAUUAGAAAAAAAGAUUAAUAGAAAAAACUAAUAGUCCUCAUUCAAGUCCUGCUUUUAUGGUAAAAAAUCAUGCUGAAAUUAAAAGAGGAAAAGCUAGGAUGGUUAUUAAUUAUAAGAGAUUAAAUCAAAACACUAUUUUUGAUGGAUAUUUUAUCCCAAAAAAAGAAGUAUUGAUCAAUCAGGCUAAACAAGCCAAAUAUUUUAGUAAAUUAGAUUGUAAAUCGGGAUUCUGACAAAUCAUGCUAAUCGAUGAGUCAAAACCUUUAACUGCUUUUAGUGCCCCUAAUGGUCAUUAUCAAUAGAGGAUAAUGCCAUUUGAAUUAUGCAAUACUCCACAAAUCUUUCAAAGAUGGAUGGAUUCCAUCUUUAAUAAGUAUAAAAAGUUUUGUGUAGUAUAUAUAGAUGAUAUUCUAGUCUUUUCAGAAACACUAGAAAAGCAUAGAAAACAUCUAAAUAUUUUUUCUCAAAAAUUCCUAAAACAUGGAAUUAUAUUAAGCCCUAAAAAGAUAGAGCUAGAAAAAAUGGGAAUAGAAUUUUUAGGUUUAAAGUUAUCUACAGAUGGUCUUAAACUCCAAGAUCAUAUUAUUGUAAAAAUAAAAGAAUUUCCUGAAAAAAUAGAAGAAUUUCCUGAAAAAAUAGAAGAUAAAAAACAUCUUCAACAAUUUUUAGGAAUUGUUAAUUAUGGGAGAAACUUUUUUCCAAAAUAAUCUGAAAAAAUAGGUAUAUUAUAUGGAAAAUUAAAAAAGAAUAUUUCUUUUUGCUGGUCUAAGAAAUUAUAAAAAAUAUAAAAGCAGAAAUAACUUACAAUCUAAAAGUUUAUUUACCUAAAAAAUGUGAUAAACUAAUUUUAGAAACUGAUGCAUCACAAUGUUAUUGGGGAUGUAUUCUAAAAGCUAAAACAACUAAUAAUAAUGAAGAACUAAUAUGUGGAUAUAAUUCAAGAAAAUUUAAGCCUAAUGAGGUUAAUUAUAUUAUUUAUGAAAAAGAACUUUUAGCUAUUAAAAAAGGAAUAAAAACUUUCUUAUUUAUUUAGCACCUGAAAGGUUCAUCAUAAGAACUGAUAAUCAGGCAGUUAAACAGUUUUUAACUAACAACAGUUUGGAAACUGUACCAAGAAGAAUUAGGUGGUAGAAUGAUUUAUGCACUUUUAAUUUUGAAGUUAUUUAUAUAAAAAGUGAUGAAAGUCUUCUUGCUGAUUAUCUUAGCAGGCCUCAUGGAUAGAGGUAAACAACCUCUAAAAGAAAUAGUCGGUGAAUGGACUACUAUUCACAAAAAACCCAACAAAGGGAAAGCAGAAGCAAACUCCAAAAAAAGAUUUGUAUCUGCACAAAUACCAUUUUAUCCUAAUUAAGGAUAUUAUGUAUCAUAUCCAAUGGUAAACCAACCACUUGGACCAAAUGUUUUAAAAUAUCCAAUGGUAAACCAACCAGUUGGAACCUCUUUUUCAAACAUGGUGUAUCAAUCACCAAUGUCUCAAGAUAUAAAUUUGGCAUCACAAACCAGUUAUACUGAAAUCAUUAAAAGUUCAGAAAAUUUGUUGAAAAAACAACAAAUUGAAGAAAAAAAGAUCUUUCAAAAAUAAAAGAUUUUUUAUAAUCCUGAUUUAUCACCAGAAAAUUAUGAUUUUAUAAACGAGAUAUGAAAAACCUAUAUUUCUAAUCAAAGAGCCAAUUUCAGAAGAGCUCUUACCAGAUUUUCAUUAUUUUUAGUUGAAAAAACAACUAAAGAAAAUGAAGCUGAAGAUUUAUUGUUAAAAUCUAUUUUAUAUAGAGAAUGGGAUGAAUUCCAAUUAGAAUUCAUGGAUAUUGAGGAGAUAAACAAUCUUUUUAAUAUUUUUCAAUAUUUUAUUCAUAAAGGAAAAACCAGUCCUAUCAUGAAUAAGGUAUUUAGAAUCUGUUUAUAUAACAAAUCUAGACAGAUUUUACCAAUGAAAAUAUUCAACAAAAUUAAUGGACUUAUUUGUAAUCAACAGAUUAAAUUCCAAAAAGCUUUUUCUGAAUAUUUUCUACAAUCUUAUGUUUUUACUAAUUUUAUUGGUAAAAUUUAUCCAACUAUAAAAUUUAGAUUGGAUCAUGAACCAUUCGAUAUAACAAGUAUUGAAUGGGGUUUUGUUAGAGAAAUAGUAAUACAAAAUUUCUCUUUUCACCUUUUAAUGGAUUUUCCAGCAAUAGUAAAAUCUUUUUUACAAUCCAUCAUAAACAAUGAUGAUUUUUUCUAUUACUUUUAUAUCCAAAUUAGUACUCUUAUUGGUAUUCCUGAAAAAGAAAAAAUUUUUCAGCCAUAUCAAAUUUGGUAUAUUCAUACUAUGAUCGACAGCCCUCGAUUAUCAGCCUUAAAUGAAGAUAAGGAACACUUGGCAACAACAAUUGACAAGUGUCAGAAAGAUUUUAGCUAUUAUCAAAUCCAAACUGGAAUUGAUUUAAUGGCUAAAGCAAGAUAUCUUCUUCAAGAAAAAAAUUAUCGACUUAGAACUGAUGGAAGAAGAAUAAUGGCGUACUAUUCAAGAAUUAGUGAUAAAGAUGAAGAAUCCAUUUGUCUACUAAAAAAGAUAGCAAAAAUAGAUAUAGAAGAUUUCCCAUCUCAUAUUUUGCAACAAAUCAAAAAUAUAUGGGAAAAUUGUCAUCAAGAUAUAUCUACAAUUCAUCACUAGGGAUGAUGCCAACAAAGAUGGCAACCUGAAAGAAAGGCAAUCCACAUACCAACAAAAACGUUUGGCAAUGUGGAUAUCAUGAUGAUAGUAGCAGUUCAAGUAAUUCUGAAAAAACAGAAUUAUUUAAGAAACAAUCUGAUGAAGAAAAAACUUCAACAAAUCAAGAUGAAGACAUAAAAGUCUCAACUUAUAAUUCUAAUGAAGAAACCACUUCAUCUGAAGAUAUAGACGAAGAAAUAAAUAUUCUUGAACCAAUGGAUACUGAACCAACAGAUCUUUAUGGAAAAAGAAAAAUUAAGUCAGAUAUUCAAACAAAUGAUUAUCUGAUUAAAGAUUUAAGUAAAGUUCAAUAUACAACCAAUAUGUUGACCAGUAAUAUAAAAAAUUUAACUAUUGAUGAGAAAGAUCCUAAAAAAUAUAAGAAAAUUUAUUAAUAGAACUUUACUAGGACGGUUAGGUGUAAAACCUAAUACUCAUCAUAGGCAUAAAAAGAAAAAAUAUAAUAAACAAGUCAAAGAGAAAUUAAAAAAUAAAAAAUUUUCUGGUCAUAUUAAGAAUCAGUUUUCUAGAAGAAAAACUUCUAAAGAAUUUAAAAAUAUUUUAGAUAUUAAAAUAGGACAUAUAGUCAAAAACUUUUCUAACAGAAGAAAAGAAGUUGAAAAGAAUUAAUAGUCUUGAAAAACAAGAUUUAGAAAUAAGUUAUAAAAAGGAAAUAAAUCCUUAUAAAAUUGAAUCUGAUAAAAAUGAAAAAAUAUUUUUAUUAGAAAAUUCUAGAAAUAUUAGAAUUGAAAAAUUAAAAACAGUUCUUCAGCAAAUAAAAAUUGGGAAAAAUGAUAUAAUUAUAUUUUCAAAUUUUCAAGUUAAAAAAUAUUAUACUUAUAUUAAAAUCACAUUUCAGUUUAGAGAAUAUAAAAAAUAUUUUUUAUACGCUUUACUUGACACUGGAGCUACAACAAGUAAAAUUUUAUCAGCCGUAUAUAGUAAUUUGUUACUUGAUUAGAUAAGCUAUGUCACUGCAGCUUGAGUUUUGUCCUUUCAAACUCACAUAUCAUAUACAGUCAAAAAGUUGAUGAACAAAAGGCUAUUACUUUUACAACUUAAGAUAUUGACUUUAUCUUUAUUGACAAAGCCCUCUUAGUUUCCAUUAGCAUUUGUUCCUGCAUUUAAAAGCCGGUUAGUAUUUUAGAACAUGUAAAAACUUUAGCAGUAUUUUUUUUUCUUUUUUGUUACCCAAAAUUCAGUUUAUUACCUUAUUCUGAAGUUCAGAAAGCUGGUCAAGCAUAUAUUGGGUCUGCAAAAGAAGAUUGAAAUAAAACAAAGUGCUAGAAUUUGUGAAAGUUGAAAAUAUUAGGAGCUAAAAGAGAAAUCAAGAAAGAGGUGGACUGGCAAGUUAAUUAUACCAUAAAAUUACUACAGGUAUGAUUAAUCUUUUCAUGGAAAAAAAAACCCACUAUAACUGCUCUAUGAUAUCUCUUAAAGCCUAACAAAAUGGAUUAUGAUUUUGCUUCCACUAGUAGAUAUAACUUGCUGUUAAGUUUCAUCUUCUCCUGGAAACCUCUAAUCCAUAAGGAUUUAAAUGGCAAAUUCAACCAAAAACUCAUCUACAACCACAAUCUAAAUCCUUAAUUCAUGUGUACUUAUCAUCUAAAAUGAAUGCUAUGACCAGUAAAAAGAUUGAGGCUGCAAGCUUUAGGGUUUUUCUUAAUAGUUGAAAUGGGAAGAGGAAACCCACCGACAAGAAAAGGUAUUAAACUGACCAAAACAGUAUAGCCUACUUUCACAUUUUUUUUAUCCUGGUUUAAUAUUGAAUUUUAUCCCUCUAUUUUAAUAAAAUUUAAAAGUUAAUCCCUAUAAUUUGUCAAAUUUUGAUCAUCAUACUUUAUAAAAAUUGAAAAAUUAGUCCAAUUGGAUAACAUUGUUAAAUAGCUAAUAUGAAAAUUAGUAAUUUUCAAUUUAUAUCAACUGUCUAAUAAUUUAUAGGCAAUAAAUUAGCAACGGUUAAUAAUUUAAAUUUAUAUGUUUACCAACUAAAUCAAAUUUAAAUAAAUUAGAAAAAAAAAGGACUAAUUUUUCAGUAUUAUUAAAGUAGAAAUGAAAUUAUUCUAAUAAAGAUGUUAUUAUAUAGUACUGUUUCCCUAAUUCCUCUAGCCACUUCUAAUAUUAUUUGUGGUUAAUGAGCUUCAAUAGACAGUUUUUAACCCCCUCCAUUAGAUUUUAAGCAAAGCUAAUAAUAAUAAAUUGUAAUUUAAAUAAAUUACUGAUGAAGAAAAACUCUUCUAAAAAGAACACAACUUUUGUAAAAGAUAGAUUUGCUGACAAGUUGGGUCUGGUUAAAUUGGAUGGGAUUAAAUCAGAAAAAAAAAGUUUAUUUACCAUAACAUUCUAGUUUCAUAUUUAUUCCUAGCUAUCUUAAAAAUUCAGAAUAUAACAGAUGUGCAACAAAUGAUAAAAAAUAAAUAUACUAUGCUGAACAAUUGUAUGAAAUUCUCACUUGUAUAAACUCAAACAUAUCAAAGAUAUAUGUAAGCAGUAAUCAAAACUUACCCUUGGUGGAGCGGACAUGUUUCAGGGAUGACUCUAGUUGAUGCUCAAGCUGCUCAAGCUCCUUUGAGUUCAAUGGACCCAAGUCUUCACCAAGGAGAUUCCUGUUGAAUCAAAGGACCAAACCAGAUAGCACAUAAAAUUGCUCUUAUUCAAAUACUUUUAGUAAUUACAAUCAAAUUAAUAUACACUUCUAAAUGGACUAAUAGCCUAUCAAAUUAAUAUGGAAGUCCAAAGCUAUGGUAUGGUUGUAAGACUAAACACCUCUGAGUUCGAUUUAGUUCCUCAUAUCUAGCUUUCAGUUUUAGGUACUGUAAUAACCCAAAUUCGCCCGGCCCAAAUUAAAUAAUAAAUACAAAAAACAAAUAAAAAUUAAAAGUCCAUUUUUAAGGUCCAUUUACAUCCAGCCUAAUAAUAACUAACACGUUUAGCCCAAGACCCAACUACAAUAUGACCCAAACUGUUUUAACCUAAACUAUCCAAAUUUAACAGACCCUAAACCCAACUUUCUAAACUCGGAUCUCCUAGGCCCAAAACUCGGCCCAAAUCAAUGGAGCACCCUAGAGGCUUCUAGGGUUUUCACCAGCGCGCAGCCACCGAAGCCACCCUCCGCGCGUGCCAAGCCACUCCCCACGCAUGCAGCGCCUCCACGCCACGUUGGCCUCCAUACCACCAGCUAGAAUCCUCCGUACCUGCACACAAGCAGACAAACAAAAAAACAAGCAGAAAACGACAGCAAAGAAAAAAGAAAAAAAGGAUAUUAGUUGUAUUUUGGAUUCAUUUUUUUUAUCUUUAUCUUCGGCUAUAAAGCCAUUUUCCAAAUUUUGUAAACGUUACACACGCAUUUGAUAUUCAUUACGAAUACAAAAAUCAGAGAAAAAGGUGAUUUCCCCAGUUUUCCUCCUGUUUUGAUUUCAGUUUUCCUUUUCUUUUCUGCAUUCAAUCGUUAGAUUUUUAGGCGAGAAAGUAAUAAAGAAAAGAGGAAAGCGUACCUGACGUUAGGAUUUCGGCCUCCUCCGUCGUCAUCGGAGAGCAGGUCAGAAUCGGAGACUAUUCGCCUGCCUUUAGUACGCAGAACGGCGCAGAGUCUCCCUUAGAUUAGGUUUUUUCUUUUUACUAAAAUGAUAGGUGUUAGGGUUAUCUUAGUUUAAAGAGUAAGAAUCAAAACGUCGCCGUUCAGAGCCAAUACAAUGGCAUUGAAACUGUGUUGUUUCGAAGACUCGAUCCGAGCGGUGACCCGAUCCGGGAAGGAUCCGUGCUCCAUGGAUCGUUUGGUUUAUUUAUUCACCAAGCCCCUCUUAGUUUUGAUUAGUCUCAAUUUGGUUACUUUAGUUUUUUUUUUAAAAUUUAUACUGCGUAUUUAACUUUGUUUGCAUGUCGAUCCAAGGUUAAGCGACACCGUUUUACACCUGAUUGCUAAUGAAAUUGCUGAUUGAGUCCCAUAAGAUUAAAAAAGAUUUCAUGUUGGUACAAAUUUAGUUUUUUUUUUAAAUUCAAUAAUAUUUGUAAAUGCAAAUUAACCAUACUUACAUGUAUUAUAAAACUUAAUACUGUAUUUAAUUUUAAUAGUAUCUAAUUUUAUUAUAGUUUAAAAUAUAACAAAUCAUUAUUUUAACUUGUAUUUUAUGUCUUAAAUUCGUUGCACUAAUACUUGGGGUUUAUUGUUUUCUUUUAUUUUAUUUUUAUCAUUCUAAGUUUUACUUAAACUUUGAUUUAAAAUCCAUUAAUUAUUGUUUUCAAUUAUAAAAAAGGUCUUUACAUAAUAAAUUUUGAUUUCAAAAGUUUUUUUAAUAAAUCGAUUUUAUAUUCAUUAUUUUUAAUAUUAUUUUAAUAUUUAGCUUAAUACUAUUUUCGAAUUUGCUUUUAAUAUAUUUUUUAGAAAUGAUACCUAAAUUCCUUCAAAUUAUUAUAUUUUAAAUACGUUUUAAAUUCACUAAAUAUUAUUUCAAUUUUUUUAUAAUUAUACUUUUUUUAAUUUGAUAUAUUAUUAUAAAUUUCAUCAUUUAUUAAUACACAUUGUGGUAGAUUAAACAUAAUUAUAUAUUUAGAUGUUGUAUACUGUGAGUAAAAUUAUUGUUGCUAUUGUAUUUGUAUUUAUUUAUUGCUUAUUUGGCUACAUCUUAGUUUAGGUUUGAAUUAUCAUUUAUCGUUUUACAUUACGUUUUUUAAAACUUUGCACCUUUAUCAUACUAUUUCAUAUUAAAAAAGCCUAGCAUUUAUAAUCUUCGAAAAAAUUGAGCCCUAAUGUAUUGGGUUCCAAUUUUCCUCGUUGAAUCCAAAUAAUCGAAAUUUUUCUUUAAUCAAGAUAUAUAAAACUCACUCUCGGGAAUUCGAUAAGUCGUGUCCUAAUGUAUUGGCUGUGAUGCAUCGAUUUCUCGAAAUAAGGUUUUUUUUAAAAAAAAUAAGAGCAAUAUUCAAUGCUCAGAACUUUGAGAAAUCGUGCCCUAACGUAUUGGGUUUCAAUUUUUUUAUCGGACUUAAAGCAAUUGAAUAUCCUUUUAAAUCUCACCACGCAAAUUUUGAAAAUCAAAAGAUAAACUUAUUCUCGAGGACUAAAAAUGUCGUGCCCUAAUGUAUUGGAUGUGUCAUUUUAUUACUCUAAGAUAAGGAGGUUUUUGGUAUUCGCAUCGAUUUAUCCAUGCAUCUUUUAUGAAAUUAAUAAGAAGAAUCGUAUUUUAAAGCUUUCUAAAGUUUUAACACUAAGACAUAAAAUGAUCAAUUCAGUACCAUUUUUUUGGGUGUUUCGAAAGUGCUAACCCUUCCUCGAGCAUAACCGACUCCCGAACCUGUUUUCUCAAAAUUCACAGACCUAAAAUUAUUUUCUAAGUGAUCCGAUCACACCUUAAUAAAAGAUCGGUGGCGACUCCCGUUUUUUAUUUCCAAAGUCAAUUCUUUUUUUUUUCAAAUUUAAAAAUGGUUUUCUUUUCAAAUUUAAAAAUAGUUUCGACAGGUACUCCCUGUAGCUGCUCCGUGGCAACAAAGAUUCUUGCAUAGAGCAUGUUCACAUAUUCAAUUCUCCACUAUGCCAUCUUCUCUUUUACUUGACAUUCCCCAACAUCAAACACGUUCAGUUUCUUCCCCCCACAUACACAUCUUUAUAAACAUUUUUGUUAUGGGAUUUAAUUUGUUAAUUAAGUGAGUUUGGGGGGGAGAUUCUUGUGUUUUUAUUUUAAUGAAGGUAUAUAUUAAAAGGUGUUUUUAACGUCCCAUCCAUGGCCAUGGGACCUUUUGGGGGGGGGGGGGGGGUUAGAACAAAGUCUGAAACACUGCAAUAAAACUGGCAAAAGAUUGUGUCCUUCUCUGCAAUAGUGCCAUGUUAAUAACCACUCCUAACUUGUUCUCUGCUCCCCCAUCUUCCAUUUUUUGCUUUUCAAUUUCUUUUUUUAUUUUUUCAAGUACCAAAUAUAAAAGAAAAUUAAUAAAGCAUGCGAUUAUGAGAGAUUGAGAUUAUGUACUAAGUAAAUAUAAAGAGAAUGAUAAAAGCUUGAAGAUGAAGAGGGAUUAAAACAGGUAAUUAUAAAAUACUGAAUAAAAUAAUAAUAAUAAUAUGUUGAGUUGGAAGAAGAGUUUGGCAAAAUGUAGGUUUGAAAGAAAUUAAUGCAAGUGGGAGAAAAUAUUGCAGCCUUUGCAUUUGCAUGCCACGUUUUAGUUGGACUUGGAAUGACUCUCCAAUAUGGAUCCUUUGAUGAUGAAUUUAUGAUCAUCAUCACAUGUUACUAUGACUAACUUACAAAACCCUUAAUUACUUCAUCAGCUUGAGUUUUUUUCCCCUUGAUCUCCUUGCAACAGUAAAAAGUGCAGUUUUUUUCGUUUGUCACAGAGAAUUGGAAGUAUAUAUAUGUAAGAGAUGAAGAGAUGGAUUAUAGCAUUAAUUAGUGAAAAAAAAUCAAAAAAAACCUGCAGUUAGCAACAAUGUACUCAUCAGAAACUUUCAGAUCAUAUCAUCAUCAUCAUCCUACACUGAUCGGCAUUGAUAAUAAUACCAUAAACUAAAUCAAAAUCAGAAUAUUGAAAAAAACAAUCCAUUGGAAGUUAAUAUGAGCUCUAUGCAUGAGGUGAGAGAUCAUAAACAGUGUUUGAGAGACGCAAGGCCUAGAAAUACCAAUCAAUCACGAUGUUUAGUUAUCACAUUCUUUUUUACUUCUAAAAUGAACAAUUAUUUUAUAGGUACUCAGAAAUUUGAAGGGAGUGUAAGUGCUGGCAGAGUAUUUAUUUCUUUUGCAGUUAGAAAAGUGAAUCAGAUAUAAGCAGAAAGUAGCCAACUCUUGUGUCAUAAGAAAGAAGAGUGGACUCCUAAUUAGCAUCCAACAACAAAAGCUCGUUAUACUACGUGUUGUGCUUUUUUGAACAUGAUAAGUAUAUAUUGUUACAGUCAGUACAAUCUAAUUCAAUUCCAUAACAUGUGACCAUUGACCAACACGCAUCUAUACCAGUGCAUGAUAAUGAAUAAACACAAGAAAACACAACAUGAAUGAAUAAACAUACAGCAUAGAAGGUAGAAACAUUGAACUCUGAAUCUGGAUGACUCAAAGGGAGAAGGUCAAUUGAGAUUCCAAGGACUCAUCUAUUUGAUGGAAACUUGUCCAAGUUUUACCAAUGUCAACUGGUCGGAAUAAACACACAGAAAUAAGUACAAUCUCCGCAAAUAGACAAGUCCUUUAAUAAACAUAUAGAAAAUAAGUCCAAUCCCUGCAAAUAGAUGUGGUAUAUUUUGCUAGUAAACCCAAUUUACUAGUUGACGUUGGUAUAGAAAAUAUAGCAAACUAGGAGUAGUUAUCCCACAUUGAUGGAAACUAUUGACCAACAAAGGCAGCUACUUGGUGUUCUAUGUGCAUUCCUACCUAUUCUUUUGAUUCCAUGUGUGAUUGUGGCAAAACCAAAUUGAGAUAUACAAAUGAAAAUGCUUUUUAUUUGAAAACUUACAGUGUUAAAGAAGCAAAUUGAUCAUACGAUCUACUAAUGAUUUGAGUCUUGAGUGAUCCAGCAAUACAGCUGACAGCGGCGUGGAAAUGAGUUUCAUCCUUUUGGUCAUUCUGUCAAUAUUUAAAAAUAAAAAAUAAAAACCAACAGCUAGUCAGUACAUUUCAAAUAGAAAAAGAAGAAGAAAAACAUGUUAAUCAAAAAACAUAUCCAUUACGAAAAAGCUUAAUUACGGUAUUAAUCCAUGAAAGAAAAAAGAAAACCAAUUACUGAAAAAACUGUAAAGAAAAGGAAAUGGGUAUCCUUUAUCUGUUUUGAUUAUACAUAAAAACUUACACCAGGACAUGUCGUGUUGAACAUUUUCGGAGAAGCAUCGACCAAGUAAACAACAUACUCUUUGGAACUCUCACUUUGCUGCAAAUAUUGGAUAAAAACAACACAAUUACAUCUCUCGUUUCUUAACCAUGGAGAAGAAUAUAGAAGAAAAGAAAGAGAAAGAGAGGAAACCUAUUUUGAUAAUGAAACUGUAAGUACCAUAAGAUUCAAACAUUUUCAGAACUUUAUAACACCUAAAGAAAAAAUAGGUAAAAGAAGACAAACCUAUUUUGUUCUGCUUGGACUUUGGCAUCUUCGACGAUUAAGGUUUGUCUAAAAGAAGAAGAAAAAACGCCAAAAAAGCGACUGCGUUGCUCUGCUUAUGCAACUCCAAAAAGGGGUUUUCAAUGUUACUCCGGUUCUAGAUUUGUUAGGAUUUUGAACUUUAUAUAGGGGCGGUUUUUAUUUUUAAGGAUAGAAUCGGGUCUGGCUUUUAUUUUUAACCAAAGUUAAUGAAUGCAAUUAAAACCACGCGAUUUUAAUAAAAGUAAAAAAAAAUUUGCCGCCUUUAUAGAAAAAACAACGCUAUUAUUUUACUUUUAGCGGUGUUUAUGAGAAUUAGUUAAGUGAUUUUAUAAAAUAUUUAUUAUUAUUAUUUUUUAUAAAUUGAAUUUUUAUAAUAGAAAAACUCAAUACUCUCAAAAUAAAUAUCGUAUAUUUUAAUAAGAAACCAAAUGAUUAAAUGGCUGUAAUUAAUUAUUAAGUUAGAAUUAUUCAAUGUAAGCAAUCAAUCUCUCACAUAUCAAAUUUCUAUUAAAGAUUGAGAUGUUAAUCAUGAUUUUAUAUUAUUCUUUUCCGAUCUAAUCUCUAUUUUAUUAUAGAUAUUUCUUCCUAACUAAAAUAUAACUAUUUUGCUAGAUGUUCGAUCUGAAAUAAUUUUAGUUUUUGUAUUUAAUUUUUAUUUGUUAUCAUUUGGUCCUAUCCAAAAUAGAUAGUUUACCUAUCCAUAUCUAUAUGUUACUUUUUUUUAUUUAUUUAUCAAUGUUUUUUUAAAUCUAAUAUUUAAAUAUAUCAAAUGGUUUAGAUUAAAUAUUUUUAAAUAUAAAAGUAUUAAUUAUAAAAUUUUAUCAUUUAACAAAUAUCAAGUAAACCUUAACUCCUAAACCAUUUAAUAUAUAUAAAGUUUAUCUAUUAAAUUAAUUAUCUCUUAAAUAAUUUAAACUAUAAUCAUAAUUUUAAUAUAUUAAAAUUAAUAUUAUCUCUUUUACAAUUAUAUAAGAAAUUAUUUAAUAUAUAAAUUAAAAAACACUAAUUAAUCUAAACCUUAAACUCCUAACCUCUAUCCUUUAAACCCUAAAUCAUAAAACAUAAACCCUAAACCCUUAAACCUUAAACCUCAACCCUUAAACCAUAAACAAUAAUCCCUAAACCCAUGAUCCAUAAACCUUAAAAUAGUAACUCUUAAACCUUAAACCUUAAACCAUAUACCCUAAACCAUAAACCCUAAACUAUAAUGCUAAUUAAUUCAAUAUUUUAAAAUUAAUACUAUCUCUUUUACGAUUAUAUAAGAAAUUAUUUAAUAUAUAAAUUAAAAACAAUCAGUCAUGUACUCAAAAAACUUUAAAAUUAUUUUAAAUAAUAGUAUUUUAAUUUUUUUCAUUUUUAACAAAUAUUUUUCUAUGUUUUUACUUUCAAAUUUUUUCUACGUGUCAUUAUUUUUUUUGAAGAAUUUAAAUAUUCAAUUAAAAAUAAAUUGUAUUUUAAUUAAUAUAAAUAAACAAGUUAAAAUAGAUAAAAAAAUUUUGCGGCGUUUCUGAUAAAGCGCCGCUAAUGCUCAAUCUAUAGCGGUAUUUUUCAAAAAGCACCACUAAUGCUACUAAAGCUCAACAUAAAACGACGCGCUUAAUUUUUUUGCGGCGUUUCUCAAAAAGCGUCACUAAAGGUUGACGGUGCUUUUCAAAAAAUCACAGUUAAUGCUCGAUCUAUAGCGGCGUUUUCCAAAAGUCACCGCUAAUGCUCGAUCUGUAGCUGCGUUUUUCAAAAAGCGCCGCUAAUGAUCGAUCUGUAGUGGCAUUUUUCAAAAAAAGUCGUUAAUGUUUGAUCUGUAGCGGCGUUUUCUAUCCAAACGCAACUAAAAGUGCCGCUAAAAACCUGUUUUGUUGUAGUGUGUACAUGUAUAAUAGAAGUUAUGAACCAAACAGAGACUAAAUAGAGCAUACAAACAUAGUUUUACCAAUCAAUACAAUCAACAACAUUUUUAAUCACCUUCCAUUGUUAUACCAAUAUGCCACAUAUGACACCCAAUUCAAUCAACAUUCAAUUGAGCAUGUUAUACUAAUCAGCUAUCACUUUGUAACUAACCAAAAUGAUACCAACCAUCUAAUAACCACCUUUUUAGCAUUAUAACAAAGCAAUACCUUCUAUUCAAAUAUUCAUCAUCAUUCACUAUCACCAUUUUGCUUAACCAUUCUUUGACCACCACAUCAUAGGUACAUGUUCAUUUCAAACUUAUGUACAUAUCAUAUAAGCACUAAGAUCAACCAUUUCAUAUGUUCCUUUAAUGUCAAAGGUUCAAGAUUAUUAAGAUUUAACUCAACGACACUUACUAAACAACCCUAUAUACAUUUAAACUCUAAAAACAUGCCAAAAUAUCAUAUAUCACUCUUUCAAACCAUCUAAUACAACCCUUCCACAAUUCGACAUCAAAACAUAUCAAAAUAACUUAAAUAAACACAACCUCACCAGCCAAUUCUUUUAUCCAUAACAUGAUAUCAUAUUAUCUAAUUGCAUACUCAAAAUGCUAUUUCAUGAGUCAUUUGCACAAUUCAAAUCAUCUACUAAAUGCAUAUGGUUUCAACUAUGUAUAUUCUUUGCCAUAAAUCAUGUUAACAUAGAUUUCAAACCAUAUCACUAUACAAAGAAACCAAAACAACUCUUAAGUACAUGUCACACAUAACUGAGCCUUAAUACGAUUAAAAGACUACCAAAUCAAUAACGAAAUAGUGUGAGUUUUUUGUCGAUUAGCCUGACAUGUUCCGCAAAUUGACAAUCUACAGGAAAAAGGGAGUAAGCAUUACAAAUGCUUAGUAAGUUCAUAGCUAUUAAAACAACAACUUACCUCAUUUUAUGAAUUUAUGCAAUAAGUUAUUCAACUUGACGAUUUUGCCUAAAUCCAACAACCCUAUAUCAACAAGGUGAGUUCAUCUCGCAACCCAUUCAUAUAAUAAUAUGAACAUUUAAUAUUUCAAAUAAUUUUAAUACCAAUCGCAUGGAAAUCAACAACCCAGUACCAUUCAUAACAUUCUAAUUAACAUUUCAAUUCACAAAUACAACUAAAAAUCUCAGUGGUACACAUGUAUCAAUAUAUUUAAGCUUUAAUCGAUCAAUCUAAAGAUUAUAUUGUAUCAUUUCAUUUUGUUGUCAACCAUACAUCCAAUUUCAAUAUAAUGGCAAUCAUUAUUUCAUUUUAUUGUUUGAAUUCUCAAUCCAAUUCAUAUUAAUCCAUAUGAAUUUUAUUCCCGUGUCAUAUAAAUUAAUCUUUAUACCAAAUAGAUAUUUAAUGUCAAUUUAAUGUCAAUCACUACUUUGUUUCAUAGUACGAAUUCUAAAUCACACUCAUUGAUUUGUCACGUAUUCAUAUUAACCUUCUGUGCUUGUAUAAUUGAUUCUUAAUAUAUAUAUGUAUCAUCCGAUCAUCAUAUCAACUUAAUUUGAAUAUUAUUUAUUCCAUUUACAAUAUACAUGCCCCUAUUAACCUGACUCAGACACGGAUGGAUACAUGGAUCCACCCAACACACCAAAUUGACACCCAGUGCCUAUUGGAUAAAUCCAAAAAUAAUAAGUUACACCCUAUGCUGGUCAGUAAAAUAAAAAAAAUAGAUGUGCUCAACAUUGGUCAGUAAAAUCAACAAAUGGGGUUCCCAACACUCCCCGACACGUAGUCAUAUAACCCUGAACUCUUCCUAUCCUAUGACAUGCCAACUAUAUCCAGUUAUGCCCGACUAAUUAAUAGGGUAACAAUUUCUCGAUUUCAUUACAUAAUUUCAUCAACCAAACAAUCAAUUCUCAAAUAUAAUAGCACAUCACAUAAUCAUACUGAUUCAAUUUCAUGUUUACAACAUUAUAUCAUUCUUUCACAUAUAUUCACUUGGUCCUUAUCACUAUCAACCUGUCUAAAUCGAAUCAAUUCAACUCAUUUCAUUGCAUCAUUACAUAACAUAUCUCAUUUUAGUUCAAUUUAUGGUCAAUUCCAUAAUUAUUUCAAUUUGUAAUUCAUUGUAUUCAAUUUAAUCCUAUAUCUCACCUUUUUGUACCAAAUCGUAAAGAAUUAAAAUUUCAAUUAAAUAUAAUUAAAAUUAUAAUUCUAAAUGCAUAAAAAAUUUAACACAAACAUACCGUAUAAACUUACCAAGCCAAGACAAAAAAAAACCUCUCUAAGCACUAAUCAACAACUUUUGCCAUUUCCUUGAUUAUCUUCAAUUUGGUCUAAUUUUCGAUAUAUUCAACAGUUCGAUUCAAUUUAUCAAUUCUAAACAUCUUAUAUAAUUCUAUUAUAAUUACACAUCAAUUUAAGUUUAUUAUUUAAAUGCCCCUAAACUUUUACAUUUUAUUCAAUUUAGUCCAUAAAAUCGAACUUAUCAUAUCUUCCGAAUUUGAACUCCAAAUUUUAAACUCACUUCAAUUAUGUCCAUAUACAACCUCAUAUUAUCACAAUUUAUAAAAAUUUCAUACAUAUUUCAAGAUAUUCACAAUUUAAUCCUUAAACUCAAAACUAACAUAAUUUACUUAACAAAUUAAUCCUAUUUCAUUUCUAAGCUUCAAAAUAUACCUUAAACAUUCAAAAAAUUCAAAUAAUCAAUGGGAACUUUUUAAAUAUUUGGAAGUUUUGAAAACGGAGAUACGAGUUAGAUAAACCUAGUUGUAACUAUCUUAAAAACAUAAAAAAUCAUGAAAAAACUGGCUUAGAAAACAUUACGAUGCAAGAGAAACAUGUUGUUGAACCAUGAAGCUUCUCCCAUAGUGGUUUUUGAGUUUCUUAUUUGGUGAAGAAAACAAAUGAAAGUGAAAACUUUCAUUUUUUUUAUGUUUUAACUAUUAUAAUAUUAAUUUAACCUUAAAAUUAAAUAAAAAUUUAAUUAUAAAAUUCAAAUAAAACAUUUAACAACCGACCACCAAAAAAUAAAAGGGUAAUUUGUAACUUAAAACUCUUAUCAUUAAUUAAUUUUGCCUUUUAGCUAAUAAAAACCAAUACCGAUUAAAUUUUACUAUUUUUAUGAUUUAGUCCUUUUUCCUUAUUUAACCAUCCAAUCACUAAAAUUUUUGGACCAAAUUUCAAUUCACCUAUAUAACAGAUCCGUAAAUAUUUAAUAAAAAUAUUCAUGGGUUAGAGUUUCAAAAAUUUGGUCUCGAAACCUUAUUUUCCAAAACCACUUGACUUUUGGUAUGCACCACUUGUACCUUGACUAACUGAUCAAUUAAUAAAAUCUAUUAAAUCACAAUUUCCUAUUAUACUAUAUUUAACUCAUGAAUAUUAAUUAAAUAUAUCUAUGGACUCUCUUGUCAAAAUUGUGUUCUUGAAACCACUACUUCUGACACCAUUGAAAAACGAGAUAUUACACUUCAUUCAUUUAACGUCCCACCAUAACACUAAUACUUCUUUCAAUUAAUAUCAAGAAGGCAUAUGCAUUUCUACAUUAACAUGCAAUCCACUUCGACUUUUAUGGCUCAUCAACACAAGAGCAAUUCAUAUACCAUUUAACCAUAUUCAUUCAAUAACCAUGGACUCACAAAUAAAUAAUAGUUCACUACUAAUUAAUACUUCAACGGCUUAUGCAGAAAACAAUUAUAUACAUAAUUAGUCUUAAAUUUAGACCACAUAUUCACACUCAAAUAGAACAACAUUGACAACAGUUUCACACAACAAUGACAAAGUUAAACAUCUCCAGAUUAUAGAGUAAAUUUUCGAGCAAAACAUAACCCUGUAGCAUAUAGAUGAAAAUAAAAGUUGGAGUUCAAAAAUCACUCGCAAAACACCCAAAUGCUAGAACCCUACACUUGUUUUUUCCUUUCCUUUGUCACUUUGGCCUCAUCCUUGGUUAGUUAAAUAAAAUAACCAUUCGUCAAUAAAAAUGACAACAUUCAUAAGCAAGACAAUCGAAAUCCAUUAACAUGCAAAAUAUUUUUGUAAGCUAUCUAAGAUCUUAUGUUCACAGCCAUGAAGUUUACCAUAACUUACAAGUUUCUUACCUCUUCCUUUCAGUCAAAAGGUGUAGAAGGGUUAGAAAGGUUACCGGCUCACUAGAUUCUUAAUUUCUCAAGCUAACACGUCUAGUUUUCCUUCAUACAAACUACUUCUUACUUCCUUACAAUUCCAAAAAAAGAAAAGGAAAAAUUAAGAAGACAAAUACCAGGACAUGAGAAUCGAAGAAUAGCAUAUUUAGUUCUUCUACUUAUACUCCUCUUACCUCCGUUCACCAAUUCCAACAUUCAAUAUAAAAUUAUUUAAGCUAUAAUCAUGUUGUUCCCCACUUAAUCAUCUAGAUCUAAUGUAAUGGGACCAAAAUUGAAAUUCAAUUUGUCUACCAAUUGGUUCACAAGAUUUAGUAAUCCAGACAAAAGCCCUCAUGAACUAAGUGUUUCUUAAUUAAAUACCUCUACUUACCGUGGAUUUUUCAAAAAAUCAUUUUAAUAAAUUUCUUAUCUACAAUCAAGACCAAACUUUAAUUUAACAGUUUCGGGUGUGAUAACUCUCCACCCUUAAGAAAAAUUUAGUCCCCGAAAUUUUUUUACUUUUCAAAUAAGUGCAAGUAUUUUUCCAUCAUGGAACUUUUUCUUUUCGCAAAUGCAUCACCCCAAUAUCAGUUUAUACAUAAAUAGCUAGCAUUAAACAAAUAAGAGAUACCUGCAAUAGCGCCUAGACUCUCUGUAUCUCCCUUGGCUCGCAUCACGUAUUUGCUUCUAUCAGCUCGUUAUGGAUAGUCCCUCUUAAAGUGACCCUAUUCUCCACAUUUGAAGCAAACACCUAACACCUUCCAGUAUUACCUUUAUGGUUCUUCCCACACUGUUCGCAAGUGGGGCUGGACAUCCUCCCCGACCCUCCAAUGCUAGCUACUGACGUGGUUUGGCAUCUAUCACGAUCCUGCCUAACAAUGUGGUUUGGAAUCCCCUAUUAUCCCAAGUCCUCUUAAUUCCAGGGCCUAGAAAUGGGCUUGUAGCUCCUUGUUUACCUUUUUCUUGAUCUUCAGCUUUGUUCUUUUCUUGUAUCAUCAUCUUCAUCCACUAGGCUUUAGCUAUCAAAGCAACCAAGUCUAAGAUUUCAAGCGCUGCCAAUAACAUACGAAUCGCUUCAAUUAAACCUCACUCAAAUCGGACCCAAAGGUCCUCCUCCAUUGGUGCCAACUCCCAAGCGUACUUGCUUAGUUUAAUAAAUUCAUGCUCGUAUUCAAACACUAUCAUCUGCCCUUGAUUAAGGUUUAAGAACUCUCUUUUCAUCUGUUUAAUGAAGAAUUAGCUAAUAUAUUUUUCUUGAAACUUCUACAAAAAGAAAUCCUAGUUAAUUUUCGCAUGUGGGUAGAGUAUGCCACCACUUGUAACACCUUGUACCUGACCUGAUUGUCAGGUCCAGGCUAUAGGAUGCUACACUUAAAUUUAAAAUUUAACUUAGACCUUGAGCAUUGUUAUCCACAAAUAAUAAAAGAAUGAAGACAAUAAUAUAUUUAAUAUUGCUACUAAGUAAAUUCAAAACUUCCAAGAAUCUAUGUCAACAAUAAAACUUUAACUUAAUAUACAACAAUUUCACCAAUUAAUCUUUAACAUGUUUAAAGUAUUCAGUUUGUGCUAAAAUUUAUAUUCUAACCAUUUAUUUCUUCUACAGCAAAGACCCUGAUACUCUGCCUCUGGGUUGCCCCAUUGUAUGCAAGUUACAACUAAUAAACAUAUCUGCCGAUGUAUGGCGAACUCUGGCCUGGUCCCUUCUCGAACUUCCAAAAUCCCCUAUUCACCUACAAUGCAUAACAACACAAGUUCUAAAGAACUUAAUGAGUUUCCAUACCUUACUAACACAAUGCUAUUACGAUUGCACUUCGUGACUGGGACUUCACAACGAUUUUUGCCUGUAUUAAGACAAUACGACAUCCUCUUUUUUUUACAAUAGAUGAUUCUUUGGUGGUUUUCACUUACCAAUUCCAUUUUUAUUUAUUGCCUUCAUGACCUAUAUGCAUUUAUCUCCUCGAGAGGGAAAUCCUUGUGUAUUCCUACUUACGAACGGUAAAAGAUAAAGUGUAAACAAUACUCAUGACACUCCUUGCAUCAAUGGCUACAAAUCUUCACAUAAGACCAUUCUUGGCGAAUAGUGUCUAUCGCGAGCUAUUAAUAAUAUUUUGUCUUACCGAACUAAGACUCAUAUUAUGAUCGUUUUGGAUCAUUAAGGGAAACACCCUUACGGCAUAAUAUAGAAAGUCUACUCAUUCCUAUCAAAUGGAUAGAUCGGAGAAUACAUCAUCUUACUCUUGUUCCAUAAUCAAGUAGUCCACUCCUGGUGGUUAUCUCUUUGAAAUAGAUAACAUGUAGGCAGAUUCUUAACAGUGAAUCCUCUAUUUGCGGAAUCAUACAUAUGGGACAUUCAUGUGGACUACCGUAUCUUUCAUAUAUAAGUUCUUCAUUUUGGAAGUAUAGGAGAAUACCUUGUAUCGUCCCCAAAAGAAACUAGUGGACUGUCAUAUAUGUAUGAUAUAACUUCUAUACAAUUUGCAUGUACAGUGAGCUUGAGCUUAGGAUUUGCCACUAGCACAUGGAUUCAUUCUUGGCAGACUUGUAAAGUUAAAUUUGAAUCCUCGAAUUCUCCUGCGACUCUUACCAAAGUGAAUUCUAUAACUACUGUAGGUGCAAAUCUGUAAGAAUAAGUCAGUGGACCAUCAUAACUUAUAUCCGCUUCACCUUAUUUGCUAGCAUAUGCAUCAUAGCCUUCUCAUAAUAAUAGAUAACCCAUUUUUUAGACUCAUACCAGUGGACAUAUUGUGGAAUCAUAUUCACAAGAUAGUUUUGGUGAACUUUCCUCACAACAAUAGUCCUAAAGUGCUUUCCCCAUAUUAGAUAGUCCUCAUGGACCUCCAAAAGAUAGUCCUUAUGGACCUCCCACAUUAGAUAGUCUUUAUAGGCUUUCCACAUAUGAUAAUCCUAAUGGACUUUCCACGUUAGGUAGUCCUGAUGAACUUCCCACAUAAGAUAGUCUUGAUGGACUUUCCACAUUAGAUAAUACUGAGGACUUUCUACAUUAGACAGUUCUAACGAACUUCCCACAUAUACGGUAAUGUAAUGGCCAUGGAGUUCCAUUCGUCCCACUAAGGGCUUUCGUACAUCCCUCAUAAGGGGCUCUCAAUCUUCCUAUAAAAGGAUCUCACAUUGGUGCACACCGUUUUUUGUAUAAUUUCAAAUCUCCUUUCUUGGCUUAAUCCAACCGAACCUCCCUCAAAGCCACAUACGUAAAAUGCAUAUGCAACCAUGCAUGACCAUCCGAACCUCUGCAAAACCAUAGAAAUAAAAGGCAUAUCAUACAUACAUUCCGCCUAUAAGAACUAUGAAUCAUAUGACAUAUAUCUCGCCAAAUAUUUCAUUGAUAUGUCAUAAUAAUUCUUACCACCAACCAAUCAUAUCACUUUAAUAUAAAAUAAUACAAUACGCCAAACACUUUAUUUACUCAACAUAACUAGUUCACAACCAUCUGUAUAUUUACAUACUACACUGCUUGCAACCACCAUACACCAUUACUUUGCCAUAACAUUUUCAUAGUUCAACUAUAGAAGAAUUCAUCAUUCACAUAACACUGAAGUAAGCCUAUUCUACUCGUGAAACUGAACAAAACAUUUAUUUACUAGUUGAGUUCUGAAACUCACCUGGAAGUUGAUGCCAAAUCCACCCAUUAAAAUUUUUCCUUUGCUACAUGAGCCUCUAGUAGCUUGAUCAAUACAACUUGAUAAAUCAUCAAUUAUUUGUCCACAAUUGAUCUGUUGUAAUUCAGUGAAGUAGACUAAACUAGUUUUCAUACUUAAGGAGCUUGAAGGCGAGCAAUUUUAUCAUGUUUUAGUUAGUUUUUCUAUCUUAUCUUUAAAUUCAAUAAAAAGUUUAUAUUGAUUCAUUUUAUGACCUUAGGGGCCAAAAGAGGCCGAAAAGUACGCUAACGUACUUAAAUACUGUGCAUGAUAUCAUUCAAAGGCAUAAUAGUUCAAGACUGGUCGCUGUGUUACAACACGGGAAGUGUAAUGUCGUAACAUAGAGAGUAGAAUACAAGAAUUCCAAUACUACCUUUAGUGUCGUAACACAUGCACUGGGUGUCGUGACACCGACUCUAUAUGGGAGAAAUUACAAGUGAAGGGUGUUUUGGUCCGCACAAUAUAUUUUUAUAUAAAAACAUCAGCCAACCUAGGGUUAAGGAUGACAACCAACUCUAACUCUAUAAAUACACUUAUUAGGCACUUGUUUAGGGACAACUUUCAUAGUUUAGAAUUUCUCUGUAAUUAGUUUUUAGUUUUUCUUUUUUUAGGCUUUAGAUUUAUUUUCAUUUAUUCCCGUUCGUGUUCUUUGGAGAAUCUGAUUUGUAGAUUCGAUUAAAAUUUUGUGGAUUAUGCGCUUCAUCAAUCAAUACAAACUCAGGAUUCUUCUUAAACUAUAUUCUUGAUCUGUUAUUAAUUUUUAAUUAUUUUAUCAAGUAUAUGUUGUUUAUGGAUUCCAUGAGGAACUAAUCCUCUUAUGAGGGGUUAGAGAGUGGAAGUGGGAUUAACUAAUUGAUAUUUAAGGUUUUCUUAGACGAUCAACUAUUUAGAGAGGAAGAACUUAAACCCUAAACCUGAAAACCCUAGGAAGUCAUUUAGGUGGGAAUUCACCCAAAAUUGGUAUGACAUAUCCCUAAACACCUUAGCCUCGAAUCGAUCUGGACUAUAAGGUCAAAAGAUAAGUAGUUCUUACAGACUCGUUAGUUUAGUAGAAGAUCGAGAGAUCCUGCUAGGGUGACCAUUAGUUGAUUGAAUAGAAACCCAAAAUAGGAAUUAAUUAUAACCAUCAAAGCGAUCUAAUCACCCAUGUUUAGGUUUGGUUAAGUUUAGAUUUCAGUAUCCGAAGCUAAUUUUAUUUAUGCAGUUUUUAUUUCUUUAUUAUAAAAACCUGAAAUAUUUUAUUUAUGUUUAAAUGUAAUAUAAUUGAUUUAAAGUACUAAUUAGAUCUAUAUUCAUUUAAGUUAAAGUUAAUUUAGUAUUAGCCUCCCUUGGGUUUGACCCUUGGAGUACUCACCUACUUCAUUGUAAAAACUAUAUUCUAACCUGACUCGUAUACUUGCAGACAACAACUCAAUUCCAUUCAUUUAGUUGCAAUAUUUACACUCUUGAUGUUAGUAUGUCCGGAGGCGGUCAAAUAUUUCGUGCCAUUGCCGAGGAGGCAACGCCACUAAAUUGAUUUUAAUUUUUGAGUUUUAUAGGAUAAUUUGGAAAUUUAUAAAUUGUAUAUACAAUUUUUUUAUUGUUACUAACAUAUUUUAUUUUCUUUUUAGUUUCAAUGUAUGACUCGUAGUAGUAGAACAAUUAUAGAGCGAGUCACUGAUCUAGAGAAUAUAAUCUGUAGGAAUCGUCAAUAGCCAUAGCAGAUGCAAAACCAAUCACCUGUUGCAAGCAAUCUACCAUGCGAUAACUCGUUGUUUGAUGAGGUAAACGAACUUAACAUCCAAGACUUACCACCACUACCGCAAUUACCAGCAAACCCUUCGAUGGCAUGAGAAGAGCGAAACCUAAGGGAUUACGCACUACCAAAUCUGGUGAUGGUUCAAGGUAGCAUUACAAGGCCAACCAUUAUGGAAAAUAAUUUUGAAAUAAAAUCGACCAUGAUAUAGAUGAUCCAAAAUAAUCUGUAAUUCAGAGGCACCAUGACGGAUGACCCAAAUCAACAUCUAAAACGGCUCCUUCAAUUUUGUGAUACAUUUAAAUAUAACGGGGUCAUUGAUGAAGCUAUUGAUCUUCGGUUGUUUCCCUUAUCCUUGAUCGAUAUUCGUUUAAGUUAAAGUUAAAGUUAAUUUAGUAUCAGCCUUCCUUGGGUUUGAUCCUUGGAGUACUCACCUACUUCAUUGUAAAAACUAUAUUACAACCUGACUCGUAUACUUGCAGACACCACCUCAAUUCCAUUGAUUUAGUUGCAAUAUUUACACUCUGGAUGUUAGUAUGUCCGGAGGCGGUCAAGUGUUUGGUGCCAUUGCCGAGGAGGCAACGCUACUAAAUUGAUUUUAAUUUUUGAGUUUUAUAGGAUAAUUUUGAAAUUUAUAAAUUGUAGAUACAAUUUUUUUAUUGUUAAUAACAUCUUUUAUUUUCUUUUUAGUUUCAGUGUAUGGCUCGUAGUAGUGGAACAGUUAUAGAGCGAGUCACUGAUCUAAAGAGAAUAAUCUGUAGGAAUCGUCAAUAGCCAUAGCAGAUGCAAAACCAAUCACCUGUACUAAUUAGAUCUAUAUUCGUUGAAGUUCAAGUUAAUUUAGUAUUAGCCUCCAUUGGGUUUGAUCCUUGGAGUACUCACCUACUUCGUUGUAAAAACUAUAUUACAACCAGACUCGUAUACUUGCAGACACCACCUCAAUUCCAUUCAUUUAGUUGCAAUAUUUACACUCUAAAUGUUAGUAUGUCCGGAGGAGGUCAAGUGUUUGGUGCCAUUGCCGAGGAGGCAAUGCUACUAAAUUGAUUUUAAUUUUUGAGUUUUAUAGGAUAAUUUGGAAAUUUAUAAAUUGUAGAUACAAUUUUUUUUAUUGUUACUAACAUCUUUUAUUUUCUUUUUAGUUUCAGUGUAUGUCUUGCAGUAGUGGAACAGUUAUAGAGCGAGUCACUGAUCUAGGGAGAAUAAUCUGUAGGAAUCGUCAAUAGCCAUAGCAGAUGCAAAACCAAUCACUUGUACUAAUUAGAUCUAUAUUCGUUUAAGUUAAAGUUAAUUUAGAAUUAGCCUCCCUUGGGUUUGAUCCUUCGAGUACUCACCUACUUCGUUGUAAAAACUAUAUUACAACCUGACUCAUCAACUUGCAGACACCACCUCAAUUCCAUUCAUUUAGUUGCAAUAUUUACGCUCUGGAUGUUAGUAUGUUCGGAGGCGGUCAAGUGUUUGGAGCCAUUGCCGAGGAGGCAACGCUACUAAAUUGAUUUUAAUUUUUGAGUUUUAUAGGAUAAUUUGGAAAUUUAUAAAUUGUAGAUACAAUUUUUUUAUUGUUACUAACAUCUUUUAUUUUCUUUUUAGUUUCAGUGUAGGACUCGUAGUAGUGGAACAAUUAUAGAGCGAGUCACUGAUCUAGAGAGAAUAAUCUGUAGGAAUCGUCGAUAGCCAUAGCAGAUGCAAAACCAAUCACCUGUUGCAAGCAAUCUACCAUGCGAUAACGCGUUGUUUGAUGAGGAAAACGAACUUAACAUCCAAGACUUACCACCACCACCGCAAUUACCAGCAAACCCUUCGAUGGCAUGAGAAGAGCGAAACCUAAGGGAUUACGCACUACCAAAUCUGGUGAUGGUUCAAGGUAGCAUUACAAGGCCAACCAUUAUGGAAAAUAAUUUUGAAAUAAAAUUGACCAUGAUCUAGAUGAUCCAAAAUAAUCAUCAAUUCAGAGGAACCAUGACGGAUGACACAAAUCAACAUCUAAAACAGGACCUUCAAUUUUGUGAUACAUUCUAAUAUAACGGGGUUAUUGAUGAAGCUAUUCAUCUUCGGUUGUUUCCCUUAUCCUUAAUCCAUAUUCGUUUAAGUUAAAGUUAAAGUUAACUUAGUAUUAGCCUUCCUUGGGUUUGAUCCUUGGAGUACUCACCUACUUCGUUGUAAAAACUAUAUUACAACCUGACUCGUAUACUUGCAGACACCACCUCAAUUCCAUUGAUUUAGUUGCCAUAUUUACACUCUAGAUGUUAGUAUGUCUGGAGGCGGUCAAGUGUUUGGUGCCAUUGCCGAGGAGGCACCGCUACUAAAUUGAUUUUAAUUUUUGAGUUUUAUAGGAUAAUUUGGAAAUUUAAAAAUUGUAGGUACAAUUUUUUUAUUGUUACUAACAUAUUUUAUUUUCCUUUUAGUUUCAGUGUAUGUCUUGCAGUAGUGGAACAGUUAUAGAGUGAGUCACUGAUCUAGAGAGAAUAAUCUGUAGGAAUCGUCAAUAGCCAUAGCAGAUGCAAAACCAAUCACUUGUACUAAUUAGAUCUAUAUUCGUUUAAGUUAAAGUUAAUUUAGUAUUAGCCUCCCUUGGGUUUGAUCCUUGGAGUACUCACCUACUUUGUUGUAAAAAGUAUAUUACAACCUGACUCGUCUACUUGCAGACACCACCUCAAUUCCAUUCAUUUAGUUUCAAUAUUUACACUCUGGAUGGUAGUAUGUCCGGAGGCGGUCAAGUGAUUGGAGCCAUUGCCGAGGAGGCAACGCUACUAAAUUGAUUUUAACUUUUGAGUUUUAUAGGAUAAUUUGGAAAUUUAUAAAUUGUAGAUACAAUUUUUUUUAUUGUUACUAACAUAUUUUAUUUUCUUUUUAGUUUCAGUGUAUGUCUUGCAGUAGUGGAACAGUUAUAGAGCGUGUCACUGAUCUAGGGAGAAUAAUCUGUAGGAAUCGUCAAUAGCCAUAGCAGAUGCAAAACCAAUCACCUGUUGCAAGCAAUCUACCAUGCGAUAACUCGUUGUUUGAUGAGGAAAACGAACUUAACAUCCAAGACUUACCACCACCACCGCAAUUACCAGCAAACCCUUCGAUGGCAUGAGAAGAGCGAAACCUAAGGGAUUACGCACUACCAAAUCUGGUGAUGGUUCAAGGUAGCAUUACAAGGCCAACCAUUAUGGAAAAUAAUUUUGAAAUAAAAUCGACCAUGAUCUAGAUGAUCCAAAAUAAUUAUCAAUUCAGAGGAACCAUGACGGAUGACACAAAUCAACAUCUAAAACGGGACCUUCAAUUUUGUGAUACAUUCUAAUAUAACGGGGUUAUUGAUGAAGCUAUUCAUCUUCGGUUGUUUCCCUUAUCCUUGAUCGAUAUUCGUUUAAGUUAAAGUUAAAGUUAACUUAGUAUUAGCCUUCCUUGGGUUUGAUCCUUGGAGUACUCACCUACUUCGUUGUAAAAACUAUAUUACAACCUGACUCGUAUUCUUGCAGACACCACCUCAAUUCCAUUGAUUUAGUUGCAAUAUUUACACUCUGGAUGUUAGUAUGUCCGGAGGCGGUCAAGUGUUUGGUGCCAUAGCCGAGGAGGCAACGCUAGUAAAUUGAUUUUAAUUUUUGAGUUUUAUAGGAUAAUUUGGAAAUUUAUAAAUUGUAGAUACAAUUUUUUUUAUUGUUACUAACAUCUUUUAUUUUCCUUUUAGUUUCAGUGUAUGUCUUGCAGUAGUGGAACAGUUAUAGAGCGAGUCACUGAUCUAGAGAGAAUAAUCUGUAGGAAUUGUCAAUAGCCAUAGCAGAUGCAAAACCAAUCACUUGUACUAAUUAGAUCUAUAUUCGUUUAAGUUAAAGUUAAUUUAGUAUUAGCCUCCCUUGGGUUUGAUCCUUGGAGUACUCACCUACUUUGUUGUAAAAACUAUAUUACAACCUGACUCGUCCACUUGCAGACACCACCUCAAUUCCAUUCAUUUAGUUUCAAUAUUUACACUCUGGAUGUUAGUAUGUCCGGAGGCGGUCAAGUGAUUGGAGCCAUUGCCGAGGAGGCAACGCUACUAAAUUGAUUUUAACUUUUGAGUUUUAUAGGAUAAUUUGGAAAUUUAUAAAUUGUAGAUACAAUUUUUUUAUUGUUACUAACAUCUUUAUUUUCUUUUUAGUUUCAGUGUAGGACUCGUAGUAGUGGAACAAUUAUAGAGCGAGUCACGGAUCUAGAGAGAAUAAUCUGUAGGAAUCGUCACUAGCCAUAGCAGAUGCAAAACCAAUCACCUGUUGCAAGCAAUCUACCAUGCGAUAACUCGUUGUUUGAUGAGGAAAACGAACUUAACAUCCAAGACUUACCACCACCACCGCAAUUACCAGCAAACCCUUCGAUGGCAUGAGAAGAGCGAAACCUAAGGGAUUACGCACUACCAAAUCUGGUGAUGGUUCAACGUAGCAUUACAAGGCCAACCAUAAUGGAAAAUAAUUUUGAAAUAAAAUCGACCAUGAUCUAGAUGAUCCAAAAUAAUCAUCAAUUCAGAGGAACCAUGACGGAUGACACAAAUCAACAUCUAAAAUGGGACCUUCAAUUUUGUGAUACAUUCUAAUAUAACGGGGUUAUUGAUGAAGCUAUUCAUCUUCGGUUGUUUCCCUUAUCCUUGAUCGAUAUUCGUUAAAGUUAAAGUUAAAGUUAACUUAGUAUUAGCCUUCCUUGGGUUUGAUCCUUGGAGUACUCACCUACUUCGUUGUAAAAACUAUAUUACAACCUGACUCGUAUACUUGCAGACACCACCUCAAUUCUAUUGAUUUAGGUGCCAUAUUUACACUCUAGAUGUUAGUAUGUCUGGAGGCGGUCAAGUGUUUGGUGCCAUUUUCGAGUAGGCAACGCUACUAAAUUGAUUUUAAUUUUUGAGUUUUAUAGGAUAAUUUUGAAAUUUAAAAAUUGUAGGUACAAUUUUUUUUAUUGUUACUAACAUCUUUUAUUUUCCUUUUAGUUUCAGUGUAUGUCUUGCAGAAGUGGAACUGUUAUAGAGCGAGUCACUGAUCGAGAGAGAAUAAUCUGUAGGAAUCGUCAAUAGCCAUAGCAGAUGCAAAACCAAUCACUUGUACUAAUUAGAUCUAUAUUCGUUUAAGUUAAAGUUAAUUUAGUAUUAGCCUCCCUUGGGUUUGAUCCUUGGAGUACUCAACUACUUUGUUGUAAAAACUAUUUUACAACCUGACUCGUCUACUUGCAGACACCACCUCAAUUCCAUUCAUUUAGUUUCAAUAUUUACACUCUGGAUGUUAGUAUGUCCGGAGGCGGUCAAGUGAUUGGAGCCAUUGCCGAGGAGGCAACGCUACUAAAUUGAUUUUAACUUUUGAGUUUUGUAGGAUAAUUUGGAAAUUUAUAAAUUGUAGAUACAAUUUUUUUAUUGUUACUAACGUCUUUAUUUUCUUUUUAGUUUCAGUGUAGGACUCGUAGUAGUGGAACAAUUAUAGAGCGAGUCACUGAUCUAGAGAGAAUAAUCUCUAGGAAUCGUCAAUAGCCAUAGCAGAUGCAAAACCAAUCAUCUGUUGCAAGCAAUCUACCAUGCAAUAAAUCGUUGUUUGAUGAGGUAAACGAACUUAACAUCCAAGACAUACCACCACCACCGCAAUUACCAGCAAACCCUUCGAUGGCAUUAGAAGAGCGAAACCUAAGGGAUUACGCACUACCAAAUCUGGUGAUGGUUCAAGGUAGCAUUACAAGGCCAACCAUUAUGGAAAAUUAUUUUGAAAUAAAAUAGACCAUGAUCUAAAUGAUCCAAAAUAAUCUGCAAUUCAGAGACACCAUGACGGAUGUCCCAAAUCAACAUCUAAAACGGGUCCUUCAAUUUUGGGAUACAUUUAAAUAUAACGGGGUCAUUGAUGAAGCUAUUAAUCUUCGAUUGUUUCCCUUAUCCUUGAUCGAUAUUCAUUUAAGUUAAAGUUAAAGUUAAUUUAGUAUUAGCCUUCCUUGGGUUUGAUCCUUGGAGUACUCACCUACUUUGUUGUAAAAACUAUAUUACAACCUGACUCGUAUACUUGCAGACACCACCUCAAUUCCAUUCAUUUAGUUUCAAUAUUUACACUCUGGAUGUUAGUAUGUCCGGAGGCGGUCAAGUGAUUGGAGCCAUUGCCGAGGAGGCAACGCUACUAAAUUGAUUUUAACUUUUGAGUUUUGUAGGAUAAUUUGGAAAUUUAUAAAUUGUAGAUACAAUUUUUUUGUUGUUACUAACAUCUUUAUUUUCUUUUUAGUUUCAGUGUAGGACUCGUAGUAGUGGAACAAUUAUAGAGUGAGUCACUGAUCUAGAGAGAAUAAUCUGUAGGAAUCGUCAAUAGCCAUAGCAGAUGCAAAACUAUUCACCUGUUGCAAGCAAUCUACCAUGCGAUAACUCGUUGUUUGAUGGGGAAAACGAACUUAACAUCCAAGACUUACCACCACCACCGCAAUUACCAGCAAACCCUUCGAUGGCAUGAGAAGAGCGAAACCUAAGGGAUUACGCACUACCAAAUCUGGUGAUGGUUCAAGGUAGCAUUACAAGGCCAACCAUUAUGGAAAAUAAUUUUGAAAUAAAAUCGACCAUGAUCUAGAUGAUCCAAAAUAAUCAUCAAUUCAGAGGAACCAUGACGGAUGACACAAAUCAACAUCUAAAACGGGACCUUCAAUUUUGUGAUACAUUCUAAUAUAACGGGGUUAUUGAUGAAGCUAUUCAUCUUCGGUUGUUUCCCUUAUCCUUGAUCGAUAUUCGUUUAAGUUAAAGUUAAAGUUAACUUAAUAUUAGCCUUCCUUGGGUUUGAUCCUUGGAGUACUCACCUACUUCGUUGUAAAAACUAUAUUACAACCUGACUCGUAUACUUGCAGACACCACCUCAAUUCCAUUCAUUUAGUUGCAAUAUUUACACUCUGGAUGUUAGUAUGUCCGGAGGCGGUCAAGUGUUUGGUGCCAUUGCCGAGGAGGCAACGCUACUAAAUUGAUUUUAAUUUUUGAGUUUUAUAGGAUAAUUUGGUAAUUUAUAAAUUGUAGAUACAAUUUUUUUAUUGUUACUAACAUCUUUUAUUUUCCUUUUAGUUUCAGUGUAUGUCUUGUAGUAGUGGAACUGUUAUAGAGCGAGUCGCUGAUCUAGAGAGAAUAAUCUGUAGGAAUCGUCAAUAGCCAUAGCAGAUGCAAAACCAAUCACUUGUACUAAUUAGAUCUAUAUUCGUUUAAGUUAAAGUUAAUUUAGUAUUAGCCUCCCUUGGGUUUGAUCCUUGGAGUACUCACCUACUUUGUUGUAAAAAGUAUAUUACAACCUGACUCGUCUACUUGCAGACACCACCUCAAUUCCAUUCAUUUAGUUUCAAUAUUUACACUCUGGAUGUUAGUAUGUCCGGAGGCGGUCAAGUGAUUGGAGCCAUUGCCGAGGAGGCAACGCUACUAAAUUGAUUUUAACUUUUGAGUUUUAUAGGAUAAUUUGGAAAUUUAUAAAUUGUAGAUAGAAUUUUUUUAUUGUCACUAACAUCUUUUAUUUUCUUUUUAGUUUAAGUGUAGGACUCGUAGUAGUGGAACAAUUAUAGAGCGAGUCACUGAUCUAGAGAGAAUAAUCUGUAGGAAUCGUCAAUAGCCAUAGCAGAUGCAAAACCAAUCACCUGUUGCAAGCAAUCUACCAUGCGAUAACUCGUUGUUUGAUGAGGAAAACGAACUUAACAUCCAAGACUUACCACCACCACCGCAAUUACCAGCAAACCCUUCGAUGGCAUGAGAAGAGCGAAACCUAAGGGAUUACGCACUACCAAAUCUGGUGAUGGUUCAAGGUAGCAUUACAAGGCCAACCAUUAUGGAAAAUAAUUUUGAAAUAAAAUCGACCAUGAUCUAGAUGAUCCAAAAUAAUCAUCAAUUCAGAGGAACCAUGACGGAUGACACAAAUCAACAUCUAAAACGGGACCUUCAAUUUUGUGAUACAUUCUAAUAUAACGGGGUUAUUGAUGAAGCUAUUCAUCUUCGGUUGUUUCCCUUAUCCUUGAUCGAUAUUCGUUUAAGUUAAAGUUAAAGUUAACUUAGUAUUAGCCUUCCUUGGGUUUGAUCCUUGGAGUACUCACCUACUUCGUUGUAAAAACUAUAUUACAACCUGACUCGUAUACUUGCAGACACCACCUCAAUUCCAUUGAUUUAGUUGCAAUAUUUACACUCUGGAUGUUAGUAUGUCCGGAGGCGGUCAAGUGUUUGGUGCCAUAGCCGAGGAGGCAACGCUAGUAAAUUGAUUUUAAUUUUUGAGUUUUAUAGGAUAAUUUGGAAAUUUAUAGAUUGUAGAUACAAUUUUUUUUAUUGUUACUAACAUCUUUUAUUUUCCUUUUAGUUUCAGUGUAUGUCUUGCAGUAGUGGAACAGUUAUAGAGCGAGUCACUGAUCUGGAGAGAAUAAUCUGUAGGAAUCGUCAAUAGCCAUAGCAGAUGCAAAACCAAUCACUUGUACUAAUUAGAUCUAUAUUCGUUUAAGUUAAAGUUAAUUUAGUAUUAGCCUCCCUUGGGUUUGAUCCUUGGAGUACUCACCUACUUUGUUGUAAAAACUAUAUUACAACCUGACUCGUCUACUUGCAGACACCACCUCAAUUCCAUUCAUUUAGUUUCAAUAUUUACACUCUGGAUGUUAGUAUGUCCGGAGGCGGUCAAGUGAUUGGAGCCAUUGCCGAGGAGGCAACGCUACUAAAUUGAUUUUAACUUUUGAGUUUUAUAGGAUAAUUUGGAAAUUUAUAAAUUGUAGAUACAAUUUUUUUAUUGUUACUAACAUCUUUAUUUUCUUUUUAGUUUCAGUGUAGGACUCGUAGUAGUGGAACAAUUAUAGAGCGAGUCACGGAUCUAGAGAGAAUAAUCUGUAGGAAUCGUCACUAGCCAUAGCAGAUGCAAAACCAAUCACCUGUUGCAAGCAAUCUACCAUGCGAUAACUCGUUGUUUGAUGAGGAAAACGAACUUAACAUCCAAGACUUACCACCACCACCGCAAUUACCAGCAAACCCUUCGAUGGCAUGAGAAGAGCGAAACCUAAGGGAUUACGCACUACCAAAUCUGGUGAUGGUUCAAGGUAGCAUUACAAGGCCAACCAUAAUGGAAAAUAAUUUUGAAAUAAAAUCGACCAUGAUCUAGAUGAUCCAAAAUAAUCAUCAAUUCAGAGGAACCAUGACGGAUGACACAAAUCAACAUCUAAAAUGGGACCUUCAAUUUUGUGAUACAUUCUAAUAUAACGGGGUUAUUGAUGAAGCUAUUCAUCUUCGGUUGUUUCCCUUAUCCUUGAUCGAUAUUCGUUAAAGUUAAAGUUAAAGUUAACUUAGUAUUAGCCUUCCUUGGGUUUGAUCCUUGGAGUACUCACCUACUUCGUUGUAAAAACUAUAUUACAACCUGACUCGUAUACUUGCAGACACCACCUCAAUUCUAUUGAUUUAGGUGCCAUAUUUACACUCUAGAUGUUAGUAUGUCUGGAGGCGGUCAAGUGUUUGGUGCCAUUUUCGAGUAGGCAACGCUACUAAAUUGAUUUUAAUUUUUGAGUUUUAUAGGAUAAUUUGGAAAUUUAAAAAUUGUAGGUACAAUUUUUUUUAUUGUUACUAACAUAUUUUAUUUUCCUUUUAGUUUCAGUGUAUGUCUUGCAGUAGUGGAACAGUUAUAGAGCGAGUCACUGAUCUAGAGAGAAUAAUCUGUAGGAAUCGUCAAUAGCCAUAGCAGAUGCAAAACCAAUCACUUGUACUAAUUAGAUCUAUAUUCGUUUAAGUUAAAGUUAAUUUAGUAUUAGCCUCCCUUGGGUUUGAUCCUUGGAGUACUCACCUACUUUGUUGUAAAAACUAUAUUACAACCUGACUCGUCUACUUGCAGACACCACCUCAAUUCCAUUCAUUUACUUUCAAUAUUUACACUCUGGAUGUUAGUAUGUCCGGAGGCGGUCAAGUGAUUGGAGCCAUUGCCGAGGAGGCAACGCUACUAAAUUGAUUUUAACUUUUGAGUUUUGUAGGAUAAUUUGGAAAUUUAUAAAUUGUAGAUACAAUUUUUUUAUUGUUACUAACAUCUUUAUUUUCUUUUUAGUUUCAGUGUAGGACUCGUAGUAGUGGAACAAUUAUAGAGCGAGUCACUGAUCUAGAGAGAAUAAUCUGUAGGAAUCGUCAAUAGCCAUAGCAGAUGCAAAACCAAUCAUCUGUUGCAAGCAAUCUACCAUGCGAUAAAUCGUUGUUUGAUGAGGUAAACGAACUUAACAUCCAAGACAUACCACCACCACCGCAAUUACCAGCAAACCCUUCGAUGGCAUUAGAAGAGCGAAACCUAAGGGAUUACGCACUACCAAAUCUGGUGAUGGUUCAAGGUAGCAUUACAAGGCCAACCAUUAUGGAAAAUUAUUUUGAAAUAAAAUAGACCAUGAUCUAAAUGAUCCAAAAUAAUCUGCAAUUCAGAGACACCAUGACGGAUGUCCCAAAUCAACAUCUAAAACGGGUCCUUCAAUUUUGGGAUACAUUUAAAUAUAACGGGGUCAUUGAUGAAGCUAUUAAUCUUCGGUUGUUUCCCUUAUCCUUGAUCGAUAUUCAUUUAAGUUAAAGUUAAAGUUAAUUUAGUAUUAGCCUUCCUUGGGUUUGAUCCUUGGAGUACUCACCUACUUUGUUGUAAAAACUAUAUUACAACCUGACUCGUAUACUUGCAGACACCACCUCAAUUCCAUUCAUUUAGUUUCAAUAUUUACACUCUGGAUGUUAGUAUGUCCGGAGGCGGUCAAGUGAUUGGAGCCAUUGCCGAGGAGGCAACGCUACUAAAUUGAUUUUAACUUUUGAGUUUUGUAGGAUAAUUUGGAAAUUUAUAAAUUGUAGAUACAAUUUUUUUGUUGUUACUAACAUCUUUAUUUUCUUUUUAGUUUCAGUGUAGGACUCGUAGUACUGGAACAAUUAUAGAGUGAGUCACGGAUCUAGAGAGAAUAAUCUGUAGGAAUCGUCAAUAGCCAUAGCAGAUGCAAAACUAUUCACCUGUUGCAAGCAAUCUACCAUGCGAUAACUCGUUGUUUGAUGGGGAAAACGAACUUAACAUCCAAGACUUACCACCACCACCGCAAUUACCAGCAAACCCUUCGAUGGCAUGAGAAGAGCGAAACCUAAGGGAUUACGCACUACCAAAUCUGGUGAUGGUUCAAGGUAGCAUUACAAGGCCAACCAUUAUGGAAAAUAAUUUUGAAAUAAAAUCGACCAUGAUCUAGAUGAUCCAAAAUAAUCAUCAAUUCAGAGGAACCAUGACGGAUGACACAAAUCAACAUCUAAAACGGGACCUUCAAUUUUGUGAUACAUUCUAAUAUAACGGGGUUAUUGAUGAAGCUAUUCAUCUUCGGUUGUUUCCCUUAUCCUUGAUCGAUAUUCGUUUAAGUUAAAGUUAAAGUUAACUUAAUAUUAGCCUUCCUUGGGUUUGAUCCUUGGAGUACUCACCUACUUCGUUGUAAAAACUAUAUUACAACCUGACUCGUAUACUUGCAGACACCACCUCAAUUCCAUUCAUUUAGUUGCAAUAUUUACACUCUGGAUGUUAGUAUGUCCGGAGGCGGUCAAGUGUUUGGUGCCAUUGCCGAGGAGGCAACGCUACUAAAUUGAUUUUAAUUUUUGAGUUUUAUAGGAUAAUUUGGUAAUUUAUAAAUUGUAGAUACAAUUUUUUUAUUGUUACUAACAUCUUUUAUUUUCCUUUUAGUUUCAGUGUAUGUCUUGUAGUAGUGGAACUGUUAUAGAGCGAGUCGCUGAUCUAGAAAGAAUAAUCUGUAGGAAUCGUCAAUAGCCAUAGCAGAUGCAAAACCAAUCACUUGUACUAAUUAGAUCUAUAUUCGUUUAAGUUAAAGUUAAUUUAGUAUUAGCCUCCCUUGGGUUUGAUCCUUGGAGUACUCACCUACUUUGUUGUAAAAAGUAUAUUACAACCUGACUCGUCUACUUGCAGACACCACCUCAAUUCCAUUCAUUUAGUUUCAAUAUUUACACUCUGGAUGUUAGUAUGUCCGGAGGCGGUCAAGUGAUUGGAGCCAUUGCCGAGGAGGCAACGCUACUAAAUUGAUUUUAACUUUUGAGUUUUAUAGGAUAAUUUGGAAAUUUAUAAAUUGUAGAUAGAAUUUUUUUAUUGUCACUAACAUCUUUUAUUUUCUUUUUAGUUUAAGUGUAGGACUCGUAGUAGUGGAACAAUUAUAGAGCGAGUCACUGAUCUAGAGAGAAUAAUCUGUAGGAAUCGUCAAUAGCCAUAGCAGAUGCAAAACCAAUCACCUGUUGCAAGCAAUCUACCAUGCGAUAACUCGUUGUUUGAUGAGGAAAACGAACUUAACAUCCAAGACUUACCACCACCACCGCAAUUACCAGCAAACCCUUCGAUGGCAUGAGAAGAGCGAAACCUAAGGGAUUACACACUACCAAAUCUGGUGAUGGUUCAAGGUAGCAUUACAAGGCCAACCAUUAUGGAAAAUAAUUUUGAAAUAAAAUCGACCAUGAUCUAGAUGAUCCAAAAUAAUCAUCAAUUCAGAGGAACCAUGACGGAUGACACAAAUCAACAUCUAAAACGGGACCUUCAAUUUUGUGAUACAUUCUAAUAUAACGGGGUUAUUGAUGAAGCUAUUCAUCUUCGGUUGUUUCCCUUAUCCUUGAUCGAUAUUCGUUUAAGUUAAAGUUAAAGUUAACUUAGUAUUAGCCUUCCUUGGGUUUGAUCCUUGGAGUACUCACCUACUUCGUUGUAAAAACUAUAUUACAACCUGACUCGUAUACUUGCAGACACCACCUCAAUUCCAUUGAUUUAGUUGCAAUAUUUACACUCUGGAUGUUAGUAUGUCCGGAGGCGGUCAAGUGUUUGGUGCCAUAGCCGAGGAGGCAACGCUAGUAAAUUGAUUUUAAUUUUUGAGUUUUAUAGGAUAAUUUGGAAAUUUAUAAAUUGUAGAUACAAUUUUUUUAUUGUUACUAACAUCUUUUAUUUUCCUUUUAGUUUCAGUGUAUGUCUUGCAGUAGUGGAACAGUUAUAGAGCGAGUCACUGAUCUAGAGAGAAUAAUCUGUAGGAAUCGUCAAUAGCCAUAGCAGAUGCAAAACCAAUCACUUGUACUAAUUAGAUCUAUAUUCGUUUAAGUUAAAGUUAAUUUAGUAUUAGCCUCCCUUGGGUUUGAUCCUUGGAGUACUCACCUACUUUGUUGUAAAAACUAUAUUACAACCUGACUCGUCUACUUGCAGACACCACCUCAAUUCCAUUCAUUUAGUUUCAAUAUUUACACUCUGGAUGUUAGUAUGUCCGGAGGCGGUCAAGUGAUUGGAGCCAUUGCCGAGGAGGCAACGCUACUAAAUUGAUUUUAACUUUUGAGUUUUAUAGGAUAAUUUGGAAAUUUAUAAAUUGUAGAUACAAUUUUUUUAUUGUUACUAACAUCUUUAUUUUCUUUUUAGUUUCAGUGUAGGACUCGUAGUAGUGGAACAAUUAUAGAGCGAGUCACGGAUCUAGAGAGAAUAAUCUGUAGGAAUCGUCACUAGCCAUAGCAGAUGCAAAACCAAUCACCUGUUGCAAGCAAUCUACCAUGCGAUAACUCGUUGUUUGAUGAGGAAAACGAACUUAACUUCCAAGACUUACCACCACCACCGCAAUUACCAGCAAACCCUUCGAUGGCAUGAGAAGAGCGAAACCUAAGGGAUUACGCACUACCAAAUCUGGUGAUGGUUCAAGGUAGCAUUACAAGGCCAACCAUAAUGGAAAAUAAUUUUGAAAUAAAAUCGACCAUGAUCUAGAUGAUCCAAAAUAAUCAUCAAUUCAGAGGAACCAUGACGGAUGACACAAAUCAACAUCUAAAAUGGGACCUUCAAUUUUGUGAUACAUUCUAAUAUAACGGGGUUAUUGAUGAAGCUAUUCAUCUUCGGUUGUUUCCCUUAUCCUUGAUCGAUAUUCGUUUAAGUUAAAGUUAAAGUUAACUUAGUAUUAGCCUUCCUUAGGUUUGAUCCUUGGAGUACUCACCUACUUCGUUGUAAAAACUAUAUUACAACCUGACUCGUAUACUUGCAGACACCACCUCAAUUCCAUUCAUUAAGUUGCAAUAUUUACACUCUGGAUGUUAGUAUGUCCGGAGGCGGUCAAAUGUUUGGUGCCAUUGCCAAGGAGGCAACACUACUAAAUUGAUUUUAAUUUUUGAGUUUUAUAGGAUAAUUUGGAAAUUUAUAAAUUGUAGAUACAAUUUUUUUAUUGUUACUAACAUCUUUAUUUUCUUUUUAGUUUCAGUGUAGGACUCGUAGUAGUGGAACAAUUAUAGAGCGAGUCACGGAUCUAGAGAGAAUAAUUUGUAGGAAUCGUCACUAGCCAUAGCAGAUGCAAAACCAAUCAUCUGUUGCAAGCAAUCUACCAUGCGAUAAAUCGUUGUUUGAUGAGGUAAACGAACUUAACAUCCAAGACAUACCACCACCACCGCAAUUACCAGCAAACCCUUCGAUGGCAUUAGAAGAGCGAAACCUAAGGGAUUACGCACUACCAAAUCUGGUGAUGGUUCAAGGUAGCAUUACAAGGCCAACCAUUAUGGAAAAUUAUUUUGAAAUAAAAUAGACCAUGAUCUAAAUGAUCCAAAAUAAUCUGCAAUUCAGAGGACACCAUGACGGAUGUACCCAAAUCAACAUCUAAAACGAGUCCUUCAAUUUUGGGAUACAUUUAAAUAUAACGGGGUCAUUGAUGAAGCUAUUCAUCUUCGGUUGUUUCCCUUAUCCUUGAUCGAUAUUCAUUUAAGUUAAAGUUAAAGUUAAUUUAGUAUUAGCCUUCCUUGGGUUUGAUCCUUGGAGUACUCACCUACUUUGUUGUAAAAACUAUAUUACAACCUGACUCGUAUACUUGCAGACACCACCUCAAUUCCAUUACAUUUAGUUUCAAUAUUUACACUCUGGAUGUUAGUAUGUCCGGAGGCGGUCAAGUGAUUUGGUAGCCAUUGCCGAAGGAGGCAACGCUACUAAAUUGAUUUUAACUUUUGAGUUUUAUAGGAUAAUUUAGAAAUUUAUAAAUUGUAGAUACAAUUUUUUUAGUUGUUACUAACAUCUUUUAUUUUCUUUUUAGUUUCAGUGUAUGGACUCGUAGUAGUGGAACAGUUAUAGAGCGAGUCACUGAUCUAGAGAGAAUAAUCUGUAGGAAUCGUCAAUAGCCAUAGCAGAUGCAAAACAAUCACCUGUUGCAAGCAAUCUACCAUGCAAUAACUCGUUGUUUGAUGAGGUAAACGAACUUAACAUCCAAGACUUACCACCACCACCGCAAUUACCAGCAAACCCUUCGAUGGCAUGAGAAGAGCGAAACCUAAGGGAUUACGCACUACCAAAUAUGGUGAUGGUUCAAGGUAGCAUUACAAGGCCAACCAUUAUGGAAAAUAAUUUUGAAAUAAAAUCGACCAUGAUCUAGAUGAUCCAAAAUAAUCAUCAAUUUAGAGGAACCAUGACGGAUGACACCAAAUCAACAUCUAAAACGGGACCUUCAAUUUUGUGAUACAUUCUAAUAUAACGGGGUUAUUGAUGAAGCUAUUCAUCUUCGGUUGUUUCCCUUAUCCUUGAUCGAUAUUCGUUUAAGUUAAAGUUAAAGUUAAUUAAGUAUUAGCCUUCCUUGGGUUUGAUCCUUGGAGUACUCACCUACUUCGUUGUAAAAACUAUAUUACAACCUGACCUCGUAUACUUGCAGACACCACCUCAAUUCCAUUCAUUUAGUUGCAAUAUUUACACUCUGGAUGUUAGUAUGUCCGGAGGCGGUCAAGUGUUUGGUGCCAUUGCCGAGGAGGCAACGCUACUAAAUUGAUUUUAAUUUUUGAGUUUUAUAGGAUAAUUUGGAAAUUUAUAAAUUGUAGAUACAAUUUUUUUAUUGUUACUAACAUCUUUUAUUUUCCUUUUAGUUUCAGUGUAUGUCUUGUAGUAGUGGAACAUGUUAUAGAGCGAGUCACUGAUCUAGAGAGAAUAAUCUGUAGGAAUCGUCAAUAGCCAUAGCAGAUGCAAAACCAAUCACCUGUACUAAUUAGAUCUAUAUUCGUUUAAGUUCAAGUUAAUUUAGUAUUAGCCUCCCUGGGUUUGAUCCUUGGAGUACUCACCUACUUUGUUGUAAAAACUAUAUUACAACCUGACUCGUCUACUUGCAGACACCACCUCAAUUCCAUUCAUUUAGUUUCAAUAUUUACACUCUGGAUGUUAGUAUGUUCGGAGGCGGUCAAGUGUUUGGAGCCAUUGCCGAGGAGGCAACGCUACUAAAUUGAUUUUAAUUUUUGAGUUUUAUAGGAUAAUUUGGAAAUUUAUAAAUUGUAGAUACAAUUUUUUUAUUGUUACUAACAUCUUUUAUUUUCUUUUUAGUUUCAGUGUAGGACUCGUAGUAGUGGAACAAUUAUAGAGCGAGUCACUGAUCUAGAGAGAAUAAUCUGUAGGAAUCGUCAAUAGCCAUAGCAGAUGCAAAACCAAUCACCUGUUGCAAGCAAUCUACCAUGCGAUAACCCGUUGUUUGAUGAGGUAAACGAACUUAACAUCCAAGACAUUACCACCACCACCGCAAUUACCAGCAAACCCUUCGAUGGCAUGAGAAGAGCGAAACCUAAGGGAUUACGCACUACCAAAUAUGGUGAUGGUUCAAGGUAGCAUUACAAGGCCAACCAUUAUGGAAAAUUAUUUUGAAAUAAAAUCGACCAUGAUCUAGAUGAUCCAAAAUAAUCUGCAAUUCAGAGGACACCAUGACGGAUGUCCCAAAUCAACAUCUAAAACGGGUCCUUCAAUUUUGUGAUACAUUUAAAUAUAACGGGGUCAUUGAUGAAGCUAUUGAUCUUCGGUUGUUUCCCUUAUCCUUGAUCGAUAUUCAGUUUAAGUUAAAGUUAAAGUUAAUUUAGUAUUAGCCUUCCUUGGGUUUGAUCCUUGGAGUACUCACCUACUUUAUUGUAAAAACUAUAUUACAACCUGACUCGUAUACUUGCAGACACCACCUCAAUUCCAUUCAUUUAGUUGACAAUAUUUACACUCUGGAUGUUAGUAUGUCCUGGAGGCAGGUCAAGUGUUUGGUGCCAUUACCGAGGAGGCAGCGCUACUAAAUUGAUUUUAAUUUUUGAGUUUUAUAGGAUAAUUUGGAAAUUUAUAAAUUGUAGAUACAAUUUUUUUAUUGUUACUAACAUCUUUUAUUUCUUUUUAGUUUCAGUGUAGGACUCGUAGUAGUGGAACCAGUUAUAGAGCGAGUCAUUGAUCUAAAGAGAAUAAUCUGUAGGAAUCAUCAAUAGCCAUAGCAGAUGCAAAACCAAUCACCUGUACCAAUUAGAUCUAUAUUCGUUGAAUUUCAAGUUAAUUUAGUAUUAGCCUCCAUUGGGUUUGAUCCUUGGAGUACUCACCUACUUCGUUGUAAAAACUACAUUACAACCUGACUCGUAUACUUGCAGACACCACCUCAAUUCCAUUCAUUUAGUUGCAAUAUUUACACUCUAAAUGUUAGUAUGUCCGGAGGAGGUCAAGUGUUUGGUGCCAUUGCUGAGGAGGCAACGCUACUAAAUUGAUUAUAAUUUUUGAGUUUUAUAGGAUAAUUUGGAAAUUUAUAAAUUGUAGAUACAAUUUUUUUAUUGUUACUAACAUCUUUUAUUUUCUUUUUAGUUUCAGUGUAUGGCUCGUAGUAGUGAACAGUUAUAGAGCGAGUCACUGAUCUAAAGAGAAUAAUCUGUAGGAAUCGUCAAUAGCCAUAGCAGAUGAAAACCAAUCACUUGUACUAAUUAGAUCUAUAUUCGUUUAAGUUAAAGUUAAUUUAGUAUUAGCCUUCCUUGGGUUGAUCCCUGGAGUACUCACCUACUUCGUUAUAAAAACUAUAUUACAAACUGACUCGUCUACUUGCAGACACCACCUCAAUUCCAUUCAUUUAGUUGCAAUAUUUACACUCUGGUUGUUAGUAUGUCGGAGGCGGUCAAGUGUUUGGAGCCAUUGCCGAGGAGGCAACGCUACUAAAUUGAUUUAAUUUUUGAGUUUUAUAGGAUAAUUUGGAAAUUUAUAAAUUGUAGAUACAAUUUUUUUAUUGUUACUAACAUCUUUUAUUUUCUUUUUAUUUUCAGUGUAGGACUCGUAGUAGUGGAACAAUUAUAGAGCGAGUCACUGAUCUGAGAGAAUAAUCUGUAGGAAUCGUCAAUAGCCAUAGCAGUUGCAAAACCAAUCACCUAUUGCAAGCAAUCUACCAUGCGAUAACUCGUUGUUUGAUGAGGUAAACGAACUUAACAUCCAAGACUUACCACCCCCACCGCAAUUGCCAGCAAACCCUUCGAUGGCAUGAGAAGGGCGAAACCUAAGGGAUUACGCACUACCAAAUAUGGUGAUGGUUCAAGGUAGCAUUACAAGGCCAACCAUUACGGAAAAUAAUUUUGAAAUAAAAUCGACCAUGAUCUAGAUGAUCCAAAAUAAUCUGCAAUUCAGAGGCACCAUGACGGAUGACCCAAAUCAACAUCUAAAACGGGUCCUUCAAUUUUGUGAAUCAUUUAAAUAUAACGGGGUUAUUGAUGAAGCUAUUCAUCUUCGGUUGUUUCCCUUACCUUGAUCGAUAUUUAGUUUAAGUUAAAGUUAAAGUUAAUUUAGUAUUAGCCUUCCUUGGGUUUGAUCCUUGGAGUACUCACCUACUUCAUUGUAAAAACUAUAUUUCAACCUGACUCGUAUACUUGUAGACACCACCUCAAUUCCAUUCAUUUAGUUGCAAUAUUUACACUCUGGAUGUUAGUAUGUCCGGAGGCGGUGAAGUGUUUGGUGCCAUUGCCGAGGAGGCAAUGCUACUAAAUUGAUUUUAAUUUUUGAGUUUUAUAGGAUAAGUUGGAAAUUUAUAAAUUGUAGAUACAAUUUUUUUAUUGUUACUAACAUCUUUUAUUUUCUUUUUAGUUUCAGUGUAUGGCUCGUAGUAGUGGAACAGUGAUAGAGCGAGUCACUGAUCUAGAGAGAAUAAUCUCUAGGAAUCGUCAAUAGCCAUAGCAGAUGCAAAACCAAUCACCUGUACUAAUUAGAUCUAUAUUCGUUUAAGUUCAAGUUAAUUUAGUAUUAGCCUCCCUUGGGUUUGAUCCUUGGAGUACUCACCUACUUCAGUUGUAAAAACUAUAUUACAACCUGACUCGUGUACUUGCAGACACCACCUCAAUUCCAUUCAUUUAGUUUCAAUAUUUACACUCUGGAUGUUAGUAUGUUCGGAGGCGGUCAAGUGUUUGGAGCCAUUGCCGAGGAGGCAACACUACUAAAUUGAUUUUAAUUUUUGAGUUUUAUAGGAUAAUUUGGAAAUUUAUAAAUUGUAGAUACAAUUUUUUUAUUGUUACUAACAUCUUUUAUUUUCUUUUUAGUUUCAGUGUAGGACUCGUAGUAGUGGAACAAUUAUAAAGCGAGUCACUGAUCUAGAGAGAAUAAUCUGUAGGAAUCGUCAAUAGCCAUAGCAGUUGCAAAACCAAUCACCUGUUGCAAGCAAUCUACCAUGCGAUAACCCGUUGUUUGAUGAGGUAAACGAACUUAAUAUCCAAGACUUACCACCACCACCGUAAAUUACCAGCAAACCCUUCGAUGGCAUGAGAAGGGCGAAACCUAAGGGAUUACGCACUACCAAAUAUGGUGAUGGUUCAAGGUAGCAUUACAAGGCCAACCAUUAUGGAAAAUAAUUUUGAAAUAAAAUCGACCAUGAUCUAGAUGAUCCAAAAUAAUCUGCAAUUCAGAGGAACCAUGACGGAUGACACAAAUCAACAUCUAAAAUGGGGCCUUCAAUUUUGUGAUACAUUCUAAUAUAACGGGGUCAUUGAUGAAGCUAUUCAUCUUCGGUUGUUUCCCUUAUCCUGAUCGAUAUUCGUUAAGUUAAAGUUAAAGUUAAUUUAGUAUUAGCCUUCCUUGGGUUUGAUCCUUGGAGUACUCACCUACUUCGUUGUAAAAACUAUAUUACAACCUGACUCGUAUACUUGCAGACACCACCUCAAUUCCAUUCAUUAGUUGCAAUAUUUACACUCUGGAUGUUAGUAUGUCCGGAGGCGGUCAAUUGUUUGGUGCCAUUGCCGAGGACGCAACGCUACUGAAUUGAUUUUAAUUUUUAGUUUAUAGGAUAAUUUGGAAAUUUAUGAAUUGUAGAUACAAUUUUUUUAUUGUUACUAACAUCUUUUAUUUUCUUUUUAGUUUUCAGUGUAUGGCUCGUAGUAGUGGAACAGUUAUAGAGUGAGUCACUGAUCUAAAGAGAAUAAUCUGUAGGAAUCGUCAAUAGCCAUAGCAGAUGCAAAACCAAUCACCUGUACUAAUUAGAUAUAUAUUCGUUAAGUUCAAGUUAAUUUAGUAUUAGCCUUCCUUGGGUUUGAUCCUUGGAGUACUCACCUACUUCGUAAAAACUAUAUUACAACCUGACGUUAUACUUGCAGACACCACCUCAAUUCCAUUCAUUUAGUUGCAAUAUUUACACUCUGGAUGUUAGUAUGUCCGGAGGCGGUCAAGUGUUUGGUGCCAUUGCGAGGAGGCAACGCUACUAAAUGAUUUUAAUUUUUGAGUUUUAUAGGAUAAGUUGGAAAUUUAUUAAAUUGUAGAUACACUUUUUUUAUUGUUACUAACAUCUUUAUUUUCUUUUUAGUUUCAGUGUNNNNNNNNNNNNNNNNNNNNNNNNNNNNNNNNNNNNNNNNNNNNNNNNNNNNNNNNNNNNNNNNNNNNNNNNNNNNNNNNNNNNNNNNNNNNNNNNNNNNNNNNNNNNNNNNNNNNNNNNNNNNNNNNNNNNNNNNNNNNNNNNNNNNNNNNNNNNNNNNNNNNNNNNNNNNNNNNNNNNNNNNNNNNNNNNNNNNNNNNNNNNNNNNNNNNNNNNNNNNNNNNNNNNNNNNNNNNNNNNNNNNNNNNNNNNNNNNNNNNNNNNNNNNNNNNNNNNNNNNNNNNNNNNNNNNNNNNNNNNNNNNNNNNNNNNNNNNNNNNNNNNNNNNNNNNNNNNNNNNNNNNNNNNNNNNNNNNNNNNNNNNNNNNNNNNNNNNNNNNNNNNNNNNNNNNNNNNNNNNNNNNNNNNNNNNNNNNNNNNNNNNNNNNNNNNNNNNNNNNNNNNNNNNNNNNNNNNNNNNNNNNNNNNNNNNNNNNNNNNNNNNNNNNNNNNNNNNNNNNUUCCAUUCAUUUAGUUGCAAUACUUACACUCUGGAUGUUAGUAUGCCCGGAGGCGGUCAAGAGUUUGGUGCCAUUGCCGAGGAGGCAACGCUACUAAAUUGAUUUUAAUUUUUGAGUUUUAUAGGAUAAUUUGGAAAUUUAUAAAUUGUAGAUACAAUUUUUUUAUUGUUACUAACAUCUUUUAUUUUCUUUUUAGUUUCAGUGUAUGACUCGUAGUAGUGGAACAGUUAUAGAGCGAGUCACUGAUCUAGAGAGAAUAAUCUGUAGGAAUCGUCAAUAGCCAUAGCAGAUGCAAAACCAAUCACCUGUUGCAAGCAAUCUACUAUGCGAUAACCCGUUGUUUGGUGAGGUAAACGAACUUAACAUCCAAGACUUACCACCACCACCGCUAUUACCAGCAAACCCUUCGAUGGCAUGAGAAGGGCGAAACCUAAGGGAUUCCGCACUACCAAAUAUGGUGAUGGUUCAAGGUAGCAUUACAAGGCAAACCAUUAUGGAAAAUAAUUUUGAAAUAAAAUCGACCAUGAUCUAGAUGAUCCAAACUAAUCUUCAAUUCAGAGGAACCAUGACGGAUGACCCAAAUCAACAUCUAAAACGGGUCCUUCAAUUUUGUGAUGCAUUUAAAUAUAACGGGGUCAUUAAUGAAGCUAUUCAUCUUCAGUUGUUUCCCAUAUCCUUGAUCGAUAUUCGUUUAAGUUAAAGUUAAAGUUAAUUUAGUAUUAGCCUUCCUUGUGUUUGAUCCUUGGAGUACUCACCUACUUCAUUGUAAAAACUAUAUUACAACCUGACUCGUAUACUUGCAGACACCACCUCAAUUCCAUUCAUUUAGUUGCAAUAUUUACACUCUGGAUGUUAGUAUGUCCGGAGGCGGUCAAGUGUUUGGUGCCAUUGCCGAGGAGGCAACGCUACUGAAUUGAUUUUAAUUUUUUAGUUUUAUAGAAUAAUUUGGAAAUUUAUAAAUUGUAGAUACAAUUUUCUUAUUGUUACUAGCAUCUUUUAUUUUCUUUUUAGUUUCAGUGUAUGGCUCGUAGCAGUGGAACAGUUAUAGAGCGAGUCACUGAUCUAAAGAGAAUAAUCUGUAGGAAUCGUCAAUAGCCAUAGCAGAUGCAAAACCAAUCACCUGUACUAAUUAGAUCUAUAUUCAUUUAAGUUCAAGUUAAUUUAGUAUUAGCCUCCCUUGGGUUUGAUCCUUGGAGUACUCACCUACUUCGUUGUAAAAACUAUAUUACAACCUGACUCUUGUACUUGCAGACACCACCACAAUUCCAUUCAUUUAGUUUCAAUAUUUACACUCUGGAUGUUAGUAUGUUCGGAGGCGGUCAAGUGUUUGGAGCCAUUGCCGAGGAGGCAACACUACUAAAUUGAUUUUAAUUUUUGAGUUUAAAAGGAUAAUUUGGAAAUUUAUAAAUUGUAGAUAAAUUUUUUUAUUGUUACUAACAUCUUUUAUUUUCUUUUUAGUUUCAGUGUAGGACUCGUAGUAGUGGAACAAUUAUAAAGCGAGUCACUGAUCUAGAGAGAAUAAUCUGUAGGAAUCGUCAAUAGCCAUAGCAGUUGCAAAACCAAUCACCUGUUGCAAGCAAUCUACCAUGCGAUAACCCGUUGUUUGAUGAGGUAAACGAAUUUAAUAUCCAAGACUUACCACCACCACCGCAAUUACCAGCAAACCCUUCGAUGGCAUGAGAAGGGCGAAACCUAAGGGAUUACGCACUACCAAAUAUGUUGAUGGUUCAAGGUAGCAUUACAAGGCCAGCCAUUAUGGAAAAUAAUUUUGAAAUAAAAUCGACCAUGAUCUAGAUGAUCCAAAAUAAUCUGCAAUUCAGAGGCACCAUGACGGAUGACCCAAAUCAACAUCUAAAACGGGUCCUUCAAUUUUGUGAUGCAUUUAAAUAUAACAGGGUCAUUAAUGAAGCUAUUCAUCUUCGGUUGUUUCCCUUAUCCUUGAUCGAUAUUCGUUUAAGUUAAAGUUAAAGUUAAUUUAGUAUUAGCCUUCCUUGGGUUUGAUCCUUGGAGUACUCACCUACUUCAUUGUAAAAACUAUAUUACAACCUGACUCGUAUACUUGUAGACACCACCUCAAUUCCAUUCAUUUAGUUGCAAUAUUUACACUCUGGAUGUUAGUAUGUCCGGAGGCGGUCAAGUGUUUGGUGCCAUUGCCGAGGAGGCAACGCUACUAAAUUGAUUUUAAUUUUUGAGUUUUAUAGGAUAGUUUGGAAAUUUAUAAAUUGUAGAUACAAUUUUUUUAUUGUUACUAACAUCUUUCAUUUUCUUUUUAGUUUCAGUGUAUGACUCGUAGUAGUGGAAGAGUUAUAGUGCGAGUCACUGAUCUAGAGAGAAUAAUCUGUAGGAAUCGUCAAUAGCCAUAGCAGAUGCAAAACCAAUCACCUGUUGCAAGCAAUCUACCAUGCGAUAACCCGUUGUUUGAUGAGGUAAACGAACUUAAUAUCCAAGACUUACCACCACCACCGCAAUUACCAGCAAACCCUUCGAUGGCAUGAGAAGGGCGAAACCUAAGGGAUUACGCACUACCAAAUAUGGUGAUGGUUCAAGGUAGCAUUACAAGGCCAACCAUUAUGGAAAAUAAUUUUGAAAUAAAAUCGACCAUGAUCUAGAUGAUCCAAACUAAUCUUCAAUUCAGAGGCACCAUGACGGAUGACCCAAAUCAACAUCUAAAACGGGUCCUUCAAUUUUGUGAUGCAUUUAAAUAUAACGGGGUUAUUGAUGAAGCUAUUCAUCUUCGGUUGUUUCCCUUAUCCUUGAUCGAUAUUCGAUUAAGUUAAAGUUAAAGUUAAUUUAGUAUUAGCCUUCCUUGGGUUUGAGCCUUGGAGUACUCACCUACUUCAUUGUAAAAACUAUAUUACAACCUGACUCGUAUACUUGCAGACACCACCUCAAUUCCAUUCAUUUAGUUGCAAUAUUUACACUCUGGAUGUUAGUAUGCCCGGAGGCGGUCAAGAGUUUGGUGCCAUUGCCGAGGAGGCAACGCUACUAAAUUGAUUUUAAUUUUUGAGUUUUAUAGGAUAAUUUGGAAAUUUAUAAAUUGUAGAUACAAUUUUUUUUAUUGUUACUAACAUCUUUUAUUUUCUUUUUAGUUUCAGUGUAUGACUCGUAGUAGUGGAACAGUUAUAGAGCGAGUCACUGAUCUAGAGAGAAUAAUCUGUAGGAAUCGUCAAUAGCCAUAGCAGAUGCAAAACCAAUCACCUGUUGCAAGCAAUCUACUAUGCGAUAACCCGUUGUUUGAUGAGGUAAACGAACUUAACAUCCAAGACUUACCACCACCACCGCUAUUACCAGCAAACCCUUCGAUGGGAUGAGAAGGGUGAAACCUAAGGGAUUACGCACUACCAAAUAUGGUGAUGGUUCAAGGUAGCAUUACAAGGCAAACCAUUAUGGAAAAUAAUUUUGAAAUAAAAUCGACCAUGAUCUAGAUGAUCCAAACUAAUCUUCAAUUCAGAGGAACCAUGACGGAUGACCCAAAUCAACAUCUAAAACGGGUCCUUCAAUUUUGUGAUGCAUUUAAAUAUAACGGGGUCAUUAAUGAAGCUAUUCAUCUUCAGUUGUUUCCCAUAUCCUUGAUCGAUAUUCGUUUAAGUUAAAGUUAAUGUUAAUUUAGUAUUAGCCUUCCUUGUGUUUGAUCCUUGGAGUACUCACCUACUUCAUUGUAAAAACUAUAUUACAACCUGACUCGUAUACUUGCAGACACUACCUCAAUUCCAUUCAUUUAGUUGCAAUAUUUACACUCUGGAUGUUAGUAUGUCCGGAGGCGGUCAAGUGUUUGGUGCCAUUGCCGAGGAGGCAACGCUACUGAAUUGAUUUUAAUAUUUUAGUUUUAUAUAAUAAUUUGGAAAUUUAUAAAUUGUAGAUACAAUUUUCUUAUUGUUACUAGCAUCUUUUAUUUUCUUUUUAGUUUCAGUGUAUGGCUCGUAGCAGUGGAACAGUUAUAGAGCGAGUCACUGAUCUAAAGAGAAUAAUCUGUAGGAAUCGUCAAUAGCCAUAGCAGAUGCAAAACCAAUCACCUGUACUAAUUAGAUCUAUAUUCAUUUAAGUUCAAGUUAAUUUAGUAUUAGCCUCCCUUGGGUUUGAUCCUUGGAGUACUCACCUACUUCGUUGUAAAAACUAUAUUACAACCUGACUCUUGUACUUGCAGACACCACCACAAUUCCAUUCAUUUAGUUUCAAUAUUUACACUCUGGAUGUUAGUAUGUUCGGAGGCGGUCAAGUGUUUGGAGCCAUUGCCGAGGAGGCAACACUACUAAAUUGAUUUUAAUUUUUGAGUUUAAAAGGAUAAUUUGGAAAUUUAUAAAUUGUAGAUAAAAUUUUUUUAUUGUUACUAACAUCUUUUAUUUUCUUUUUAGUUUCAGUGUAGGACUCGUAGUAGUGGAACAAUUAUAAAGCGAGUCACUGAUCUAGAGAGAAUAAUCUGUAGGAAUCGUCAAUAGCCAUAGCAGUUGCAAAACCAAUCACCUGUUGCAAGCAAUCUACCAUGCGAUAACCCGUUGUUUGAUGAGGUAAACGAAUUUAAUAUCCAAGACUUACCACCACCACCGUAAUUACCAGCAAACCCUUCGAUGGCAUGAGAAGGGCGAAACCUAAGGGAUUACGCACUACCAAAUAUGUUGAUGGUUCAAGGUAGCAUUACAAGGCCAGCCAUUAUGGAAAAUAAUUUUGAAAUAAAAUCGACCAUGAUCUAGAUGAUCCAAACUAAUCUUCAAUUCAGAGGCACCAUGACGGAUGACCCAAAUCAACAUCUAAAACGGGUCCUUCAAUUUUGUGAUGCAUUUAAAUAUAACGGGGUUAUUGAUGAAGCUAUUCAUCUUCGGUUGUUUCCCUUAUCCUUGAUCGAUAUUCGAUUAAGUUAAAGUUAAAGUUAAUUUAGUAUUAGCCUUCCUUGGGUUUGAGCCUUGGAGUACUCACCUACUUCAUUGUAAAAACUAUAUUACAACCUGACUCGUAUACUUGUAGACACCACCUCAAUUCCAUUCAUUUAGUUGCAAUAUUUACACUCUGGAUGUUAGUAUGUCCGGAGGCGGUCAAGUGUUUGGUGCCAUUGCCGAGGAGGCAACGCUACUAAAUUGAUUUUAAUUUUUGAGUUUUAUAGGAUAGUUUGGAAAUUUAUAAAUUGUAGAUACAAUUUUUUUAUUGUUACUAACAUCUUUCAUUUUUUUUUUAGUUUCAGUGUAUGACUCGUAGUAGUGGAACAGUUAUAGUGCGAGUCACUGAUCUUGAGAGAAUAAUCUAUAGGAAUCGUCAAUAGCCAUAGCAGAUGCAAAACGAAUCACCUGUUGCAAGCAAUCUACUAUGCGAUAACCCGUUGUUUGAUGAGGUAAACGAACUUAACAUCCAAGACUUACCACCACCACCGCUAUUACCAGCAAACCCUUCGAUGGCAUGAGAAGAGCGAAACCUAAGGGAUUAUGCACUACCAAAUCUGGUGAUGGUUCAAGGUAGCAUUACAAGGCCAACCAUUAUGGAAAAUAAUUUUGAAAUAAAAUCGACCAUGAUCUAGAUGAUCCAAAAUAAUCUGCAAUUCAGAGGAACCAUGACGGAUGACACAAAUCAACAUCUAAAACGGGGCCUUCAAUUUUGUGAUACAUUCUAAUAUAACGGGGUCAUUGAUGAAGCUAUUCAUCUUCGGUUGUUUCCCUUAUCCUUGAUCGAUAUUCGUUUAAGUUAAAGUUAAAGUUAAUUUAGUAUUAUCCUUCCUUGGGUUUGAUCCUUGGAGUACUCACCUACUUCGUUGUAAAAAGUAUAUUACAACCUGACUCGUAUACUUGCAGACACCACCUCAAUUCCAUUCAUUUAGUUGCAAUAUUUACACUCUGGAUGUUAGUAUGUCCGGAGGCGGUCAAGUGUUUGGUGCCAUUGCCGAGGAGGCAACGCUACUGAAUUGAUUUUAAUUUUUUAGUUUUAUAGGAUAAUUUGGAAAUUUAUAAAUUGUAGAUACAAUUUUUUUAUUGUUACUAACAUCUUUUAUUUUCUUUUUAGUUUCAGUGUAUGGCUCGUAGUAGUGGAAUAGUUAUAGAGCGAGUCACUGAUCUAAAGAGAAUAAUCUGUAGGAAUCGUCAAUAGCCAUAGCAGAUGAAAAAACCAAUCACCUGUACUAAUUAGAUAUAUAUUCGUUUAAGUUCAAGUUAAUUUAGUAUUAGCCUUCCUUGGGUUUGAUCCUUGGAGUACUCACCUACUUCGUUGUAAAAACUAUAUUACAACCUGACUCGUAUACUUGCAGACACCACCUCAAUUCCAUUCAUUAAGUUUCAAUAUUUACACUCUGGAUGUUAGUAUGUCCGGAGGCGGUCAAAUGUUUGGUGCCAUUGCCGAGGAGGCAACGCUACUAAAUUGAUUUUAAUUUUUGAGUUUUAUAGGAUAAUUUGGAAAUUUAUAAAUUGUAGAUACAAUUUUUUUAUUGUUACUAACAUCUUUUAUUUUCUUUUUAGUUUCAGUGUAUGUCUUGCAGUAGUGGAACAAUUAUAGAGUGAGUCACUGAUCUAGAGAGAAUAAUCUGUAGGAAUCGUCAAUAGCCAUAGCAGAUGCAAAACCAAUCACCUGUACUAAUUAGAUCUAUAUUCGUUUAAGUUCAAGUUAAUUUAGUAUUAGCCUCCCUUGGGUUUGAUCCUUGGAGUACUCACCUACUUCGUUGUUAAAACUAUAUUACAACCUGACUCGUAUACUUGCAGACACCACCUCAAUUCCAUUCAUUUAGUUGCAAUAUUUACACUCUGGAUGUUAGUAUGUCCGGAGGCGGUCAAGUGUUUGGUGCCAUUGCCGAGAAGGCAACGCUACUGAAUUGAUUUUAAUUUUUUAGUUUUAUAGGAUAAUUUGGAAAUUUAUAAAUUGCAGAUACAAUUUUUUUAUUGUUACUAACAUCUUUUAUUUUCUUUUUAGUUUCAGUGUAUGUCUUGCAGUAGUGGAACAAUUAUAGAGCGAGUCACUGAUCUAGAGAGAAUAAUCUGUAGGAAUCGUCAAUAGCCAUAGCAGAUGCAGAACCAAUCACCUGUACUAAUUAGAUCUAUAUUCGUUUAAGUUCAAGUUAAUUUAGUAUUAGCCUCCCUUGGGUUUGAUCCUUGUAGUACUCACCUACUUUGUUGUAAAAACUAUAUUACAACCUGACUCGUGUACUUGCAGACACCACCUCAAUUCCAUUCAUUUAGUUUCAAUAUUUACACUCUGGAUGUUAGUAUGUUCGGAGGCGGUCAAGUGUUUGGAGCCAUUGCCGAGGAGGCAACACUACUAAAUUGAUUUUAAUUUUUGAGUUUUAUAGGAUAAUUUGGAAAUUUAUAAAUUGUAGAUACAAUUUUUUUAUUGUUACUAACAUCUUUUAUUUUUUUUUUAGUUUCAGUGUAUGACUCGUAGUAGUGGAACAGUUAUAGAGCGAGUCACUGAUCUAGAGAGAAUAAUCUGUAGGAAUCGUCAAUAGCCAUAGCAGAUGCAAAACCAAUCACCUGUUACAAGCAAUCUACUAUGCGAUAACCCGUUGUUUGAUGAGGUAAACGAACUUAACAUCCAAGACAUACCACCACCACCGCCAUUACCAGCAAACCCUUCGAUGGCAUGAGAAGAGCGAAACCUAAGGGAUUAUGCACUACCAAAUCUGGUGAUGGUUCAAGGUAGCAUUACAAGGCCAACCAUUAUGGAAAAUAAUUUUGAAAUAAAAUCGACCAUGAUCUAGAUGAUCCAAAAUAAUCUGCAAUUCAGAGGAACCAUGACGGAUGACACAAAUCAACAUCUAAAACAGGGCCUUCAAUUUUGUGAUACAUUCUAAUAUAACGGGGUCAUUGAUGAAGCUAUUCAUCUUCGGUUGUUUCCCUUAUCUUUGAUCGAUAUUCGUUUAAGUUAAAGUUAAAGUUAAUUUAGUAUUAGCCUUCUUUGGGUUUGAUCCUUGGAGUACUCACCUACUUCGUUUUAAAAACUAUAUCACAACCUGACUCGUAUACUUGCACACACCACCUCAAUUCCAUUCAUUUAGUUGCAAUAUUUACACUCUGGAUGUUAGUAUGUCUGGAGGCGGUUAAGUGUUUGGUGCCAUUGCCGAGGAGGCAACGCUACUGAAUUGAUUUUAAUUUUUUAGUUUUAUAGGAUAAUUUGGAAAUUUAUAAAUUGUAGAUACAAUUUUCUUAUUGUUACUAACAUCUUUUAUUUUCUUUUUAGUUUCAGUGUAUGGCUCGUAGUAGUGGAAUAGUUAUAGAGCGAGUCACUGAUCUAAAGAGAAUAAUCUGUAGGAAUCGUCAAUAGCCAUAGCAGAUGCAAAACCAAUCACCUGUACUAAUUAGAUCUAUAUUCGUUUAAGUUCAAGUUAAUUUAGUAUUAGCAUUCCUUGGGUUUGAUCCUUGGAGUACUCACCUACUUCGUUGUAAAAACUAUAUUACAACCUGACUCGUGUACUUGCAGACACCACCUCAAUUCCAUUCAUUUAGUUGCAAUAUUUACACUCUAGAUGUUAGUAUGUCCGGAGGCGGUCAAAUGUUUGGUGCCAUUGCCGUGGAGGCAACGCUACUAAAUUGAUUUUAAUUUUUGAGUUUUAUAGGAUAAUUUGGAAUUUAUAAAUUGUAGAUACAAUUUUUUUAUUGUUACUAACACCUUUUAUUUUCUUUUUAGUUUCAGUGUAUGUCUUGCAGUAGUGGAACAAUUAUAGAGCGAGUCACUGAUCUAGAGAGAAUAAUCUGUAGGAAUCGUCAAUAGCCAUAGCAGAUGCAAAACCAAUCACCUGUACUAAUUAGAUCUAUAUUCGUUUAAGUUCAAGUUAAUUUAGUAUUUGCCUUCCUUGGGUUUGAUCCUUGGAGUACUCACCUACUUCGUUGUAAAAACUAUAUUACAACCUGACUCGUGUACUUGCAGACACCACCUCAAUUCCAUUCAUUUAGUUGCAAUAUUUACACUCUAGAUGUUAGUAUGUCUGGAGGCGGUCAAAUGUUUGGUGCCAUUGCCGAGGAGGCAACGCUACUAAAUUGAUUUUAAUUUUUGAGUUUUAUAGGAUAAUUUGGAAAUUUAUAAAUUGUAGAUACAAUUUUUUUAUUGUUACUAACACCUUUUAUUUUCUUUUUAGUUUCAGUGUAUGUCUUGCAGUAGUGGAACAAUUAUAGAGCGAGUCACUGAUCUGGAGAGAAUAAUCUGUAGGAAUCGUCAAUAGCCAUAGCAGAUGCAAAACCAAUCACCUGUACUAAUUAGAUCUAUAUUCGUUUAAGUUCAAGUUAAUUUAGUAUUAUCCCUCCUUGGGUUUGAUCCUUGGAGUACUCACCUACUUCGUUGUAAAAACUAUAUUACAACCUGACUCGUGUACUUGCAGACACCACCUCAAUUCCAUUCAUUUAGUUGCAAUAUUUACACUCUAGAUGUUAGUAUGUCCGGAGGCGGUCAAAUGUUUGGUGCCAUUGCCGUGGAGGCAACGCUACUAAAUUGAUUUUAAUUUUUGAGUUUUAUAGGAUAAUUUGGAAAUUUAUAAAUUGUAGAUACAAUUUUUUUAUUGUUACUAACACCUUUUAUUUUCUUUUUAGUUUCAGUGUAUGUCUUGCAGUAGUGGAACAAUUAUAGAGCGAGUCACUGAUCUAGAGAGAAUAAUCUGUAGGAAUCGUCAAUAGCCAUAGCAGAUGCAAAACCAAUCACCUGUACUAAUUAGAUCUAUAUUCGUUUAAGUUCAAGUUAAUUUAGUAUUAGCCUCCCUUGGGUUUGAUCCUUGGAGUACGCACCUACUUCGUUGUAAAAACUAUAUUACAACCUGACUCGUGUACUUGCAGACACCACCUCAAUUCCAUUCAUUUAGUUGCAAUAUUUACACUCUGGAUGUUAGUAUGUCCGGAGGCGGUCAAGUGUUUGGUGCCAUUGCCGAGGAGGCAACGCUACUAAAUUGAUUUUAAUUUUUGAGUUUUAUAGGAUAAUUUGGAAAUUUAUAAAUUGUAGAUACAAUUUUUUUAUUGUUACUAACAUCUUUUAUUUUCUUUUUAGUUUCAGUGUAUGACUCGUAGUAGUGGAGCAGUUAUAGAGCGAGUCACUGAUCUAGAGAGAAUAAUCUGUAGGAAUCGUCAAUAGCCAUAGCAGAUGCAAAACCAAUCACCUGUUGCAAGCAAUCUACUAUGCGAUAACCCGUUGUUUGAUGAGGUAAACGAACUUAACAUCCAAGACUUACCACCACCACCGCUAUUACCAGCAAACCCUUCGAUGGCAUGAGAAGAGCGAAACCUAAGGGAUUAUGCACUACCAAAUCAGGUGAUGGUUCAAGGUAGCAUUACAAGGCCAACCAUUAUGGAAAAUAAUUUUGAAAUAAAAUCGACCAUGAUCUAGAUGAUCCAAAAUAAUCUGCAAUUCAGGGGAACCAUGACGGAUGACCCAAAUCAACAUCUAAAACGGGUCCUUCAAUUUUCUGAUGCAUUUAAAUAAAACGGGGUCAUUAAUGAAGCUAUUCAUCUUCGGUUGUUUCCCGUAUCCUUGAUCGAUAUUCGUUUAAGUUAAAGUUAAAGUUAAUUUAGUAUUAGCCUUCCUUGGGUUUGAUCCUUGGAGUACUCACCUACUUCGUUGUAAAAACUAUAUUACAACCUGACUCGUAUACUUGCAGACACCACCUCAAUUCCAUUCAUUUAGUUGCAAUAUUUACACUCUGGAUGUUAGUAUGUCCGGAGGCGGUCAAAUGUUUGGUGCCAUUGCCGAGGAGGCAACGCUACUAAAUUGAUUUUAAUUUUUGAUUUUUAUAGGAUAAUUUGGAAAUUUAUAAAUUGUAGAUACAAUUUUUUUAUUGUUACUAACAUCUUUUAUUUUUUUUUAGUUUCAGUGUAUGACUCGUAGUAGUGGAACAGUUAUAGAGCGAGUCACUGAUCUAGAGAGAAUAAUCUGUAGGAAUCGUCAAUAGCCAUAGCAGAUGCAAAACCAAUCACCUGUUACAAGCAAUCUACUAUGCGAUAACCCGUUGUUUGAUGAGGUAAACGAACUUAACAUCCAAGACAUACCACCACCAUCGCCAUUACCAGCAAACCCUUCGAUGGCAUGAGAAGAGCGAAACCUAAGGGAUUAUGCACUACCAAAUCUGGUGAUGGUUCAAGGUAGCAUUACAAGGCCAACCAUUAUGGAAAAUAAUUUUGAAAUAAAAUCGACCAUGAUCUAGAUGAUCCAAAAUAAUCUGCAAUUCAGAGGAACCAUGACGGAUGACACAAAUCAACAUCUAAAACAGGGCCUUCAAUUUUGUGAUACAUUCUAAUAUAACGGGGUCAUUGAUGAAGCUAUUCAUCUUCGGUUGUUUCCCUUAUCUUUGAUCGAUAUUCGUUUAAGUUAAAGUUAAAGUUAAUUUAGUAUUAGCCUUCUUUGGGUUUGAUCCUUGGAGUACUCACCUACUUCGUUUUAAAAACUAUAUCACAACCUGACUCGUAUACUUGCAGACACCACCUCAAUUCCAUUCAUUUAGUUGCAAUAUUUACACUCUGGAUGUUAGUAUGUCUGGAGGCGGUCAAGUGUUUGGUGCCAUUGCCGAGGAGGCAACGCUACUGAAUUGAUUUUAAUUUUUUAGUUUUAUAGGAUAAUUUGGAAAUUUAUAAAUUGUAGAUACAAUUUUCUUAUUGUUACUAACAUCUUUUAUUUUCUUUUUAGUUUCAGUGUAUGGCUCGUAGUAGUGGAACAGUUAUAGAGCGAGUCACUGAUCUAAAGAGAAUAAUCUGUAGGAAUCGUCAAUAGCCAUAGCAGAUGCAAAACCAAUCACCUGUACUAAUUAGAUCUAUAUUCGUUUAAGUUCAAGUUAAUUUAGUAUUAGCAUUCCUUGGGUUUGAUCCUUGGAGUACUCACCUACUUCGUUGUAAAAACUAUAUUACAACCUGACUCGUGUACUUGCAGACACCACCUCAAUUCCAUUCAUUUAGUUGCAAUAUUUACACUCUAGAUGUUAGUAUGUCCGGAGGCGGUCAAAUGUUUGGUGCCAUUGCCGUGGAGGCAACGCUACUAAAUUGAUUUUAAUUUUUGAGUUUUAUAGGAUAAUUUGGAAUUUAUAAAUUGUAGAUACAAUUUUUUUAUUGUUACUAACACCUUUUAUUUUCUUUUUAGUUUCAGUGUAUGUCUUGCAGUAGUGGAACAAUUAUAGAGCGAGUCACUGAUCUAGAGAGAAUAAUCUGUAGGAAUCGUCAAUAGCCAUAGCAGAUGCAAAACCAAUCACCUGUACUAAUUAGAUCUAUAUUCGUUUAAGUUCAAGUUAAUUUAGUAUUAGCCUUCCUUGGGUUUGAUCCUUGGAGUACUCACCUACUUCGUUGUAAAAACUAUAUUACAACCUGACUCGUGUACUUGCAGACACCACCUCAAUUCCAUUCAUUUAGUUGCAAUAUUUACACUCUAGAUGUUAGUAUGUCUGGAGGCGGUCAAAUGUUUGGUGCCAUUGCCGAGGAGGCAACGCUACUAAAUUGAUUUUAAUUUUUGAGUUUUAUAGGAUAAUUUGGAAAUUUAUAAAUUGUAGAUACAAUUUUUUUAUUGUUACUAACACCUUUUAUUUUCUUUUUAGUUUCAGUGUAUGUCUUGCAGUAGUGGAACAAUUAUAGAGCGAGUCACUGAUCUGGAGAGAAUAAUCUGUAGGAAUCGUCAAUAGCCAUAGCAGAUGCAAAACCAAUCACCUGUACUAAUUAGAUCUAUAUUCGUUUAAGUUCAAGUUAAUUUAGUAUUAUCCCUCCUUGGGUUUGAUCCUUGGAGUACUCACCUACUUCGUUGUAAAAACUAUAUUACAACCUGACUCGUGUACUUGCAGACACCACCUCAAUUCCAUUCAUUUAGUUGCAAUAUUUACACUCUAGAUGUUAGUAUGUCCGGAGGCGGUCAAAUGUUUGGUGCCAUUGCCGUGGAGGCAACGCUACUAAAUUGAUUUUAAUUUUUGAGUUUUAUAGGAUAAUUUGGAAAUUUAUAAAUUGUAGAUACAAUUUUUUUAUUGUUACUAACACCUUUUAUUUUCUUUUUAGUUUCAGUGUAUGUCUUGCAGUAGUGGAACAAUUAUAGAGCGAGUCACUGAUCUAGAGAGAAUAAUCUGUAGGAAUCGUCAAUAGCCAUAGCAGAUGCAAAACCAAUCACCUGUACUAAUUAGAUCUAUAUUCGUUUAAGUUCAAGUUAAUUUAGUAUUAGCCUCCCUUGGGUUUGAUCCUUGGAGUACGCACCUACUUCGUUGUAAAAACUAUAUUACAACCUGACUCGUGUACUUGCAGACACCACCUCAAUUCCAUUCAUUUAGUUGCAAUAUUUACACUCUGGAUGUUAGUAUGUCCGGAGGCGGUCAAGUGUUUGGUGCCAUUGCCGAGGAGGCAACGCUACUAAAUUGAUUUUAAUUUUUGAGUUUUAUAGGAUAAUUUGGAAAUUUAUAAAUUGUAGAUACAAUUUUUUUAUUGUUACUAACAUCUUUUAUUUUCUUUUUAGUUUCAGUGUAUGACUCGUAGUAGUGGAGCAGUUAUAGAGCGAGUCACUGAUCUAGAGAGAAUAAUCUGUAGGAAUCGUCAAUAGCCAUAGCAGAUGCAAAACCAAUCACCUGUUGCAAGCAAUCUACUAUGCGAUAACCCGUUGUUUGAUGAGGUAAACGAACUUAACAUCCAAGACUUACCACCACCACCGCUAUUACCAGCAAACCCUUCGAUGGCAUGAGAAGAGCGAAACCUAAGGGAUUAUGCACUACCAAAUCAGGUGAUGGUUCAAGGUAGCAUUACAAGGCCAACCAUUAUGGAAAAUAAUUUUGAAAUAAAAUCGACCAUGAUCUAGAUGAUCCAAAAUAAUCUGCAAUUCAGGGGAACCAUGACGGAUGACCCAAAUCAACAUCUAAAACGGGUCCUUCAAUUUUCUGAUGCAUUUAAAUAAAACGGGGUCAUUAAUGAAGCUAUUCAUCUUCGGUUGUUUCCCGUAUCCUUGAUCGAUAUUCGUUUAAGUUAAAGUUAAAGUUAAUUUAGUAUUAGCCUUCCUUGGGUUUGAUCCUUGGAGUACUCACCUACUUCGUUGUAAAAACUAUAUUACAACCUGACUCGUAUACUUGCAGACACCACCUCAAUUCCAUUCAUUUAGUUGCAAUAUUUACACUCUGGAUGUUAGUAUGUCCGGAGGCGGUCAAAUGUUUGGUGCCAUUGCCGAGGAGGCAACGCUACUAAAUUGAUUUUAAUUUUUGAUUUUUAUAGGAUAAUUUGGAAAUUUAUAAAUUGUAGAUACAAUUUUUUUAUUGUUACUAACAUCUUUUAUUUUCUUUUUAGUUUCAGUGUAUGUCUUGCAGUAGUGGAACAAUUAUAGAGUGAGUCACUGAUCUAGAGAGAAUAAUCUGUAGGAAUCGUCAAUAGCCAUAGCAGAUGCAAAACCAAUCACCUGUACUAAUUAGAUCUAUAUUCGUGUAAGUUCAAGUUAAUUUAGUAUUGGCCUCCCUUGGGUUUGAUCCUUGGAGUACUCACCUACUUCGUUGUAAAAACUAUAUUACAACCUGAGUCGUAUACUUGCAGACACCACCUCAAUUCCAUUCAUUUAGUUGCAAUAUUUACACUCUGGAUGUUAGUAUGUCCGGAGGCGGUCAAGUGUUUGGUGCCAUUGCCGAGGAGGCAACGCUACUAAAUUGAUUUUAAUUUUUGAGUUUUAUAGGAUAAUUUGGAAAUUUAUAAAUUGUAGAUACAAUUUUUUUAUUGUUACUAAAAUCUUUUAUUUUCUUUUUAGUUUCAGUGUAUGUCUUGUAGUAGUGGAACAGUUAUAGAGCGGGUCACUGAUCUAGAGAGAAUAAUCUCUAGGAAUCGUCAAUAGCCAUAGCAGAUGCAAAACCAAUCACCUGUACUAAUUAGAUCUAUAUUCGUUUAAGUUAAAGUUAAUUUAGUAUUAGCCUUCCUUGGGUUUGUUCCUUGGAGUACUCACCUACUUCGUUGUAAAAACUAUAUUACAACCUGACUCGUGUACUUGCAGACACCACCUCAAUUCCAUUCAUUUAGUUGCAAUAUUUACACUCUGGAUGUUAGUAUGUCCGGAGGCGGUCAAGUGUUUGGAGCCAUUGCCGAGGAGAGAACGCUACUAAAUUGAUUUUAAUUUUUGAGUUUUAUAGGAUAAUUUGGAAAUUUAUAAAUUGUAGAUACAAUUUUUUUAUUGUUACUAACAUCUUUUAUUUUCUUUUUAGUUUCAGUGUAGGACUCGUAGUAGUGGAACAAUUAUAGAGCGAGUCACUGAUCUGGAGAGAAUAAUCUGUAGGAAUCGUCAAUAGCCAUAGCAGAUGCAAAACCAAUCACCUGUUGCAAGCAAUCUACCAUGCGAUAACUCAUUGUUAGAUGAGGUAAACUAACUUAACAUCCAAGACUUACCACCACCACCGCAAUUACCAGCAAACCCUUCGAUGGCAUGAGAAGAGCGAAACCUAAGGGAUUACGCACUACCAAAUCUGGUGAUGGUUCAAGGUAGCAUUACAAGGCCAACCAUUAUGGAAAAUAAUUUUGAAAUAAAAUCGACCAUGAUCUAGAUGAUCCAAAAUAAUCUGCAAUUCAGAGGAACCAUGACGGAUGACACAAAUCAACAUCUAAAACGGGGCCUUCAAUUUUGUGAUGCAUUUAAAUAUAACGGGGUCAUUGAUGAAGCUAUUCAUCUUCGGUUGUUUCCCUUAUCCUUGAUCGAUAUUCGUUUAAGUUAAAGUUAAAGUUAAUUUAGUAUUAGCCUUCCUUGGGUUUGAUCCUUGGAGUACUCACCUACUUCGUUGUAAAAACUAUAUUACAGCCUGACUCGUAUACUUGCAGACACCACCUCAAUUCCAUUCAUUUAGUUGCAAUAUUUACACUCUGGAUGUUAGUAUGUCCGGAGGCGGUCAAGUGUUUGGUGCCAUUGCCGAGGAGGCAACGCUACUGAAUUGAUUUUAAUUUUUUAGUUUUAUAGGAUAAUUUGGAAAUUUAUAAAUUGUAGAUACAAUUUUUUUAUUGUUACUAACAUCUUUUAUUUUCUUUUUAGUUUCAGUGUAUGGCUCGUAGUAGUGGAACAGUUAUAGAGCGAGUCACUGAUCUAAAGAGAAUAAUCUGUAGGAAUCGUCAAUAGCCAUAGCAGAUGCAAAACCAAUCUCCUGUACUAAUUAGAUAUAUAUUCGUUUAUGUUCAAGUUAAUUUAGUAUUAGCCUUCCUUGGGUUUGAUCCUUGGAUUACUCACCUACUUCGUUGUAAAAACUAUAUUACAACCUGACUAGUAUACUUGCAGACACCACCUCAAUUCCAUUCAUUUAGUUGCAAUAUUUACACUCUGGAUGUUAGUAUGUCCGGAGGCGGUCAAAUGUUUGGUGCCAUUGCCCUGGUGGCAACGCUACUAAAUUGAUUUUAAUUUUUGAUUUUUAUAGGAUAAUUUGGAAAAUUAUAAAUUGUAGAUACAAUUUUUUUAUUGUUACUAACAUCUUUUAUUUUCUUUUUAGUUUCAGUGUAUGUCUUGCAGUAGUGGAACAAUUAUAGAGUGAGUCACUGAUCUAGAGAGAAUAAUCUGUAGGAAUCGUCAAUAGCCAUAGCAGAUGCAAAACCAAUCACCUGUACUAAUUAGAUCUAUAUUCGUUUAAGUUCAAGUUAAUUUAGUAUUGGCCUCCCUUGGGUUUGAUCCUUGGAGUACUCACCUACUUCGUUGUAAAAACUAUAUUACAACCUGACUCGUAUACUUGCAGACACCACCUCAAUUCCAUUCAUUUAGUUGCAAUAUUUACACUCUGGAUGUUAGUAUGUCCGGAGGCGGUCAAGUGUUUGGUGCCAUUGCCGAGGAGGCAACGCUACUAAAUUGAUUUUAAUUUUUGAGUUUUAUAGGAUAAUUUGGAAAUUUAUAAAUUGUAGAUACAAUUUUUUUAUUGUUACUAACAUCUUUUAUUUUCUUUUUAGUUUCAGUGUAUGUCUUGUAGUAGUGGAACAGUUAUAGAGCGAGUCACUGAUCUAGAGAGAAUAAUCUCUAGGAAUCGUCAAUAGCCAUAGCAGAUGCAAAACGAAUCACUUGUACUAAUUAGAUCUAUAUUCGUUUAAGUUAAAGUUAAUUUAGUAUUAGCGCAAGCAAUCUACCAUGCGAUAACUCGUUAUUAGAUGAGGUAAACUAACUUAACAUCCAAGACUUACCACCACCACCGCAAUUACCAGCAAACCCUUCGAUGGCAUGAGAAGAGCGAAACCUAAGGGAUUACGCACUACCAAAUCUGGUGAUGGUUCAAGGUAGCAUUACAAGGCCAACCAUUAUGGAAAAUAAUUUUGAAAUAAAAUCGACCAUGAUCUAGAUGAUCCAAAAUAAUUUGCAAUUCAGAGGCACCAUGACGGAUGACCCAAAUCAACAUCUAAAAUGGGUCCUUCAAUUUUGUGAUACAUUUAAAUAUAACGGGGUCAUUGAUGAAGCUAUUCAUCUUUGGUUGUUUCCCUUUUCCUUGAUCAAUAAAAUUUUUUCUUGGUUAGAUUCGUAGGCUUUAGGAUCAAUCACGACAGGGAACGAACUUGCGAAAAAAUUUCUACAAAAGUUCUUUCCUAUUAGCAAAACUGUCCUACUAAGAAGAGAGAUCGCCACAUUCAAAAUAUUAGAAGGAGAAAGCUUUCACGAAGCUUAGGAACGCUUUAAAAUUUUGAUACAAAGAUGCCUACAUCAUGGUCUACCUGAAUGGUUAAAGCUGCAGAUAUUUUACAAUGAGUUGGAUGCACACACACGCUCAAGACUUGGUGGAGCCACAUGAGUAGCCUUAAUGAAUAAAAUAGAUGAAGACACGUAUAACCAGAUAGAAAACAUGGCGAUGGAUUCCUGCUAGUGGCUAAAUGAAAGAUAUACUUAUGACCAGAUACCAUCUAUGGUAAAAGUUGUCCAAGAGGAUGACUAAUAUCAAAAGAUUUUUGACAGACUCAACUAUAUAAAGUCCUCAUCUAGUAUGUCUUCAAUAUUUGGUAGAGAUAAACCUCAUAGCCAUUAUCUAAAUAAUCCAACCUAGGACGUGAACUAUAUUGAAAAUAGGGUCGAAACCCUUAUUCAAAUACUUAUAACCCCGAUGGAGAGAUCACCCAAACUUGAGAUGGGGUGGAAACCAGGGAGAAUGUAAUAGUUCUAACCUUGUUAAAAAUACUAAUUAUCAACCUAUAUAUCUAUAGAAGCCUCAAGAACGGGCUAGCUUGAAUGACCAUACUGUAUGUGGUCAAUGCCUGGAUCGAAUUGAGGGGGAGAUGCAAUCAAUGAAGAUAGAAGUAAAACUAGUGCAAUAUGAGUACACCAAUAAAAAAAACAUUGACCAAGCUUGAAGAUCAAAUGAGUGAAUUAAUGAGCAUGAUGGGAGACAUCAAAAAGUAAAUUGGCACCGACAUCCCAAGCAACACUGAGAAUAAUCUUAAGAGGGAAGGGAAAUAACACGUGAAAGUAAUUAUGCUCUAAUCGGGAAAAAUACUGAGUAGCCUAGAGAAUCCAAGUCAAAAGGAAAAUGAAGGGGGUAUCGAUGAUCUUCAAAAGGAAAGCCAUCAAGGAGCUAAUAAUGAGCCUGAACCAGAGAACGUAGCUGAGUCGGAAGCUCAGCCAACCAAAGAACACGAACUAACCAAGGUACCAUUCCUCUCAAGGUUAGAAGAUAAGCAAAAACAAGAUGACACAGAGUUUGUAAGUUUUCUAAACUUAUUCAAAUCUCUAAAUUUUAAUUUGUCCCUAAUUGAAUUGAUUGAAAAAGUUCCUAAAUAUGCUAAGCAUCUAAAAAAAUUAUGUCUAAGCGUAGGAAAAUUAAAAUAGGAGAGCAGGUUAACAUAGACGCAUCUUGUAGUGCGAUAAUAUCUAAACAUAUUCCGCCAAAACUAAAAGACCCAAGGAGUUUUACGAUUCUUGUAGAGAUAGGGGACAUUCACUUUAGUAAAGCUUUAUUUGAUUUAGGAGCUAGCAUCAAUUUAUGACCUUAUCAAUAUAUGAAAAACUCGGGUCAUGAGAACUUAAAAAUACACAAAUAACACUACAAUUAGCCAACAGGUCUUUAGUACAACCAGAGGGAGUACUCGAAUAUGUGUUGGUUAAGGUGCGUAACUUCAUCAUCCUAGCUGAUUUCGAUAUUUUAAAUUUUAAAGAGGACCGUGCCCAUUCUGUUGGGUAGACCGCUUUUAGAUACAUCGAGAUCCACCAUUGACUUAAAAAAUAAUGAGUUAAUAAUGAUGAUUAAUUGUGAGACUGAAAUUUUCAAAUGUGGUCACCAAAAUAAUGAGGUAAAUAGGGAAAGAUUAGGAAAGAAAUAUUUUGAAGUAUCUAAAAAAAUCCCUAACUACCUUGAGCCAGAAAAUGUGUUUUCUAUUAUAAAUGCAGGUUGAAAGUACAAAUUUAAAGAGUGUGAAAAACAUAGCAAGGUGGAGUGGCACGACGGAUGCUGGAUGAAUACCGAUAGAACAUGAACCAAAUAUGCAUCCAUAUAUAACUUGACGGAGCUGACGAAUGAAUCCGGCAGCAAAGCCUCACAUCUCUAGAACUGAUAUAAAUUUUGUAUAUUAUUGUACUUUAUUAGACCAACAAUUAGUUUAGAAUUUAAUUUGAUUCAAAUUAUCUUUAAUCUUAAACUGAGCACUUUGAAAAUUGAGAAGAGAGGUCAAAAUAGAUUCAGUGUUGUAACACGAAACCUUCAUGUCGCAACACUGAAACAAGAUUCAAUAAAUCGAGCAGUUCAGCUUGAUGUCGCAACACAACACCUCUGUGUCACAACAAAGAAGUCAGUAUAAGGCAAGAUAAAAAAUUUCAAAAAGCGUCGCAAUAUCGAACCCCGAUGCCACGACUUUGGCAUCUUGCCAGAGGUGUCGCGACAUGAAACCCCUAUGUAGCGACAUCGCUACAAUUUUUUGCAGGGUCAAACUUGACCCAUUACGCGACCUAGUAGCUUAAACUUAGUUUUAACCUAGAAUUUAACCUUAAAAUACCCUGAUUUUAAAACCUAAAAACACUUUUUGAAACCCUAAACCUCCUCUAAUUCCUAAACCUUUCAAAAACUUAAAAAUCUCUUAAACCCUAAAACCCUCUAUUCAGUAAUUUUUAUAUCUCUUCUUCUUUUUGUGAUUUCAUUUGGGUGCAAGAAAUAAAAAUAAAGUACCGACAAGACAAUCGCAACAAAAUCCCUUCGAGGAUUUUGAAAUUCUUUAUUAGGUUCAAGGUUCCAAACCAUAUUUUUACUGUUCUAUUGAAUUGUUCCAAUUUAUUGUGAAAUAAAUUGCUUGAUAGUAGUUGUCUAGUUAGGAAAUUUAUUGAAAAUGCCUCCAAGAAAAACUAGGAGAACUAACAAACUUGAAUAAUCAACGGUUACAAAGCCCUCUAAUUUCCUAAAUCAAAACGUUGAAAAAUAUUUUCUAGAACUUCGAGGGAAGACAUUUCUUCAAGAAUGGGAGUUUGAAUUAUCGAUGAGUCUAUGUCAGGAAAUAAAACCUCUGAUCUGAUAUCAUAGAUAGGAAAAAUUUUGCGUAAUCCCUAAAGACUCUGUUGUGGUUCUGGUAGUGCAAGAAUUUAAUGCAUAUUUAAAGGACCAAUAUUCUAGGAGACCAGAGGGUGCCACAUGGGAAACGAUCUCUGUACGUAGGAAGAAGGUAAGAGUCACCCUCGACCUACUUGUGAAUUUUAUAACGCUCUAUAUUACGAAAAUGAUUUUGUGGAAGAAAAUGAUUUAGAAUAUUUUAAAUAUAUAAAUAUGGAUAAUGCUAUAAAUCACUUAAUAUAGGGUAGGGGUGAAUGUAAAUGUUGCCUCGGUACUGAGAUUCCCACAUCCUUUAAUUAGGAAAUAAUGUUUCCUAUUGCAAAAAUAUGGAUACAGUUCUUAUGCACUCGAAUUGCUCGUGCACUAAAUGUCUUUAAUGUCAAUACCUUUCGAGCAGUUUUCUUGUAUGUUGUUUUGUAGAAGAAACAAGUGUUUAUUGGGACAUGGAUCUAUCAUUGCAUGAAACGAUGCAUUAGUGGUAAAAAGUCAGGGUUUUCUUCCCUAAUUAGUGACAACCUUGUGCAAGAGAGUCGACGUUCCAAUGACGACCAUUGAACAAUUUAUGAAUCCAUCCAGAAGUAUUAUAGGAGACACCUUUUACAUGCAGUACACAAAGCUUCAACAAAACCAGAUAAGGGAUUGGAACAAAAGAGAAGAUGGAUGUCCUGGCUUUGCUUAAAUGGUAAGAAAAAUUGACAUCUCAAUAAUAAAUUAGCGAGAGUAGCAAUUCAAAAUUGGAUUAGAUGAUAAAAUGGAUGCAAGAGACAAACCUAGUUUUUCAAGAAUUUGCGUGGCAGAAUAACAUGAGAGUACCAAACUACCCAUUGGAUAUGUUCGGCCCAAAGCACCCCAAGCCGGAAGGAAAUGAGGAAAGGGAAGAAAGUAAGGAUGAGGAAGGAGAAGAGGAAGGAAAUGAGAUGGAUUUUAGGAGGAGAAUGAUUGAACUCAAAACUUUUAAUUUCAUUUUUUUGGAUUGUAAUUAAAUUUGGAUAAUUUUUAGUUUAUUGUUUUAGGAGUAGGAUUAACAAUAGAUUUUUUUAUACUUGUUUUCUUUUUUGUUUCAAGUUUUCUUUGUAGGAACCCCACAUGAAAGAAGCACGACAAUUUCGAGCUUUUAAUGAACGAGGAAGGAAGCAACCCACCAUUAGACUACAAUAAUGUCACGAUCAAUCAAGUAACUUCUUUCCUUAUCAAUUCAGGGUUGCACAUUAGGGACAAUGUGCUAUCUAAAGUGUAAAGAAUAACAUAGGAAAUUUGUUUUUGAGUUUGAUGCUUUUCUUUUAAUUUUUCUUGUCAAAGUGUGCUUUAGCUUGUCAAAAUACAAGUGAUUGGUUAGGAGCAUGGACAUAAGUUGAUUGUGUUUACAAUAAAUUAGGCAUGAUAGUGGAUGAUUUUAAAAUUUCAAUUAUUAGACUACUAAGUUCUAUAUAUUACACUGUAAAUAGGGAUUGAGUAAUUGAAUAUACCAAAUUAUAUAGAAAAUACAAGAAAAUGAGCAUGUUAGUAUGUAUGAUAAAUAGUUGAAAUUUUGAUUGCUUGAUUGAUUAAAUUUAUGAAUAUUGAGAUAUUUAGGAUGAGCUAAGGCAUUCUUUGGUAUAAAUUCAGAGCCAAAAAACUAACCAUGUUUAUCAAUCCUUAGUACCUAUGCUGAGUUAGUAAACACUUCUUCAUGAACCUUAAUGCAAAACCUGAGCAAAAAGUAUUAAUUUGUAUUUACUCAUUUUAUUUGGUCUUGAAAUGCACGAAUUUAGACAUCCAAGCAUACGUAUUAAGGGUUAAGUAGAUAUAUCACGGUGGAUUUUGUAAAAACAGAGUGAAAUAGGAAAAACAAAUAUGAUAUAGUGACUAUAGGUUAGCCUAUAUGUGUGAAACAAAAGAAAAAAUUAGAAAGAAAAUCAUUACGAGUAGAAAAAAGUAUGUGAAAAACAAAAGCAUUUUGAGUGAGAUGUAUUGAAAAGGAUCAAAGGUGACAAAGUAACAAAAGUAGAAAAUCUCAAUCAUUAGUGCAUAAAAACUUGUGAGCUAGUUCUAGUGCUAUUAUGUUGUAACUUCCUAUGUGGAGAAAUAAGGAAGGUGAGAGAAGGAGAAAUAAGGUGAAAAAUGGGAAAAGGUUACUAAAGGAGGAGAAUAGGGAACAAUAUGAUGUCCCAAACUACUUUCGUGCUUGAAACUAUUUUGAUGCUUCCUGUUCUUGAAUUCCAUACCUACCCUAAGCCUCAGAAUGUUACAAGCCAAAAAUCUCUAUGUGACCUAGGUAAACCUAUUCAUGAAUUGACAUUGUAUUAAAUAAUUUGAAUAACGACUGUUUGUAUUUUGCUAGGAUAAUCAAAUUACUUGUAUGAUUUAUUGAUGGAUCCUUAUAUUUGAGGACCUUAUUGUUUGCAUACUUUGUAAUAUACUGAACUUAGGUGUUUGAUAUUGAAAGUGGUAAGUCCUUUACAUAUCGUGCCAGGAUUAUGUGUAGAUAUGAAUAUGCCUAAUUAUGUAAUCCAAAACCAAUCUUUGUAUCAUUUUUAGUUUUCCUUACUUGAGGACAAACGAUGAUUUAAGUGUUGGGGAGUUUGAUCUACUGUAAUUCGGUGUAGCAGAUUAAACUAGUUUUCAUGCUUAAGGAGCUUGAAGGUGAACAACUUUAUUAUGUUUUUAUUUAGUUUUUCUAUCUUAGCUUUAAAUUCAAUAAAAAAGUGCAUUUUGAGUCAUUUUAUGACAUUAGGGGCUGAAAGAGUCCUAAGGGUGGGCUAAUGUACUUAGUGAGUGUGUACUGUAGGACAUCAUUCAAAGGCAUAAUAGUUCAAGGUUGUUCGUCGUGCUACAGCAGGGGAAGUCUAAUGUCACAACAUAGGGAGCAGAAUACAAGAUUUCCAAUACUACCAUCGGUGUAGUGACACAACCAGAGUAUGUCGUGACACGUCCCUGAAGCCAAACCUAAAGCCCAAAGUAUACUGCCUUUAGUGUCUCAACACUAGCUCUGUUUGGGAGAAAUUACAAGUGAAGGCUGUUUUGGUCCAUACAACAUAUUUUUAUGUAAAAAUGGCAGUCAACCUACGGUAAGGAUGACGACCAACCCUAACUCUAUAAAUAGGCUAUUAGGCACUUGUUUAGGGAAAAAAUUCAUGGUUCAGAAUUUUCUCUGUAAUUAGUUUUCAGUUUUUCUUUCUUUUAGGCUUUAGAUUUAUUUUCAGUUAUUUUUGUUCGUGUUCUUCAAAGAAUCUAAUUUGUAGAUUCGACCAAACUCUUGUGGAUUUUGUGCUUCAUCAAUCAAUACAGAUUCAAGAUUCUUCUUAAACUAUAUUCUUGAUCUGUUAUUAAUGUUUAUUUAUUUUAUCAAGUAUAUGUUGUUUAUUGAUUUCAUGGGGAACUAACCCUUUUAUGGGAGGUUAGUGCGUGGAAGUGAGAUUAACUAAUUAUUAUAUAGGGUUUUCUUAGUGGGUUAGAUAUUUGGGAGAAGAAGAACUUAAACCCUGAGCCUGACUGUAACACCCCUAACCAAUAUUCGUCUCCAAAAUAGGGUUACAGAGCAUUACCGAAAGUUUACAUAUCAAACAAUCAAUUAUUCAAAAGAUUCAAAUCAUAUCAGAAAUUAUUGCGAAAUCAAUCAAUCAAUCUCAUACAUAUUGUCCCUUAUACAAUCCUUCGAGGCCCUAAAAACACUUUAGAAAUUAAUCAGGACUAAAUCGGGCACAUGUAGAAUUUUUGGGAAAAAGUUGAAAAUUUUCCAUACUGCAGGGGUCACACGGCCUUGUGGCCAAGCCGUGUGACUCACACGGCUGAGAGACACUCCCGUGUCUUAAGCUGUGUGGACAUUCGAAGUAGGGACACAUGGCCGUGUCCUAACCAGUGUAACUCUCUAGCUUGGGUCACACGGCCAAGCCACACGCCCGUGUGUCGGGCCGUGUAGCUCUCGAGAAAUUACACCAUGAGUAUUUCACAUUUUCCAAUUUAAUCCCUAAUUGACAUUUUCAACAAAAUUCACUUUACAAAAGUUGUUUAUCUAACUACAAAAGUUCAUUUUUUCCCAUUAAACAUCAAAACAACAUGUAUUCAUUCAUGGAAAAACCCUAGACCUUUAAUAGUUUUGCAAACUAGUCCCUGAGCUAGCUAGAUUAAGUUACAACGACUCUAAAAACAUAGAAAUCAUUACAAACGAGACGAAAAAUCAUACCAUGCAAGCUAUCAGAGAUGGCCGAAUGUUAAAGCUUAUUCAAUGGCUUUUCUUAAGCCUAAUUUCAGUUCAAGAUGAAAAUAGAAAGAUGAUGAUGACCUUUGUUUUUUUAAUUAUUUUACUAACAUGUAUUUAUUAAUUUACUAAAAUAACCUUAUAAUUAAACCUUUAAAAUUUCAUUUUUAAUGGCCAUAAUUGUCCACUAAAAAUAUAAAUGGUCUAGUUACAACAUAAACCAUUUAAACAUAUAAUUUCAUAGCUAUUAAAUCAUUUUAGCUUAUAGAACUGACGUUUUGCAACUUUUGCAAAUUAGUCCUUUUUACCGAAUUAAGCAUGCAAAUGGUAAAAUUUCUUAACGAAAUUUUUAUACAAUAAUACUAGCAUGUUGUAGACAUUAAAAUAAUAAUAAAGUAAAUAUUUUCACGUUGUAUUUGUGAUCUCGAAACCACUAUUCUAAUUUCACUAAAAACAGGCUGUUACAACUAUCCCCCUAAAGGAAUUUUCAUCCUCGAAAAUCUUACCAGAAAAGAGGUUCGGAUAUUGUUUUCUCAUAGCUUCUUUCGGUUCCCAGGUGGCCUCCUCUAUACUGUAUCGUUGCCAAAGAACCUUUACGAAAGCUACUUUUUAGUUAUCAAUUCUUUAAUCUCUCGAGCUAAGAUUCUGAUCGGUUCUUCACUAUACAACAAAUCAGGCUAAAUCUAAUAUCUACUGGUGAAAUAACAUGCGAAGGGUUUGAUCGAUAUUGUCGUAACAUUGAUACGUGAAACACAUUAUGAAUCUUUUCUAAAUCCGACGGAAAAGUUAAAUCAUAAGCUUCUGGAUCGAUUAUUUCAAUAAUCUCAUACGACCUGAUAAAUCACAGACUUAACUUUUCUUUACGAUCGAAAUAAAGAACUUUCUUCUAAGGCGAUACUUUCAAGAACACUUUACCGCCGACUUGAAAUUUAAAUUCUUUACAUUUUAAAUCCUCAUUUAAUCGAUCUGAAGUUGCUUUCAAACUAUCACAGAUUACUUUAAAUUUUUCUUCCGUCUCUCGAAUCAAAUCAACCCAGUGAAUCUUUUUCUCAGUGAGCUUAGUCCAAUACAAUGAAGUUCAACACUUACGACCAUACAAAGCUUCUUAUGGUGCCAUCUUUAUGCUUGAUUGAUAAUUGUUAUUGUAUGCAAAUUCAAUUAGCAAUAAAUAUUUUUCCCAAUUACCUUCCAAUUCUAACACAGAACAUUGAAACAUAUCAUUGAGUAUCUGAAUUACUCGCUCGGACUGAGCAUCGGUCUGGGAUAAAAUGAAAUGCUAAAAUGUAAACACGUACCUAGAGCCUUCUGUAACUUGCUCUAGAAUCGUGAAGUAAAACACAUAUCUUUUUUUGAAAUAAUGAAAACUAGCACCUCGUGCAAUCUGAUAAUCUCAGCAACAUAUAGUUCGACUAAUCUCUCAAGAGAAUGAUCUGUAGAAUCGAAAUAAAAUGUGCAGACUUCAUCAGACAGUCAACAACAACCCAAAUUGCAUCUUUCUUUCUCAGAGAUAAGGGUAAUCCAGAUACAAAAUCUAUCGUGACUAGCUCCCAUUUCCAUUCCAGUAUCAUCACAGGCUGUAACAAACUAGAAGGUACCUAGUGUUCAGCGUUAACUUGCUGACAGAUUAAACAUCUCAAUACAAAGUUAGAAAUCUCUCAUUUUAUACCCAGCCACCAGUACAUUAGUUUCAAAUAACUGUACAUCUUAUUGAUACUAGGAUGAACAGACAAGUUAACACUAUGAGCUUCAUGCAAAAUCUUCUGAGCGAUCUCUGAAUUCCUCGGUACGCAAAUUCUACCUUUGAAAAGUAAAUAAUCAUCGGAUCCAAUCUGAAAAUAUUAAUCAGGAGUUGACUCAAUCUGUUUCGAUUUAGUUAAUAACACAUCAUCACAUUUCUGAGCCUCACAAAACUAUUGUAAAAACAUCGAUGUAGCUUUCAACUCAGGUAAAAUCGAACCAUCAUCGGACAACAUUAAUGGCAUAUUCAAUACUGGCAAAGCAAAUAAAAAAUUUCUACUCAGAGCAUCAGCAACUACAUUCGCUUUACUCGGAUGAUAAUCAAUGAUCAAGUCAUAGUUUUCAAUAGCUCGAGCCACCUGCGUUGUCUUAGGUUCAAAUCUCUUUGCGACAGUAAAUACUUCAAACUUUUAUGAUCUGGAAAGAUGUGACAUUUUUCGCCAUAGAAAUGGUGUUGCCAAAUCUUCAACGCAAACACAAUAGCUGCCAAUUCUAAAUCGUACGUCGGAUAAUUCUUUUCGUACGGCUUUAACUGUCUAGAAGCAUAAGCUAUCACUUUGCCUUCCUGCAUCAAAACACAGCCUAAACCUUUAAAAGAUGCACUGCUGAAAAUCACAAAUUCUUUACCUGAUUCAGGUUGAACUAACACCGGUGCCUCGAUCAACAAUGAUUUUAACUGAUUGAAACUUGUCUGGCAUUUCUCAGACCACUCAAAUUUCAUAUCUUUUUGCAAUAAUCUCUUCAUUAGCGUAGCAAUCAUUGAGAAGUCCUUGACGAAUUUUCUGUAAUACCCGACUAAUCCUAGAAAACUUCUAACUCCAGACGCGUUUCUUGGAGGUUUUUAGUCAACAAUAGUUGAAAUUUUUCUCGGAUCGACUCUGAUGCACUCAAUUGAUACAAUAUAUCCCAGAAAACUGACUUUCCGAAGCCGAAAUUCACAUUUGCUAAACUUGGCAAAUAACUGUUUUUCACACAAGGUUUGUAAUACAAUUCUCAAAUGCUCAGCAUGCUCAAUCUCAUCUCUAGAGUAAAUCAAGAUAUUACAAAAAUUCAAAAUGUUUGUACCUGGUCGUGAAUACAGUUUUCGACAUAGCAAAGUCUUUAACUCGCAGCUGAUGAUAACCAGAACGAAGAUCAAUUUUCGAAAAUACUGUUGCACCUUUCAAUUGAUAAAAUAGAUUAUCAAUUCGCGGUAAUGUAUACUUAUUCUUGAUCGUAACUUUCUUGAGCUGGCGGUAGUCAAUACAUAAUCUCAUUGAUCUGUCGUUUUUUUUAACGAAUAAAACAGGUGCACCCUAAGGUGAAAAACUAGGUCAAGCAAAACCCUUAUCUGGCAACUCUUGCAACUACACUUUCAACUCUUUCAACUCAGUAGGAGCCAUUUUGUAAGGAGCUAUUGAUAUCGGUGAGGUUCCUGGUACUAACUCAAUGGAAAAUUCAAUUUCUCUAAUCGGUGAUAACUCGGGUAACUCCUCUGGAAACAUAUCUAGAUACUUGCAUACCACUAGAACCGAUUCUAUCUUCAACUUAGAAACUCUAGAACCAAAUACAUAUGCAAGGUAUGCAUCACAGCCUUCUCUUAGGCAUCUUUGUGUUGAUAUAGCCAAAAUAAUAAUAGGCAACCCACUCAAACUAUUCGAUUCAAGCUGAAGCUUUUCACCGUUCUGACACUUUAAUACAAUAAGCUUUCGUCUACAGUUCACAAUAUCAUCAUGCAGAGUUAGCCAAUCAAUGCCAAAAAUCACCUCAAACUCAUCAAAUGGUAAUAGCAUCAAAUUAGCCAGAAAUUUAUAACCUCGAAUCAUCAAAGGACAAUUCUUGCAAACCACAAAUUUAGUGGACUCAAUAGGUAAAUUCUUACUUGAUACUACAUUCGUGCAUAUAUACGAAUGGGUUGAUCCCGGAUCAAUCAAAGCAGUAACAUCAAUAUCAAAGAUAGAAAAAGUAUCAGUAAUAAAUCUGACGCUGAAGCUUCCUCUCGUGCACAGAUAGCGUAAGCUCUAGUUGGUGCUCGUGCCUCAGAUCUCACAGUAGAGUCUUUUAUUCCAACAUGCCUAUUACUCGUAUUUCAAGGAUUACGAGGUGGUCUACCUCUCGUAGCAGUGUUACUCGGUCAAUUAGUUUGAACCUUUUCUUUCUCUGACUUCUCUAGACAAUCUCUUAGAUAAUGUUUAAAUGAACCACGCCUGAAACAUGCCCCGUUCUUCAAUCUACAAUCACUGAAGUGUCAUGCAUUACAUUGCUUACAUUCAGGCCUGUUGUCCUUGACACUACCCACACUCACUAUAGACUAGCCUGAGCUUUGGACUCGAAUGCUAUUUACCUCUAUCACUUGUAGAACACACCACUGAAGGUGUGGAAUGGUUGUGAUGUUCCUUCGAUCUCUUUGAUGAUGACUGAUAUUACUUUCCAGUUGAUAUCUUUCUCAAAUCUCUAGCUUCAAAAUCAGCUUUUCUCUUUUCUUUGCUAAGCUCAUCGGCUUUAUGUGCUCGAUCAACUAAAAACAACAAUUUCUUUCAAUUCAAGUAUCCUGACUAAAAGCUUUGUAUCUUCAUUUAACCCUUCCUUGAACCGCUUACACAUAGCAACCUCGGUUGGAAUACAUUCUCGGGCAUAUUUGCUCAAUCUGACAAAUUCUCUUUUGUAUUCAGAAACUAACAUACGACCUUAUUUAAGCUCAAGAAAUUCUUUGCGUUUCUGAUCAAGAAAUCUUUGACUCAUAUAUUUCUUUUGGAACUUGAUUUGGAAGAAUUCCAAACCAUACGCUCUCUGGGCACAAUUGAAAUCAAUGUGCUCCACCAUUGGUAAGCUGAGUCUUUAAAUAGAGAUAAAACACAUUUAACACACUCUGCUGGUGAAUAAGAUAACUUGUCAAAAACCUGAAUCGUAUUUUCUAACCAAAAUUUUCCUCUCUCAGGAUCAUCUUCAGCGGUAGCUUUAAAUUCUUUAGCCCCAUAUUUACAAAUUUUUUGUCCAUACAAACUCGGUAAACCAUUCGUUCAUCAUCUAGAAGAAGGCUUUCUUAGCCUCUCCUCCUUAGCCCUCAAAUAAGGGCCUUGUACCGUUCGACGCUGCUCUAUGAACGGAGGCUAGUGCAUUACUCUCAACUUCAUCGGAGUCAGUUCGGUUGGAUGACAUUACUAUAUGAAAACAUAUUUCAAAACGAGUUAGGAGUUAUCACACUAUCACAAGUUAUAUAAUGACAUGUAUUUCUAGACUCACACACGCUAUGUUCAGUUUGAGAAUCGACUAAAUCGUAGCUCUGAUAGCAAUAAAUGUAACACCCCUAACCCGUAUCUGUCGCCAAAAUAGGGUUACAGAGCAUUACUGAAAGUUUACAUAUCAAAACAAUAAAUUAUUGAAAAUAUUCAAAUCAUAUAAGAAAUUAUUGCAAAAUUAAUCAAUCCCAUAUUCAAAAGAUUCAAAUCAUAUAAUAAAUUAUUGCAAAAUCAAUCAAUCUCAUGCAUAUUUUACCUUAUAUGAGCCUUCAAGGCCCUAAAAACACUUUAAAAAUGAAUCAGGACUAAAUAAAAAACAUAUAGAAUUUCUGGGAAAAAGUUGAAAAUUUUUCAUACUGUAGGGGUCACAUGGCUGAGACACAUGCCUGUGUCUUAGGUCAUGUGGACAUUCAAAGUAGGGACACACGGCUGUGUCCUAGCCCGUGUUUGUCCCCAUGUAACUCUCUAACUUGGGUCACAUGGCCAAGCCAAACGCUCAUGUACCUCUCAAAAUGGCCUCACACGCCCGAGUGCUAGGCUGUGUAACAGCCUGGCUUACAACCCUUUGUAACCUACAAGGGACACACGGCCAUGCCGCAUGGCCGUGUGUCAUACGCGACUGAGACACAUGCCCGUAUCUUAGGCUGUGUGAACGAAAAAUAGGCCAUUUUCAAGCCAUUUUCCUCACCCAAAACAUGACCACUUAUACAAGCCAUAAGCAUCUAUUUUCAAGCAUCCAAAAUGCUAAAAUAUCAACAAUUAUAAGACCACAUAUACAUGACAACAUAACAACUAAUCCAUUACCUAAAAUACCUUAUUUACAAACUAAACAUAAUGGCUAUUUCAUCAAGCACAAAACACAUAUACACACAAUUAUAACCAUGACUUAAAAACAUCAAAAGCUAUCGAUAUAGCUGAUGGAUAGUGUGAUAGGUCUCCGACAAGUUUCCAACCCGAACGAGCUUCUGAUUCACUAUAAGACAUGUAAAGUAACACGAAGUAAGCAUACAAUGCUUAGUAAGUUUGUAUAUCAUAAAACUUAACUUUCCAUGUCUUAACAUAACAUUAAAAUUUUGCAUGGCAGAACCCAACCAAAAGCUUGCUCGAAGCCUAAGCAUCAACACAAACAUGUUAGCAUACUUGAACAUAAAUCAUAGGAAAUUUAACAUGGAUGACCAUUAAACUUAAACAUGAAUCAAUUGGAUUUUUCAUCCAUCUCAACAUAACAUAAUUUCCAUGUAUCACCAUUUCAGUGAAUUUCAUUUAUACAUGCUUUAGUUCAUAUUGAACUCUUACCAUUUCCUUUCAAACUCAUGCCCGUUGAACUGAUUAGAAUACCAUUGGGUAGAUGGGAUAGCUCACACAAAGUGUGCAAACAUAUAACCGUAGUUCGUACUUUCCUUUACAUGCUUACACGAGCUAUGAAAAGAGUAUGCUCACACGAGUCAUCACACGAGCUGUGAAAAUGGGUCUACUGACUCGAGUCAGAAUAUAGCUACAUGGUGCUGCUUCACAAGCUUUCGAGUAUUCGCAAAAAAUGCCGAAACUUAGCCACCGAUAGGACAUUCAAGACCAACAAGAAACAUGUAAACCUUUAUGACAUGUCAUUUGUAUCCUAUGAAUUCUUAAGGUUCAAACGGGGCUCAAUAAUCAUCGUAACAUCGUUGGAUAUGCAAAAAUUAUUUACAUGGCAGUCCACAGCACAUAUAUAUUUCAAUAAUAAGCAUAUAAGCAUUAUGCAUUACAUGAAAUUACCUCGACGAUAAAAUGUAGAUACGGAGUCAAUUAGUUCGAAACUUUAUCUUUGGCCCGAUCGUUGCCAAAGAACCUGUACUAAAGCUAUGUUUUUAUUUCACAAUUCUUUAACCUCUCGAGCUAAGAUUCUGAUCAGUUCUUUGCUAUACGACAUAUCAGGCUGAAUUUAAACAUCUACUGGUGAAAUAACAUGUGAAGGGUCUGAUCGGUAUCGUUGUAACAUCGAUAUGCGAAAUACAUUAUGAAUCAUUUCUAACUCUGGCGACAAAGUUAAACGAUAAGCUACUGGCUUGAUUCUUUCAAUAAUCUCAUGCGAUCAAAUAAAUCAUGGACUUAGCUUUCCUUUACUACCGAAACGAAGAACUUUCUUCCAGGGCAAUACUUUCAAGAACACUUUAUCGCCGACUUGAAAUUCAAUGUCUUUACAUUUUAAAUUCAUAUACGAUUUCUGUCGAUCUGAAGCUGCUUUCAAACUAUCAUAGAUUACUUUAACUUUUUCUUCCAUAUCUCAAAUCAAAUCGACCCCGUGAAUCUUUUUCUCACUGAGCUCAGUAAAGUACAAUGGAGUUCAGCACUUACGACCAUACAAAGCUUCAUACGGUGCCAUCUUUAUGCUUGAUUGAUAACUGUUAUUGUACGUGAAUUCAACUAGUGAUAAAUAUUUUUCCCAGUUACCCUCCAAUUAUAACACACAACAUCAAAGCAUAUCCUCUAGUAUCUAAAUUACUCGCUUAGACUGACCAUCGUUCUGUGGAUGAAAUGUAGUGCUAAAAUGUAUAUGCGUACCUAGAGCCUCCUGUAACUUGCUCCAGAAUAGUGAUGUAAAAUGUAGAUCUCUAUUUGAAAUAAUGGAAACUAGCACCCCGUGCAAUCUAACAAUCACAGCAACAUAUAGUUCGGCUAAUCUCUCAAGAGAAUGAUCUGUAGGAAUUGGGAAUAAAAUAUGCAGACUUCGUCAGACGACUAGAAACAACUCAAAUUGCAUCUUUCCUUCUCGGAGACAAGGGUAAACCCGAUACAAAAUCCGUCAUGACUCGCUCUGAUUUUCAUUCCGGUAUCAUCACUGGCUAUAACAAACCAGAAGGUACUUGAUGUUCAAUUUUAACUUGCUGACAUAUUAAACAUCUAGAUACAAAGUAAAAAAUCUCUCGUUUCAUACCCGGCCACCAAUGCAUUAGUUUCAAAUCACUAUACAUCUUAUUGCUAUCAGGAUGAACAGACAAGUUACCACUACGAGAUUCAUGCAUAAUCUUCCGAACAAUCUCUGAAUUCCUCGGUACGCAAAUUCUGCCUCUAAAAAGUAAACAAUCAUCGAAUCCAAUUUGAAAAUUUGAAUUAGGAGUCUACUCACUCUAUUUGAAAGACUAAUAUGUUGUCUAUCAAGUACAAUUGAGGAGAUUCUUUUUCAUGGGCAUCAGAGUGGAUGACUCCUAGAAAAUAGAGACAUAGAUGUGACUGACUGGACUUAUAAUACAAUGGCCUAGACCGAAGAAGGAUAGAUUCUGAUUUUGUUUAUGGAUUUAUUCACUUGUGACAUUUAUAGUGUGACAUACCUAAAUUUUGAGUAGAUGAAGGAUUAUGUACAUGUGACUUGUACACUUUAAUGUAAGGAAAAGUUUGAGUUCGAAUAGAUAAGGAACCAAAAGUUGAUGUGUUGGGUGUAAAAAUUCUUUAGUAUGUAGCGUAAAUCAUAACAGUGGAAUUCAUAGCCCAAAACAUGUGUCAAUGAUAUCCUUUCAUUAGCAUUACAUGGUUUAUGAAAAGUAAAUGUGGCCACGGGUCAUCUGUCUUUAUGAUGGAUGACUUGAUCAAUAUUUGAUGGUGAUUGACUUUUCAUGAAAGAAGAUGUAAUGGUUAAUUACCAUGAGAUAAAAUAGGAUCAUAUUGGUAGAUUGGAUAUUAUCCCAAAGAGAUCAAGGAUAUCCUACGAGGGUAACAUACUUAUGACAAGGUUAUUAGACAAGCAAUGAGUAGAUGAUUUCGUAAUGAUAUGUCGUUAGGGAGAGUUCAGUCACAAUACUAUAGUGGGAUGACUUCGUGACUAAAUGAGUUUAUAAUUAAUAGGUGAAAAGUCAGAACUUAAUUAUAAAUAAUUUGAAACCUAAUUACAUAUGUCCUAUUGGUCCCUCUGCAAGCUCGUUGGAACUAGAAAUGAAUUGAGAGUUUGAAUAGAAAUGAACAAAAUGAAUAAGAAAAGAAAAGAAGAAAACGUUUAGGAAUGAUUAUAGUUUUUUCCAAAAUGAAAAAUGGAAUCAUAUUGAAAUGAAUGUAGGUUUUCAAAAAUAGAAAUGGAAAUAAAAAUGAUCCAUUUGUAAUUCUCUAUGAAUUACUUAAAACUGAUCGAAAGAAUGAGUUUAUGUUUUAGAGUUGUUUUGAAGCCCAAAAAUAAAAAUAAAUUAUUCAGUCAUAGUGAACAUGUUGAGUUUUGAAAUAUUAAACAUAUUUUCUCAAAAUUUUACCAGGGGUAAAAUCAUCAAAAUUUUACUGGGGGUAAAAUCGUCAAAAUUUACCGAGGGUAAAAUUGUCAAAAUAUUAUUGGGGGUAAAAUAGGGAUGAAAAAAUUGUUUAAUAUAGAAUAGUAAUGUUUAUUUUAGAAAAUAGAUAAAUAUGUAUUGGGUUAGAUUAAAUUUUAAAGUAUCGGGUUGAAAGUCCAUAAAUCACAUAUAAUUAGGCCCAAUACAAUGAGAGGCCCGAAUCCCAUCAUAAUACAUACAAUGAGAGGCCCGAAUCCCCACUCCCUCUCUUAGUUGGACUAGGAAGUUGGUUUUCUAUUUGAAAUAGACCUUUACAAUUCAAGAAGGGUUCUAUAUUCACUCCUUAUAAAUAGAUGACAUUGGUAGAGCUAUUUAAAUAAUUUUGAGAGAUUGUUAAUCUGCCGAAAAAUAGAGAGAAUUUAUUCUCAACUAUUAAAAUUAUUUGUUGAAAAUAACAAUUCUACCAAUUUCUAUUAAAGAAGAGAGAAUUUCAUUUUCACCCCAGAUAAAAGAGAGAAAACUUUUUCUAGUUCUGUUUUCAAUUCAAUUGGUUCGAAUCCACACUUAAAGCAGUUCAUGGUACGAGAAUAGUGGAGAAUAUCGUUUGGUUGAAAUUCGGGAAUGAAUGUCCGCCUAGCUGAAAACACAUGUAUGAAUUAAAUUAUGGUUUAUUGCUAUAAAUAUCACAAACCCGGUCGAUUUUUAAAAUUUUAAUUUUUCAAUGUGUAAGAAAACCAUUUUCAAACUGGAUUUUUUUUCCAAAAUUUGGUAUCAGAGUCAGGUUGUGCUAUGUUUAUGGUGUAAACCGAGACCAAAUUUCUCUUUUAAUCUUAUUUGAUUAAUAUUUGAUAAGAUGUGACAUUCUUGUAAUUAUUCACAUGUUUAGGAGAAUGUAUGUGAAUGAAUGUGAUUAUAUAUAUUUUUAUAUAAUAAUUAUUUUUUUGCCAAGGUUGUGGUUAUUAGGAAAUAGACUAUGGACUAUCAUUUCUAUGUAGGAUUAUUUUUUUAUAUAGAUUUUUUGUGAGCCGAAAAUGGACAUAGGAUAUAAAUGUUUUUUUUUUCAAAAAAGAGUCAAUGACGAGAAAAAGAUGGAGUGAUGGCGGUUGAAGACCCAAGAAAUUUCUUGUGGUGAAAAAUUGUGUAAUCUUGUUUUUCAUUUAUUUUCUAUAAAUAGAACUGUGGAAACCUUUGCUGGCAAUUUUAUUUUAUUACUCAUCUCCUUAUAUAUCUACUUAAUAAUUGUUAAUUUGUAUGAGCUGAUCCACAAUUGAUCAAUUAAAGAUAAGAAGUAUGGUAAUUAGAAGAUGGAUGUCUAGGAUUAGAUUUGGCAAUGAAAGGCUUGACUUUUAAGCGGUCGAAUACGAUUCACCUCCCUUUGUUGGGACCCAACCUAGUGCACGAUUCACAUUCACUUCUUCAUUUUUUCCCUUAAAAGGAAAAUUAUGGAAAAUCAAAAUUGUUAAUUCUUAUGAAAAAAUAAAUGUGCAUAUAUUGUAAAAUUGUCAUAACAUGUCAUAUAUGAGAUAAUCAUGCCAUAUAGUUUAGGAAAGAAUGCCACAUAUACUUGUCAUGCAUAUAUUGAUCAUUCAUGAUUGAAACAGGAAAUAAAAAAUCUUGCAUGUUUUUAAAAUAUUGAGUGGGAGAAGGUCCCUAAACAAGAACCACGACCUUCUUCAAUGGUCUCUUGUGAUGACAUGAAAUGGACCUACCUUAAUGUAGACAUUGUCAUGCGAAUUUCACUAAGGAGACUUCCUGAAAGUAAGAGAAAUUUUCUUAUCAUCAUAUGAUAAUUGGAUCGACCCCUGUGGUAGGUAUUAUCAUGUAAUACAUUAAGAAAUUCAUUUUUCAAAGAGGACUGCUAGUCACAGCAUGCUACUCAGUGAGGUUGUCCCGAGAGGACUCAUUUGUGGUGCAUGAUGCGAUAGGUGUUGAGUUGAUGGUUAUACACUCAAGAUCAUCUAGUUAAGUAACUCCGCAAAGAGCUAUGCUUAGGUUAGAAUGAUGGCCAAACAUUACAUGAUUAUUAGUACGUAUGAAUGCCUAAGGAAUUAGGUUCAUGUACUAAUUGGAUGAAAAGUCAUGUUCUUACUAGUUGAUCAUGAUCACUCCAAGGUGGCCUGAUUCAAUGGGUGUAGGGAUUAUCGUUGCAAGGACUUACAAAUGUUUUCAAGGUUUAAUGUAAGACGCAUACAUCAUCUUAAUACAUAUCGUAAUGUUGGAAAACAUUUUCAAACAUUUGUUUAAUACAAAGAUAUUAACAUAUGAAUGUUUUAUUUCCAGUUCAUAAAUGACACCAACUCCCUUAUUGAACAUACUCACCAAAAACAAACUGAAUGGAAACAAAUAUAGGAAUGGAAAAGGAACUUGAUAAUUGUCCUGAGCUAUGACAAACUUAAAACAAUUCUUGAUAAUAAGUGUCCACCGACCACUCAAGCUGAGGCUAGAAAAUGUCAGGAGGAGUCUAAUGAGAUAACUCAUUGCUAUAUGUUGACAAGCCUGACCAACACCCUAUAUAAGUAACUAGAGAGUUGUAAGACUACCGAAGUGAUUCUGGAUAAGCUAGAAGACAUGUUCAGAGGCCAAGUUGCCUUGGCUCAAUAUUCUGCUAUAACUAGCUUGAUGAAUACCCAACAAAAUCCUGACAUUCCAGUCAAAGACCAUAUGAUUACUCUUAUGGGAUACUUUGUCGAGCCCGCGGAUAAUGAGGCCAAUUUGGACUAAAACACUUAGAUUGAGAUGGUGUUUGACUGUUUCUAGAUGUACUAAUGUCUAAAGUGUUAAUACUACUACCAAAUAUAUAAGUUAGGCAACUUCCGCAAUUAUACGGGGUAUGUUGUAAUAUAGUUUGUUUACAACGAAACCUUUGGUAAGUAUUUCAAGGAUCAUACCCUAAGGAUUGCAGUUUGGGGAAAACGGCUAUUAAGUCAAUUACCGAAAAUAACUACUAAUCUACCCGAGUCACAAAUUAGUAGUGUUAAUCUGGAAGCAAGAUGAUAAUAAUAACACUAAAUUAAAUGAAUUGAACUAAACCUAAAUCUACUCCUAAGUUCAUGUAUCGGUUUCGCCUAUUCCUUUUUUCGACUAUACGAGUUCCUUUAGCCUAGAUCCAAGUGUUUUACCCAAUUAACUAUUGAUGAAAGGUUCAAAAUAAUUGGUAACUUAUUAACCUAGCAGGGCGUCUCAGCCUUCUACUAACCUAACUAGUCGAUAAGAACUACUCACGUCUUGAUGACACAGUUUAGACUAAGGAAGGGUAAGCUUUUCACGGAUAGACAAUAACGAUUUUAGGUUAAUUCCCACGUAUAUGAUUUCUUAGGGUUGUCAAGCCUAUGGUUUAAGUUCGUCAUUCCUUAACCAUUGAUCUACUAAGUGAUGCUUGGUAGGAAAUACUGAUUUCGGGUUAAUUCCUACAUAGAUGACUUCCUAGGGUCAUCAGUUCUAGGGUUUAAUUACUCUCAACUAGAUCCAACCAAUCCAAAUUGAACUCUAAUUGUCAAUCAAUUAAUUAGAUAAAAAUAGUUGAAACAUGCAAAAUAUGUAUAAAGCAUCAAUUGAUUCUAAUCUUUACACAAACAUUAAAUUACAAUGUUAAAGAAAGAAAUAUAAAUAAUAGAAUAAAUGAAAGAGAUGCUCAUGGAUUUAUCGAUGAAAGCGUGGCUUCGAAACAAUCUUCGCUCACGAAAGUCUCACUUCAGAAUGGAAUCUUCCAAUUAUAAGAACAUAUAAUAAACUAAGUAAAAACUAAAAACGAAAUAAAAAAUUAAGAAUCAAUCCCUCAAAAAAUGUGUGCUUAAUCUGAUUACAAUAGCCAUUAUAUAGGCUAUCCUUGGAAUAUUAAAGUGCCUAAAAUAUUCUUGAAGUACUUAGAUUUCAACUAGGAAAAAGAUUCCUAAUUGGUCUAAAAACGCAGAUUUCAUGUGCAACAUAGGUCUGUGGUGUUGCAACAUCAGACCUAGUGUCGUGAUAUAGCAGGGACAUGUAGUGACAUAGUAGGGACAUGUCACGACAUAGCAUGCAGUUCUGCUCUAGAACUUGUUUUUGCUUCUGUCUUUGAUGUUGCGACAUCGAUGUCUUGGUGCCGUGACAUAGGUAGUAGUUUUGGCCUGAAUAUGCGUCUUUAACUUCUGAUUUUUCCUACAAGACCAUGUAACCUUAUUUAGAUAUCUAAGAUGUAACAAAAACUACUUUAAGCAUGAAAACCUAAAUAUAUACUAAGAUGCUUUGAUUUACUAUUAAACAAGCUACAAUUAUGUGUAAAAGGGGAUAUAAAUAAUUGUGUAAUUCAUGGCAGAUCAGUGUUCAAGAGCUUGUCCAAUGAGUUUCCAAGCUUUUAGGCCGCAUAUAACCUUGGGAACAAGAACUUGACACUUACACAACUCAUGAAAGAGAUAUAAUCCUAUGAGUUGAUGUUCAAUUGUGGUCAGCUCAUCUAAAAAGUAGAAGCGAACAUAUCCAUCACUUUUUCCUCAAAAGGCAAGGGAAAGUGUGCUAAGGAAGGAAAUGUUAAGGUCUCUAGGCCACCACAAGUGAAAAGGAAAGAACUAGGAAGCCUAAAUACUUAUCUAAAUCCAAAUGCUUCUUUUUUAGUAAGAAAGGGCACUUCAAGGUGAAUUGCAAAGAGUGGAAAGAAUACCUAGCAACCAAAGGCAAAUAUUUGGAACUCUUUAUGAUAGAAGCUUGUUUAGUGGAGGAUUCAAUAGACCACUAGGUCAUUGAUUUAGGAGACACUUAUCAUGUUGUUGUUUCUCUACAGGGGUUCGAGGGGAAAAAAAAUCUUAGACAUAAAAGCUUAUUGUUACAGACUAGGAAUGGGACAAGCGUGGCUGUAACCCCUAUACUUGGCAUGGUCGCCAAGCCCAAAUAGGGGAUGCCACACCACCAUCUUAUAUCAUAUACAACAACUAAAUGUUCAUUUUAAACGAAGCAUCUUCUAUUUUAGUAUUCGUGAAGGUUUUAAGCCACUCAAACUUGAUAGUUAUCAUUGUUUCAUGCAAAUCUUACAAUAAUUAAUCUUAUAAAAAUUUUAUAAUAUGCACAAGGUCCAUUUAGUAGAAUUUCCAAAACAUGUUCGUAGGUAUCGGUACUGGCACUAGGGUAUUCUUUAUUUUCUCUAAGUGGUAUUGAUACCACCUAGAAAAACGAUACCAAACUUGUGUUCUAUUUGUCGAUUAAAAAUCCAAAGUCUCAAAAAUUAUCGAUACCUAUCAUGAAAUAUCAAUAUUUUAACCCUGAGUAUCGAUACUCGAGCAUAUGUGUCAAUAUCAAAUCUCUAUUCUAACUUCCUACAUGUUUCAAGCAUAAAAGUAUCAAUUUUUAAAACUCGAUUAUCGAUACCUCUGCUUCAGACUUCAAAAAUGCAGAAUAAAUAUGCAAUUAAUCCAUUCCACUUUAGUUCCUAAACAUCAUACAUCAAUUACUUCAACAAAUAAUCAUUUAAUGACCUAAUUAACAUUUCAAUAUCACAGAAUUAUGUUUGAGCAAGAAACAUCAGUCCAUCCUCAUAUUCAUGAACCCAAGCAUAUCAAUAACAUGUAAUCCUUAUAAACUGAACCAAAAACCAGUAUAAUGUCUAAAAGUUAACAUGUAAUAAAUAAGUCUACCACAUUGCCUUUUUCCCAAAAUGUAAAUAAAUAAAGAACACCUACAGAAUAAUACCAACUGGGUUGGAUCACCUCUCAAAAAACCACACCGCUCAUACCAGUACUUUACUACUCUCCAAAGGUUUUAAGAAAGGAGUUGGUGAGCUUAACAAGCUCAGUGAAUUCCUAGAACAAACUACCAUGCAAACAAUUCAUCAAGCAUCAACGAAACAAUCAUAUAGCACAACCUCAUCAGUUCCAGCUCUAGUGUCAUAUUAUACUUACUUAUGCAUUAUUUACUAGUUCAUUUACGUAGUAAUCAUAUUCACUUUUAAACAUGUAUCACAUUACACAUAUAAUUACAUAACAUUUAAAAAUAUAUCACAAUACUAAAAAAUGUGUUUAUAGAUAAAUUGCAUAAUGGUCGCGUAUCAUAUAAACAUAUAACACAAUACAUACAUAUUCAUAAUUGAAGUUAAUUUGGCAUUUGAGCUAUGACACAUAAAAGUGAGCUCUACCAUCACUCGUCUAAUACACAGAUCUCUAGCACACCACAUAAACUCAUAAAGUCAAACAUGUCCCAAAAGUGAAGCAUAAAGCUAACACUCUUCCAUUGAAUGGAGCUUAGCUCCCAUUCCCUUAUCCUUCCAACAUGUCCCAGGGCCUCAACACCCAAAACCACUGUACAUAUAGAUGAGUACUCAUAAUUCUAUGGCAUGUCAACUAUAUCCAACGGUUUUAAGAUCACAAGGCUAAAAUAUUCGAAAUCAAACACGUCAUUUAUCGAUUAUCCGUGCACUUUCACUGUAGAUUUGCAUCUUUAGCAAAACACUGUCAUUGACAUUUAAAAUAUACAUAACAUGUACAUAUUUGCACUUUCACAACGGUUAUUAUAACCACAUAUAACAUGUUAUAACAUCUCAUCUCAAUUCAUAUAUUCACAAUCAUAUAAGCAUAUAGUUCACAAGAUAACAUAGGUAUGAGAAAGCUUGCACUCGAAAUUUAGAGUAGGGAUUUAGGCUACUACCAAAUUCUCUAAUAACACAUUAAAUCAUGUCUACAAGAAAUUAUUCCAAAAACUCACCAAUUACGCUUUCGUCGAAAAGUCAAAAGCUCAAACUAGUAUUUCCUUACCUUUAUCUAUACUUGUAGAAGGUCCUAUCGAAUUUGGAACUUCAACACAAUAAUUCACACAAUAAUUUAUUUGAUAAUCAGCUAAGAACUCACUACAAGCAAUCAAAAACAUAAGUCUAAGCUAUGUUCCCAUGUAACUGAAACUUAUAACAUAGCAAACUUUAAAUUCAAAUAUCUCGAUCUAUACUCAUUCUUUUCGCCUAUAACUAAUUUAGUUCAUCUUAUAAUUCACAUACGACUAAUUCUCAACCUUUAAACUAUACUAAAAUACUCAAUUCAUAGUAUCGACUUUUUUGACAUGUUUUAUGGCUAUUUUCCAAAAAAUUAUUAAAACGUGAGAAAUCUUUAAUGAACUUAAAAGUAAGUUUAGAAAACUUCCAAUCACAUAAAAAUUAAUUGAAAACUCUUUGAAACAUCAUUUUUAUGCAAAAUCUCGAAUUUCACCAUUAAGGACCAAAGUUUCAACUUUUACUUAAAACAUGUGAUUUAAUGGCUAAAAACUUAGUUUUAAAGACUAAAUAACAUUUAAAACUAAUUAGAAGUUGGAUCCUUACCUUAGAUGAUGAAAAAAAGCGUUUGAUAAAAAACCUAAAAGCUUGACAAUUGAGAAAACUAUGGUAUUUUUGGAUGUUUCUCUUAACUUCUAUGGAGGUUUAUGACUAGGAGGAUGAUAGAAAUCAAUGGAAUAGAGUUUAGGAAUCAAAAUCGAUUGUAAUGGGCCUAGAGAAGCAAGGACAACAACAACAAUAAAAGGUGAAAAAGACUAACGUGAAAUUUAUAGGUGGGGGAUGAUAUUAGGGUGUUUUUUAAAUUUUAGUUUAAUUGCCUUUUAAAAAUUCACAAUUUUGACUCUAUUACAAAUCAUUCCAAUUGUCAAAAUUAAAUGUAUUUAAAAAUAAUUUCAAAAAUUGAUUUAAUUUUCUAAAAACCAUAGUAAACAUUCUAAGGCUAAAAUCUCUAAAAUACCCCUAAAACUCCUAGGCCUUAUUUUGGGUGUUAUAGUGACAACUAAAGCAGUGGGAGAUGUACAUCUUUAUUUUGAUAAUUUUAGGAAGAUUAUUUUAAGAGAUAUUUUAUGUGUACCAAGUUUCAAAAGAAACUUAAUUUCUGUUGCAUGUUUUUUUAUAUAAAGCGACUUAACCGAUAAAGAAUCACUAGACUUGUGAAAGACGACAUCUUAAGUUCACUUAAAGAAGUUAAUCUUCCACAAUAUGAAUCUUUCUUGGAAGGUAAGAUGAAUAAGAAAUCUUUUAAUUGAAAAGGAUCGGGGGACGGAAAACCCCUAGAACUUGUGCAGACUGACGUAUGUGACCUUAUAAGUGUUAGUGCAAGAGGUGAUUAUGAGUAUUAUGUAAACUUUAUUCAUGGCUAUUGCAGAUAUAAGUAUCUAUACCUAAUGCACUACAAGAGUGAAACCUUUGUUAAAUUCAAAGAGUUUCGUGUGGAAGUGGAGAAACAAUUAGGUUUACCCAUAAAGGCACAUCGGUCAAAUCGAGUUGGGGAAUAUUUAUCUAAUGAGUUCUUAGGGAACCUCAUAGAGAAUAGGAUUCUAUCCCAAUUAACCACAUCGGGCACUCCACAACAGAAUGGCAUGGAAGAUAGAAGGAAUUGAUUGUUUUUAUACAUGGUACGUUCGAUGUUAAGUUAUUCAAAGCUAUCAAUCUCUUUUUGGGGAUGUUGUACAAACAGCUUGCUCUAUUCUAAAUAAUGUGCCAAUUAAGGCAGCAUCGAAAAACCUAUACGAAUUGUGGCGUGGUAAGAAGUCAGUUCUUAAUCAUUUUAGGAUUUGGGGAUGCCAAACCCACGUAUUAGACAAAGAUGUGAGGAAGCUGGAGUGAUAGACAUAAUCAUGCAUGUUUUUAGGAUAUCCAAAAGGAACAAAGGGUGGUUUGUUUUAUAACCCGAAAGAGCAAACUGUUAUAGUGUCAACUCAUGCUACUUUCCUUGAAGAAAGUUACAUGAAUGACUUUAAACCUCGGAGUAAGGAGAAGGAAAUUUUAGGAAAUAUACAAAACCCUAAUAAAAUGAUUCUAGAACCAACUCUUAAUAGUAGACCUGCAAACGAUCAGAAGUCUAGGGUGCUUCGUCGUAGUGGGAGGGUCUCUCAUAUUCCUAAGUUUUUUCAAUUUGGUGGAAGCUUUUUUAACAAUGAGUUUGUCGAAGAGGAAGAUAAUGAUCAACUCAAAUAUGAUGAAACAAUGCAGAGUGUUGAUUCCAAGCUCUGGUAAAUAGCUAUGAGAGAUUAUAUGGACUCUAUGUAUUCCAACUUAGUGUGGGAACUUAUAGACUUACCGAAGGGAUAAAACUCAUAGGGUGUAAGUGGAUCUACAAGCGGUUCCUAAUUACGUAUGUCCAAUCUGUCCUUCCGCUAGCUUGUUGAAACCAGAAUUGAAUUGCAAGCUUGAAUAGAAAUGAAUAGAAUGAAUAGGAAAAGAAAAAUGAAAAUUAUUUAGGAAUGCUUAUGGUUUUCUCUGAAAUGGAAAAAAUGGAAUCAUUUUGAAAUGAAUGUAGAUAUCCAAAAAUGGGAGUAGAAAUUGAAAUAAUCCAUUUGCAAUUCUAUAUGGAUUACUUAAAAAUGAUCAGAAGAAUGAGUUUAUGUUUUUGAGAUAUUUUGAAGCCUGGAAAUGAAAAUAAAUCAUUCGAUCAUAGUGAACAUAUUGAGUUUUGAAAUAUUAUACACAUUUUCUUGAAAUUUUAUUAAGGAUAAAAUUGUCAAAAUUUUACCGAGGUAAAAGUAAAAUAGGGAUGAGAAAAUUAUUUAAUAUAGAAUAUGAAUGUUUAUCUUGGAAAAUAGAAUAAAAUGCAUUGGGUUGGAUUACAUUAUAAAGUGUUGGGUUAAGGAAACACGAAAAUUUAUGUGUUUUUACAUGCCCUUUUUAACUUAAAAUCAUUCUAUUUCGGUUAAAUUCUUGUCGAAAAAUAAUUAAAUAUUAUAGAAUAAUUAAAUUAUGUUAAAAAUAUGAACAUGAUGAAUUUUUAAUUAAUUUUAUAGUUAAUUUUGAUUAAUUUUGACUAUUUUCGACAGAUUCGCGUAAAGGGCGAAAAUUGGCUCGACAGACAAAGCUCGAAGAAUAAAACCGAGAAGCAAUUUGAAGCAUCGAGGAAAAUUUAUUUCCAGCCUAAUAUGGUCCAAAAAUUUGUGUUAAUUCAUAAUAUAAUUAAUUUUAAUUUAUUCCCAAUUUAAUUUGGGCUAAAUAAAUUAUUAUUAAUUAAUUAUGGAAAAAAGGGUCUAGUUGAACCGCAUUGGUUGAACCGAAUCUAGUGAACCGAACCAGCCACCAAUUGGGCUGCCCAGAACCAUCCAUAUGCUGACCCAAAUCAGCAUUUUAACUGACUAAAUAAGCUUGCAAAGAAGCCCUUGAAGAACUUUGAACUUUGCAUUCAAACCCCUCUAAAAAAUGUGGCUUUAUGGAUUUGCCCCAGGCUAUUUUUAGCAAAGUUGAAUCUCUCAACUUUGCCAUGUGUGUGGCCAGCCAAGGGGGGUCUCUUUGGCUGAUGGAAUUUUCUAUUUAUAGCAGCCACAAUCAUCUAUAAAAGCCACCCCUUGCUGGUCAUUCAACUCAUCCCUCACACUCUCAUUCUCUUCUCCUCUCUCACUUUCUCUCAACUUUCCUUCCCAUUUUCCCUUUUGUUCAAGUGCCAAUUUCUUCUCUUGGGAAAGAUGUCCUCAUCAGCCAUUUUUGAGUAGCAAUUAAAUUAUUCAUAAGCCACCUUUAUAGCCAAGGACAACAAAGAACGAAGAACAGAGAAAUCAGUCAAGCCACGGAGAAACAUCAGAUUUGCUUCUUGUUCCCUAUCUCUUUAAAGUUCGUUGUUGUUUUGAAAAACAUGUUUAUGAAUAUUUAUCUUAUUUAAAUGGUUAUUUUAAUCAAUCUAGCUUGAAUUUAAUCCGUGUUGGGUUGAUUAUAUUUUGCUUGCUUGAAUUAUUGAAAUUGUGUUUCUGCUGUUACAGGCCUCGGUAAGAUGCUUGAUUAAGUAAAAUCAUGCCUAAGUUAUUCUUGCAAUAUUAAUUGUUAGAUAAAUAAUGAAUUAAUUAUUAAAUCAUAUUGAAAUUGUAAUUAAUCGACACAAUACUUAAUCAGUGCAUGUUUAUUCUUCUAAGGUAGCUGAAGUUAAUUUAGCAUUGUAUUUGGUGAUACAUAUGCCUUGCAUAACUUGAAAGAUUAUUGUGAUUAAACUGUUUCAAGGUAGAAAUACUCUGUUACCUCACUUGAUCUUUUAUAUGCUUGUGAAGAUUGAUUAAUCGCUUGGAUUGACAUUAAAAAAUGUUCAAGAGAUUGAUUAAUUUAAUAAGUAUGUAUGAGUAGUAGUUAGCAAAUUACAUAGUUGCCGUGAAUUUGUUCGUAGCAGUAUAAACAUAAGUUUAAUAAUUCUAGGUUAAAGGAAUGUAAUUAAUCCAACACAAUUAUAUCAUCUUGGUUAAAACUUAUUUGAAAUUGUGCAUUAGAAUAUUUUUAUUUUUAAUUUUUUUUACUUAGUUUUUAACCCUUAGUUUUUAAUCAUCUUUAAACCAAAAUAUUUUCCAUCACCAAAGUGUUUUAACAUUAAUUUCAUAAAUAUUCUUUUUUACAGUCCCUGUGGGUUUGAUAACUCGACAUUUACUUGUCACUUUAUUACUUGUUGCGAUUGUGUACACUUGCACGUUUUCGUCAUUCCAGGUUAAAAGUCCAUAAAGCACAUAUAAUUGGGCCCAAUACAAUGAGAGGCCCGAAUCCCUAUCAUAAUACAUAUGAGGGGAAACACACCCUAUUAGCCCCCCUCUCUCUCCUAGUUGGACUAGGAAUUUGUGUUUGUAUUUGAAAUAAACUUCUACAAUUCAAAAAUGAUUCUACAUUAUCUCCUUAUAAAUAGAUGGCACCGGUAGAGCUAUUUACAUAACUUUGAGAGAUUGUUACUCUGUCGAAAAAUAGAGAAAAUUUAUUCUCAACUAUUAAAUAUAUUUCUCUAGAAUAACAAUUCUACCUGUUUCUAUUAAAGAAGAGAGAAUUUUCAUUUUCACCCCAAAUAAAAGAGAAAAAUUUUUCUAGUUCUGUGUUUCAAUUUAAUUGGUUCGAGCCCACACUCAAAGCAUUUUGUGGUACGAUAAUAGCAAAGAUCAUCAUUUUGUUGAAAGUCGAGAACAAUGAACGUGCGCUAAGCUAAAAAAUAGGUAUGAAUUCGUUUAGGGUUUAUUACUGUAAAUAUCACAAACCGGGUCAAUUUUCAAAAUUUUAAUUUUUUAUUGUGAAAGAAAACCAUCUUCAAACCAGAUUUUUCCAACGGUAAUAAUGGGUGGUGUACUACAUGCUAAUGAUACAAAUACAAUUAAUUAUGUGAAAUGCUUGUAAUGCAUAUAAUGUAUGGGGUACAGAGGGAAGUACCAUGAUGGUGGUAGUUGAAGAUAGGAAUACUGGGUGAAAAUGAGGAAUGAGUGGAUUAAAAUGGGGAUUCAAGGGAGAUUGAAUGACAUUACAGAAUGUUAUCGACUGGCUCACUAGAGCGAUAUUGUGACCACGAUCUAUUGAAUCUAUAGAGUGACAUUGUGACGGCGGCUAUCGGCAGGUCCUUCGGGGUGACACCAUGAGAACAAUUUGUAGGUCUUUCAAGGUGACACCUUGGAAGAGGUUUAUUGAUUCUUCGGAAUCGGGAGUCUGCUAGGAAAUUAGAGAUGGGGUAUACUGUAUAAGACCAUAGCUCGGCUAUGGCAACAGGCCAAAUCUGCCAAGUUAAACAUGGGGUAUAUUGUGUAAGACCAUAGCCCGGUUAUGGCAACAUGUGAAGUCUGUCAGGACAUUAAAUAAGGCUAUACUGUGUAAGACCAUAGUUGGGCUAUGGUUUCAGAUAAAUUUUGUCAAGAUGAUGAAUUGAGAAACUAAUAAAGUAAAGAAAUAGGGAUAAUUGUAUGUCUCGUGCAGAAAGUAGUAUAGGUGGAUGAUCACGACGCGUUUGAGAAUGAGGUUAAAUAAGAAGGUAAGAGAAUCCACCAAACAAUAAAGAGGAAAAUAAUUGGUAGAAGUAUCCAAGAAUAUGGAUAAGCUUGCUCUGCCAAAUUUGGUAGAAAGUGGAAUCAGACAAGUUUGUGGUCAUCAAGACCAAAGAAAUAGAAGGGUACCCAUUCCAGUUAAGGGGUACCCAUUAUUAUAAAUCCGCUAGUGGUUAGCGAGUAAUAAAACAUGAAGUAUAAUAAGCAAGUCAACAAGGCAAACUCUAAGCUAAACGAUUGGAGCGGUAAGUCCUCCAAUGAUCUACUGAAAGGGGGAUGAUAGAGUAAGACUAUAUGGGGCUACCGAAGGUUGAGAUUGCCAGGAUUACUUAGGCAGGAAUAGUUCCUUAGGGACAAUCAAUAAAUUGGAGCAUGUAAGAAGGUUGGGCUUAGGAGAAUAAGCACUCUGGGGGUUACAUUCAGGGUAUGAGUCUGCCUAGAAAAAGGGGUGCCAACUCAUUCAACCAACUAACUUAUUGAGUCCAUGGAGAAGAAUGAUAGAAAGAGACCUUAUCUAGAAAAAGGGGGAUUAGGCAUAGGUCAAGUCAAAAGAAGAUUUCUAUUGGAGUAAUGGGAUAAAAUUUUAUGAAGAUCAAGGUCGAUCAAAGGGAUCAAGGAAGAGAUUCACAACUAUAGUGAAAUCUUGAUUAAAAUGCCAGUAAGUUGUCAAACCCGUGAUGGGAUCUACGAGAAUUCCAAGUUGAGGCAUACCUGUAUGAGUUCAAGGGAAGCUUUAAAUAACGACAAACAGGGUUAAGACCCAUAAAAAAAGAAUUUUCGAAGAUUUUUUUGGUGGGUGGAAUGCCCUUUGAUAGUUCAUUUGGAAAGAAUCUAGAAAAUGGCUAUGACAGAGAAAUUGCGGGUCUUCCUACAAGUUUAGGGAGUUUCUCAUCUGUGCUUUAAAUUUUAUAUUCCCUAAUUUCCAAGAAAUCUUGAAUGAAAAAUAAUGUAUAGGAUCUCACUAAGUUCUCCUGAGCUUAAAACAUUUUUUGCUUCCAUGCAAGGUAGGUGGUGUCUUAAAAUUUUAGUGGAGGGACCUAGCCAAACACCACCAGUUUCAAGAGAUGGGUGAGAUAGUUGAUUCAUAUACAUAUAGGGCAUGCCUUAAGGAUUAAAUUGGUUAUAUUCAUAUUGGAGUUUUAAAUUUAAAAUUUAUAAAUAGUUGUUGGAAUCAAAGUUGUAAGAAUUUAACUUUGGUUCUGUACGAUUGUUAAUAUCUUUUGAUCCUUAAUUUAUGUGUUUAAUAAUGUAAUUAGAGUAGAAUCAAAAACAUCGCUAAGAUAUUUAGGUCUUUCUAUCAUCCAGUACCUGGACCUAGCAAACAAAUUGGGUCUAAGGUGUUACAUGAAGUUAUUCCACUAUAGUUUCGUGACUGAGCUCUCCCCAACGACAUACCAUUAUGAAUGCAACUUGAUUAAUGCUUGUCCAAUGACCUUGUCAUAAGUGUGUUACCCUCAUAUGAUAUCCUUAAUCUUAUUUGGAUAAUAUUCAUUCUCCAAAUAUGAUCCUAUUUUAUCUCAUGGUAACAAUUACAUCUUCCUUCAUGAAAAGUCAAUUACUAUCAAAUAGUAGUCAAGUCUUCACCUAAUGUAAUAACAUGUUUAAUUUCCAUCUUCCAUCACGAACAACCUGUGACCAUGUUUAAUUUCCAUCAACCAAGUAAUAACAAUGAGAGGAUAUCAUUUACCCAUUCCUCGAGCUAUGAAUUCCACUAUUGUGAAUGAUGCUACAAACUACAGAAGUCGUACACUCAAUGCACCUGCUUUUGGUUCCUUAUCUAUUCGAACUCAUGCUUUCACUUACAUCAAAGUGUACGAGUCACGCAUACAUAGCCUGUCAUCCACUCAAGAUUUAGGUAUGAAAAUUGCAAUUGAAUAAAGAAUUAAGUGUGGUGUCUACAAGUGUACAUGUCAACUUGUAAUAUAGUUUAUAGUUACAACGUUACACUUUGGACGUAUUUCGAGGAUCUACACAGGGGAGGUUUGUUUAAACUAAAUUAAUAGAAAAAGUCACACAUUAACUAAGUCAAAAUAGCUACUCACGUACUUGUCAUAUUACGUUUAAAAAAAUGAAUCAUUAAACAAAACUAAAUUAUAUAAAAGCUAAACACCAAAAUCACAUUCAAAUUAAGCAGACAGUAGGGUGAAUUACUUCCAUGUUCAUGAUUAACCAAGGUCUAGGGUUUUUACCAAUUAGCUAACAAUCAACCUAAUUUAAUACCUUUUAACUUAUAACUAGAUUAAUUGAUCGAAUUAACUUUCUUAUCUUUCUACCUAAUAAAUUAAACUAGGUUAGAUUAAGUUGGUGCUGAGUAGACUAUCCUUUCGGCCUCAUCUACCUAAGUGACUUCCUAAAGUCGUCAAUUCUAGGGUUUAAUUCACUUAAGGUAAUCCAUCUAACUAGUGUCAAAAUCCUAACCCAAUCCACUCACUCCCACUUUAGCUUGUCAACCUUCCUAGGGUUUGAGUUCAUGGCCAUUCUAGAAGCAACCUCUCCUAACCGAUUAUCAAACAUCCAAACAAAUGUAAAAAUAAAUAAAAAGGGAAAAGAAUGUUAAGAAUCCAAAAAUCUUGAAACAAAACUUCUAUUGUUGAACCCACAAUCGAUGUUGAUAUUUUAUUUGAUGAAGAAGAAAAUAACCAAAAAAUAAUGAAAAGAAAACAAAAAUGAAAUUGCUAUUAAAAUUAACUUAGUGUUUAACAACUAAAAAAUGAAAUUGUAAUCUAUCUAAAACCCUAAUUAAUCCCAUAAAACUAAAUUUAAAAAUAAAAAUCGGCUCUCUAAUCAAGUCUUAUGAGCUAAUAUUUAUAGUGUUUAUGUUAUAUGACCAAAUUAUUUCAAUCACAAGUUGUGUAACAAGUUAAUUAAGAUUAUACGGAUAAAAACACCCAUUACAGUCAUAUUGGCCUCAUUAAACCGGUGUCGGGACAAACUAUAGCUGGUGUUGUGAUUUCGUUGGAAGAAUACUUGGUCUUCAAAACUUGGUGGAAUGUCACGACAUUAGUUUCUUGGGGUCACGAAAUCAUUGGCAGUAUGCUCCCUUUUGGAAUCUGGAUUGAAUGUCGCGACAUCGCCUCGAGUAGCUCACCUCUUGAAAUUGUGUUGGAAUUUCGACUAAGUGUUGAGGCUUGCUUUAAUGUCGCAUAUUCUUUUUGAAUGUUACGACAUCCAGGGUAGUCCAUUGACUUCUUGACCAAAAACAUUGUCCAGCACACUUACUCAACCUGUUAGUUCUUUCUUAGGUCCUAAUUGGCCUAAAAGGUCAUAAAACACCACUAAAAGCUCAAUCAAUUAAACUUAACCUCAAAAUAACUAAUCCUAAAAACAUAAUUAAAAUAUGAAAAAUCACUUGAAUACAAGCUCAUUAAGUGGUGAAAAGAGCCUAAUUUGUGACAGUGAAUUGUGGCAUAUCAUUAACCCUAAGCCCAUUUUAGGCAUGUCUGUAACCACCCAAACCUGACUUAGACGUUAUGGUCAAAUCCUGAAGAUUACAUUGGCCAUUGGAAUGGCAUGGAAAAAUGUUCCUAUUUUAAAUCACUCUUUAAAACAAAUUUCCUUUUUAUUUAAGACUAGUGAUCUCAAUUAUUUGUUUUAUUUCAAGAAAAUCAUAUUAAUUACAAAAUCAUCAAGCAUCUUUAGAGUGUCGCUUGUAAAGAUUAAUCAUUUCGGAAAAAAAACUAAGUUAUAUUUUGUUAAAAACAAACCUUUAAGUAUGGUAGUGAAAAAUUCAAUUAAAAUCAUAUUUCUGUUAAAAAUCGAUUUUUCAUGCAUAGUCAAUAAAACAUUCAGUGAGCAAUUUAAAACUUCAAAUCAUGCAAAAAUAAAGUAGAAAUCCCAAAAUAUAAAGUUCCAUGCCACAAUCUAUAAGAAAAUUAUUACAGUCCCAAAAAUAACCAUAUAAUAAAGUUUAAAGUAUUUAAAAUAAAAACCAUCCGAGAACACCUUCGAUAGCCGUGUCCAAGUCCUAACCUCGGGGAUUAUCUGAAAUCAGAUCAGAAACUAAUGUGUGAACUAAUAAACUUAGUGUGAGUCUUAUUUCAAAUAUACAGUAAUAAUAGUAAAUAUAACACUCAAGUCAAAAAAAUAUAAAGAGUACAAUAAAUAGCGCAAAGCUCACAAUUUGUGUCAUGCAUGAUCAUGUUAAUGUAGAAUUUUUAGAAUAUUCCUACCCAACUCCACUACACAUCAAUAUACGAUUUCUCUAAAACUCAUUCAACCAAUAAGACACCAAUUUGUGGACAAGCCACCAGGAUUGCAGAGAAAUUGUCAAAUUUGUAGACAAGCUACUAGGAAUAUGACCAUGCCACCAAAAUUGCAGGUAAACUACCAGAAUUAUGUGGUUGAACCACCAAAAUUGCAGAUAAACUAUCAAAUCUUCCUUCUUACAUAUUUGUCCCAACUCAAUGCAAAAUUACAUGUUACAACUAAAACAGAGUGCAAAUAAUAGGCAUGAUCAAAAGAGCAUGCAAACAAUGGAAAAAAUAGUAGGCAAGAUUUAAACAUGCAAUCAUAGUAAGAACAGUGGCAUAAAUUCCAUGCAAUGAGUAAAACAGUAUAGUAAACGCAUUUAAUGACACUUUUAGAAUUAUUAGUAUCAAAAUUCACAUUUUUAAUAUGUGACUAAAUUUUAGUUAUAGUGUGCAAGGUUUAUCAUGACAUCAAUCUCAAUAAUAGAUUUGCAACAUGCAUCAAUAGCACAUAUUAUAUGAAUAUCAUCAAGUCAUAAUACAACAGCCAUACAUAUUUAUGACAUCACGGAUUUAACAUAUCAGAGUCACUUACUUGGAAACAAUCCUAUUAAAGGAUUUAUCAAUCACCGUGAAUACUUAGUGUAUUCAAAUAACCAUGUUUCAGAGAAAAUAAUAAAUAUUAAUCAUAAGUAUAUAAUAGUUACUAAAUAAUCAUAUAUAUUUUUAUUUGAUUAAACCCACACCUAAAAAUAUGCCUUGUCACUAAAUCUACACCCACACUCCAAUGAUAACUAAUCUAGACAGUUCUCGCUUGAUCUGAUCAAAUAAUAACGGUAUGAUCCCAAUAGGAAUUCAUUAGUUUCAACCAUAAACCAAAAUAUAAUUCUCUUAUGCAGUCAGAUAAGAAACUUCCUCAAUACCUUUUUUGAAAGGAGAUCCAAACAUUUUUCUUAUGCUCGAGUAAAUUCGAAUGAUCCAGAUUAGAUCCUUCAAGAAACAUGUUACACAAAUAUUGGAACAUAUAUUCAACUCACAUAAGAAAAGAAAUGAUUGUGGUUAGAUUUACUAAUCAUUACUUACGCUAAACCGAUUGGAUUGUGAAGAUUAAUGAUUCACCGAAAGUUUUGAUUUGAUAGAGGAGUAGUGGCUAAGAAAAAACAAAAUAAGGAAUAAAGUGACUAUGUACAUUGUUUAAUAAUUAAAGAAAAAAAGAAGAAGAAUAAGAGAUGUUAAAAUUCAGUUAUGGCCAAGUAGAUGAAAGGAUGAUGAAGAAAGAAGACAAUCAGUGGAAGCUGGCGGUGGUGGUGCAAUGGCGCUACAGCGGCGAUGGCAUAGGAGGUUUGAUAGUGGCAUGAAGAGAGUGGGAGAGGAGGGACAGUGGUGAAGUGGUGGUGUUUAGGUGGUACGAUGGUGGCUAAAGUUGGUGGAGUGGUGGCAAAAUAAAUUUAAAGUAUCGGCUCAAGGUGAUGCAAGAGGAGGAGGAGAGAAAAAGAAAGGGAAGAAAGGAAACAAAGAGAUGAAAUAAAAUGAUUUUGUUUCUCUAGUUGCAAGGGACGGCUAAAGGGUUCAAAGGGGAUGAAAAUAGGAAGGGAGUGAAAAGAGGGGAAGAAAAGGAAAGAAGAGGGAACAUGUAGAGUGGAAAAAGAAGAAAGAAUGGAAAGUAGAGCAAAAUAUGACAGGAAAGAAUGAGAAGGGAAUCAAACUUGGGUUAGUUGGAAAGUUUAGCUUGAUCUUAACCACUAGGCUAGAACUCUCACUUGUUUAAGAAUUAAUGAUAACUUGGGUUACUUGGAAUGUUUAGCUUGCUCUUAACCACUAGGCUAGAACUCUUACUUGUUCAAGAAUUAACGAUAACUAAAUAUAGAUGGGCUUUGACAACUCUACUCUCAUUAAAAAAAUGAAUUCCGUCUUUAAAAUUUACCUGAUUAGAACAUAUUGGGAUAUUGUUCACAAAUCGAGUCCUCUAGCUCCAAAGUAGUUUCCUUAGUUCCAUGAUUUCGCCAUAACAUUUUUACCAGUGGAAUCUAAUUUUUCCUUAACACCUUAACCUCACGAUCCAAGAUCUAAACUGGAUCCUCCUUAGAAGAUAAAUCUAGUCUCAUCUCAAUCUCCUCAACUAGAACCACAUGAGAUGGGUCAAAUCAGUAUCGCCUCAACAUAGAGAUGCGGAACACAUCAUGGAUCCAGUCCAGUUUCGGAGGUAACUCCAACUUAUAAGCCAUUGGUCCAAUACUCUUAAGGAUCCUAUAAGGUCCAAUAAACCUUGGGCUCAGCCUGCCCUUCCGACCAACUCUUAGAACCUUCUUCCAUGACGAUACCUUAAGGAAUACCUGACCCUUGACAUUGAACUCUAUAUCCUUCCUCUUCAAAUCUACAUAGGAUUUUUGUUGAUUGGAUGCCACUCUCAAUCUGUCCUAAAUGAGAUUAACAAUACCCUCAGUCAACUAAAUUCGGGCCCAAUACUUUUUUUUCACCUAACUCGAUCCAUCACAAAGGUGUCUGACACUUUCAACCAUACAGUGCCUCAUAGGGUUCCAUCUGAAUACUUAACUGGAAGCUGUUAUUAUAUGAAAAAUCUACUAUUAGCAAGUGCUCCUCCCAACUACCUCGGAAAUCAAUUACACAAACCCUUAGAUAUCUUCAAGGAUCUAUAUAACCCGCUCAAACUAUGGAUGUAAAGCCAUGCUAAAUGAGAUGUAAAACGAGGAUCUUGAUCAUAAAUAAUCAAUACUGGUACCCCAUACAGUGUCACUAUCUCAGAGAUGUACAACUUCGCCAACUUCUACAGUGAAUAAUCUAUACAGACUGGGAGGAAGUGAGCUGACUUAGUCAAUCUAUCCAUAAUCACCCACACUAAGUCCUUUAUAGUAAGUGUGAAUGGAACCCACAAAAAAAAUCCAUAGUCACUCGCUCCCACUUCCAUUGAGGAAUCUAAAUAGGCUGUAACAAGCCAGAAGGGAAUUGAUGCUUAGCUUUCACUUGCUGGCAUGUUAGACACUUAGCCACAAACUUAGUUACCUCAUGCUUAACACCCGACCAUCAAUACAGUUCUCCAAAAUCCUAGUACAUCUUAUUCCCUUCAAGAUUGAUAGCAUAAGGGCUACUAUGCGCUUCCCAAAGGAUAGACUAUCUCAAAUCUUUGUUGUCUAGUACACAAUAUCUCCCACGAUAACACAAGAUUCCAUCAGAAUUAAACCCAAAGUAUGUAGUCUUACCUUCCUCAAUCUAUUUAAUUAGAGGCACAAGAGACACAUAUAAAGGUUUCUUCAUCUUAAUCUUGUCAACCACAGUAGGCUUUACUUGAAAUUCCGUGAGUAAGCCACCAUCCUCACACAAAUUCGGCUUAGCAAACAUUGGUCUCAAAUCAGUCAUCAACCUCCUACUCAAUGCAUUUGCCAUGAUGUUAGCUUUCUUAGGUGGUACUCAAUGGUACAAUCAUACUAGCAUAGCUCUUUAAGUACCAUGCAGUAAGGAGCAAUGGACACCGGAGUAGUCCUAGGCAGCAAAUCUAUCCCAAAUUCAACCUCUCGCUCUGGAAGUAAUCUAAGUAGCUCUUCCAGAAAGAUGUCGGGAAACUCUCUCAUAGUACGACUACCUUCCACAUUUGAUCCACUAACACUCAUGUCCAGAAUAUAAGUCAGGUAAGCUUCACAUCCCUUAUGAACCAACUUUUCAGCUACUAAAGCUGAGAUCACAUUAGACAAGUAAUCUCUAUGCUCACCAACUAUCAUAAUUUCCUUACCUAUCGAUGUCUUCAAAGUAACCCUCUUCAAAGCGCAAUCCAAACUGACUUGGUGUUCCACCAACCAGUUUAUACCCAAAAUUAGAUCAAAUUCCCCAAAGGGUAGCUUCAUUAAAUUUGCCAAAAAUACCUCUCCCUAAACUCAACGGGCAUCUUCUAUAAAUCUUAUUCAUAGUAACAGAUUGUCCUCUCUGCAUCUAGCCACAUAGACAAGAACAAUUUUCCUGGCAACAGUUCAUUUUGCACCCUAAACUCGUGCUCACUGUCCCUGUCCAACAUUACCUCCUUUGUAUUGACCCUGACCCCUCUAAGGCUAAUGCCCAGCCCUCUGAUUCUGAACCUCAUUCUGUACUAGAUCUUGCAUGUGGUCAUUACGGCAUGGAAAGUCCUUAAUCUUAUGGUCCAUAGACCCACAUCUCAAACAAGUACUCAUCUCUCUCCAACAUUCACCUAGAUGUCGCUUACCAUAGUAAGCACAGUUCUGAGUCUUGCCUCUAGUACCAACUACCACUGUAUUCUGUCGAGGCUUAUCAUCUCUUCUUCGCUUAAUGGGUUGUGAAGCCGUGAUAGUGGGAUAGAAAUCCCACUCAACAGAAGCCUCAUCCUUCUCUUUUCUCUUAUGCUUCACACACUUAUCUUCCUCAACUAUCUUGGUUUUCUCCACCAUAAUUUCGUAAAACCUCUCAUGGUGUAGAGCGACCUGGAUAAUCAAAUCUGACACACUUAUCUUUCUCGACCGCAACCAUCCCUUGAACAUAUCAGCUAAGCCUCAAGAAUCCAACCUCAUACCCAGCCAUCGACAUGUCUCCUUACUUCAACUCAAUAGAUUCUAGCCUUUGGUCCACAACAUAUCUAGUGCCCAUGCAUUUCUUCUAGAAAGCUUGUUGGAAAUAAUCCCAAGUUAAUCUUUCCACCUGCGUAUGUAACAACCUAUUUUUAGUAGUGUUAGAAAUAGUGGUUUUGGGACCACAAUUCUGAUGAGAGAGUCCAUAGAUAUAUUUAAUUAAUAUUUAUGAGUUAAAUAUAAUAUAAUAGUGAAUUUUGAUUUAAUAGAUUUUAUUAAUUGGUUAGUUAGUUAAAGUACAAAUGGUGCGUACCGAAAGUCAAGUGGUUUUGGAAAAUGAGGGAUCGGGACCUCGUUACUGUAAACCAAGCCCAUGAAUAUUUUUAUUAAAUAUUUACGGAGCUUUUAUAUAGGUGAAUUGAAUUUUGGUCCAAAAAUUUUAGUGGUUGGAUGGCUAAUUAAGGUAUAAGGACUAAAUCAUAAAAAACUAUAAAAGUUAAUCACUAUUAAUUUUUAUUAGUUAAAUUUCUUAUCUAGUAAUUUUUUAAGGUUUAAUAUAACAAUUAGGCCAUAUUUAAUUAUAGUGGGAUGUCUUGUAGUUAGUUUUGUUAUAUUUUAUAUGUUAAUUUAAAUUUAAAUUAAUAAUAAUAAAGUUAAAACAUAAAAAUAAUGGUCAUCUUCUUCAUUUUGAGUUUCAUCACCAAAAAGAGAAUCAAAGCUUGAGAAGCUAUCAUUAAAAUUUCCAAGGCUCAGCCAAGUGCAUGUGAGUCUAUUUUUAAACCGUUUUUCAUAAAUUUUAUGUUUUUGAGAUCGUUCCAACUAGGUCCAAAUAACCUGUACCUCUGUUUUCAAAAUUUUCAAAGAUUUAAAAUGUUUCCAAUGAUAUUAUUUGAUUAUUUUGAAUGUUUAUGGUAGAUUUUGAAGCAUAUAAAUGAAAUAGGAUUAAUUUGUUAAGUAAAUUUUGUUAGUUUUGAGUUAGGGACUAAAUUGUGAAUAUAUUAAAAUUGGUAUGAAAUUUUUAUAUAUUUUGAUAAUAUGGGACUGUAUAUGGACAUAAUUAAAGUGGGUUUAAAAUUUGGAGUUCAAAUUUGGAAGAUAUAAUAAGUUCUGUUUUAGGGACUAAAUUGAAUAAAAUGUAAAAGUUUAGGGGCAUUCAAAUAAUAAAAUUAAAAUUAUAUAUACUUAUAAUAGGAUGACAUAAGAUGUUUGGAACUGAUAAAUUGAAUUGACUUAUUGAAUAGAUUAGAAAUUAGACCAAAUUAAAAAAAAGUAGAGGAAAUGACAAAAAAAUUGUUGAUUAGUCCUUAGAGAGUUGUUUAGUUGUUUCCUUAACUAGGUAAGUUCAUAUAUUAUGUUUGUGCUAAAUUUUUAUGCAUUUGGAAUUAUAAUUUUAAUGAUGUUUAAAUGAAAUUUUAAUUGUUUAUGAUUUAGCACAAAAAUGUGAGAUAAAUAAUUAAAUUGAAAUAAUUAUGGAAUUGAACUUAAAUUGGACUGAAAUAGGAUAUGUCAUGUGAUGAGGUAAUGAACUAAGCUGACUUGAUUUGAUUUAGACUAGUUGAUAGUGAUAAGGAAAAAAUUGAAUAUAUAUGAAAAAUGUGUAUGUAUAUAUAUGUGUGUGUAAUUGAAUGCAUAUAGAUAUGAUUGAUGCUGUCAUGAUUAUGGAUGAAUGAUACGUGAAUUGAGAUGUUGAUUGAUAAUAAAUUGAGUAAUGAAUACCUUAUUAACUAUUUGGGUAGAGUCGGUUAUAGUUGACAUACCAUGGGAUAGGAAGAGCUCAGAGUUACUUCGACUACGAGUCGAUGAGGCACUGGGUGCCAAUUUGCUUCUGUUAUAUCGAUGAAACACUGGGUUUCAAACUUAUUGGUAGCAUUGGGCGCAACUAUUUUCUUCGGAUUUAUCUCAUGAGGCACUAGGUGCCAAACUGGUGUGUUGGUUCUAUCUGUGUAUCUGUUCGAGUUCAAGUUGUGUUAAUAAGUAAAUAAAUGAUUGAAAAAAGAAAUAUCACAUAUUUGAAAUGGCAAAUGAUGUGAAAUGGAAUAUGAAAUUGUGAAAUGAGUUGGGAACAAUGAUUAAUUAUGUUCAAUAAAUCCCUGAAUUUGGAAAUUGAGAUGGAAUGUGAUUUGUAAUUCGUAUUAUGAAAUGAAAUAGUAAUUGACAUUAGAUUGGAAAUUGAUAUAUAUAUUUGGUAUAAAGAUGAAUUGAUAUGAAAUAGGAAUGAAGUUUAUACGAUUUAAUAUGAAUUUGAUUGAGAAUUCGAAUUAUGAAAUGAAAAAUAAUGUUUGGCAUUAAUUUGAAAUGGGAUGCAUUAAGGGCAUACUAGAUUGUUUUGAAUAUGGUAUUAUGUUUGAAUUUGAAUUGUUGGAUUGAGGUGUCAAUUGUGGCAUAUUGGUUGUAUGUAUUUAAUGGAUUGAAUGAGUUCUAUAUAGGCUAUUUGUGUACCUAUAUGUAUCUAUGAGCUAAGAUAUAGAUUUGGGCAUGAAAUAAACUUCUAAAUUUGUGAUUUUGACCAUCUAGGUAAAAGUAUCGACACCAAGGACCAAGGUUAAUAUAAGGUAUUAAUACUUGACCAAAUGAACAGUGUUUUGAAAAUGGCAGAAUGUCAAAAUGGUAUCGACACUGAAGUUUGGCAUCGAUAAUUUUGUUAAAAAUAUCAAUACUUGUUCCUUUUGUAUCGAUACCUAGUUCCAAGUUUUGAAAAUUUUCAGAUUGGUCCUUAAUCAUGCUCGAAUCUAUUAAACUAUGUUCUCUGUUUGGUUCAUAACUUUUAUUAUACAUGUAUUUAGAAAAACUUGAUUAUUUAAAUUAAAUUCAAUGUUAUGAUUUGCAUAUGAAUGUUUCGAUAACUAUAGUAGUAGGAUCAACAUGCAAUUUACAUAUUAACAUUUGAUAUCAUAACUUAAAAUCAAUUAACCAUAUCUUUCCUAAUUUCAAAGACCAUGCACAACCAUUAACAAAAGAUAUUAGGGCAUACAAAAGCUUGGCACAACCAAAAGCAUACCAAUUUAACAUACAACCCUAUACAUGUCAUGUAUAACCAUUUCAAUAUAUAUUCAAAGGUUACCAUAAUGGAUCUGGAUAGUGUGACCAUGCUCUGACGUUGGUUCUAACCGUUCGAGCUUCUCGAUGAUCUAUAAAACAAAGAAAACACAUACGUAAGCAAUUAAUGCUUAGUAAGCUUGUAUUAGGAACUUAAAAUUACCGUAUAUAUUAAAUAAAAUAAUUAAAGAUAAUUACAUUUCAUUAUAGGCCAAACAUCCUUUCCUAUACACAAAAAUUCAUAAGGUUAGUUUGUGAAAUAAUGCACUUUUAUGAUCAACCAAGGCGUGACAUAAAACAUAUCAACAUUUUAAUUUCACCAUCCAGCACUGCUACAUAUAUCAUGUAACUUCAUUCUCUUUACAUUAUGCAUAUCAUUAUAAUGUAUUUCAUUAUCUAAAAUCAUGAUUCAUUUCAUAUUUUCAUAUACCCAUUUAAGCUUUAUUUACUCGUUCAUAUCAUGGAAACAAUUUCACUAUAUAAGUCAUUCAUUCACAUAAUUCAAAUGUUACCUUUUCAAUCCAAAUACUUACAUUACAUUUUUCAUUUUGUAUUUUCAAUAACAUAGUUCAUUUAUAUACAUACCUUUUCAUUUUAAUCUUAGUUGUUCAUUGAACCAAAUAGAAUAACAUCGGAUAUUGGAAAUAAUAAUUUUAGUACAAAUUACCUGAUACAAUACAUCGACACGAAGCCUGCUAGGCACAAAGCCUAGUAUAAUACACCUGCACGAAGCCUGAUAAAAUACACCAGCACGAAGCCUGCUAGGCACAAAGCCUGAUAUAAAACAUCGAUAUGAAGCCUGCUAGGCACAAAGCUUGAUAUAAAACAUUGGCAAGAAGCCUGCUAGGCACAAAGCCUAAUAUAAUACACCAGCAUGAAGCCUACUGGACUCAGGGCCCAAUACACUAUCUCCAAUACAACUCAAUUUGAUUAUUAAUUUUCAUCAACCAACAUUAAAUAAUUACAAACAUCACAAUUAUUAGAAUAAAAAAAUAUCAAGGAGUUUAAUUCACAUUACAUAUAAUAAGAACUUACUUGAACUCAUGUAACAGCCCGAUUUUGGGCCUAGUCGGAAUAGUGGUUUCGGGACCACAAAUCCGACGAGGGAAAAUAUGGUUAUUAUUAUAUUUUUAUGGUCUACAAUUUCACGGAAAAUUUUCGUAAAAAUUUCGUUCGAAAAUUUCGACGUUUGGGCACUCAAUUUAGUCAAAAGGACUAAAUUGUAAAUAGUGCAAAAGUUGAGUUCUAUAUGUAGAAGUAUCUAAUUGAUAUGAAAUUUUAAAUUGGAGGUCUUUAUGUGGUAAUUAGACCAUUAGUUAGUUGAUGGACAAAAAUAGACAUAAGAAAUGAGAGAAAUAGAUUUUUUUUAAGUGGGGGCAUAUUAGUCAUUUGGUAAUAAAAAAAAAUAAAAUGGGAAAAAGAUGACAAAAAUCAUCAUCUUCCUCAUUAGUUGCUGCCGAAAUUUGAAGGAAGCCAUAGCUAAGGUUUCUUUGCUUUCUCAAGCUCAUAGUAAGUGCAUCCUAGCCCCAUUUUUAAUGUUCUUCGCAUUUUUGGAAUCCUCGUAACUCGGUUUAGCUUAUUCUAGCAAUAAUUCGUGUUAGGGCUCAUAUUUGGAAAAAUACCCAUAGGUGAAAUGUGUUUAUUUUGCUGUUUUAUGGUGGAAUAUGAAGCUAUAAAUUAUGUUAAACAACUUUUGCUAAGCGAUUUUAAGCGAAAACGGGUAAAUAGGCAUAAUCGGUAAAAAUAAUUAUUGUUCAUAAGUGUAUGUUAGAGUGAGAAUUUGAUGUUGCCAUAGAAGGGAAAAAUGUUCAGCAUGUCAUAAAACCUAAGAAUAAGUGAUGAAGUUUAAUUUCCGAGCUUGGGGACAAAAGUGUAAUUAUGCAAAAGUUUGGGGGCAAAAUUGUAAUUUUCAAAAAGUUGGGUGGUGGAUUAUUUUAAUGAAUGUGAACAUUAAAUGAGUUAAAUUUGCUAUUAUAGAUCAAGAAAGACAUGAAGAUUAUCUCAAACGAGGAAAAGAAAAGAUAGUGGAGUGAAGUGCAAAAUUACGAUAUUUUGCACCGAGUGACUUCCGACAACUCGGAAAUUUGGAACGAAGUCAGACAAUCAUCCACACUAUCCUUCACACUUGGGGUAUUUUGCUACUAUCGUUCCGGAAAAUUAUGGCAUGUAAAGACGACCUAUGAAAUAUGGAAUCAUCAUGUAAAUAUAUGUUAUGGUUUGAUUUAAAAUGUGGUGUUCAUUAAUAGUUAAAUUGUGAGUAUUAUUAUAAAUGAGUUUGGUUGAUAUAUAUAUAUUGGAUUGUGAUUUAAAUUUGCAGGAGGUUUAAGCAAAAUUAAGCAGAAAUGCUGUCGAAAUUUUUUUUAAAAAACUUAGUAAUACCUCAUACUCUGUUCCGAGCCGGAAUACGAGUAAGGGGUGUUACAUUUUAGUGGUAUCAGAGCUACGGUUUAGUCGGUUCUCGGACCAAUAAAAUAUGUGUGAAAGUCAGUCUAUACAUGCCAUCAAUAUAUUGUGAUAGUGUGAUGAUUUCUGACAAUUUAAAAUUUUGUUUUAUAUAGUAAAUGGAUCCUAAUCGAAGUAUGGCAGAUGAUGUUGAAAGUAACACGCCGGUUCCCGCACAAGGGACCGCGCAUGAAGAGAGUAGACAUGAGACACAUGGACAGGAUGAGGCUCGAGAAGCCUUCCUCCGAAUGAUGAGUGAUUGGUAUACAGAAUAUGUCCGUGUAAAUCCGAAUGUUCCACCUCCUCCACCCCCUCCUAUUCCUCCGCCGGUCCCCGUAGCUCCACGAAGUGCUGAAUUGGUGAGAUCAAGUAAACCACCCGUUGAUAGAAUUCGAAAGCAUGGGGCUGAAGAUUUCAGGGCCAAUGUUGAUGAUGAUCCGGAAAAAGCCGAGUUUUGGCUUGAAAAUACUAUCCAGGUAUUUGAUGAAUUAUCUUGUACUCCUGAGGAAUGUUUGAAAUGUGCUGUGUCUUUAUUGAAGGAUUCGGCAUACCGUUGGUGGAAAACAUUAAUAACGGUGGUUCCAAAAGAAAGAGUUACUUGGGACUUCUUUCAGGAAGAAUUCAGAAAGAAAUAUGUAAGCCAACGGUUUAUUGAUCAGAAGCGCAAAGAGUUUCUCGGAUUGAAACAGGGCCGAAUGUCAGUAGCAGAAUAUGAACGGGAGUUUGUCCGGCUUAGUAAAUAUGCCCAGGAAUGUGUGCCUACGGAGGCUAUUAUGUGUAAAAGAUUUGAAGAGGGGCUAAAUGAAGACAUCAGAUUACAUGUUGGAAUUUUAGAGUUAAAAGAAUUUGUGGUACUAGUUGAUCGUGCUUGCAAAGCUGAAGAGCUGAGUAGAGAAAAGAGAAGGGCAGAGAUGGAAGCUCGAGAUGUAAGGAAGAGGUCAAUGGGCAGAACAUUUCAAUCUCACCCGAAGAAGUUUAAAGGGAUGGAUCCACGACCAACCGGUUCAGUUGGGUAUUCACGCAGAGACCGAGGGAGGUCAUAUUCCGGAACUACAACUCGAGCUACCUCAGUGGCAAGUGUGGGUAAUGUAGGAAACACCAGACCUGAAUGUCAACAGUGUGGCAGGCGACAUACUGGUGAGUGUUGGGGAUUUAAACGAGCUUGUUUCAGAUGUGGUUCCCAAGAGCAUUAUGUAAAAGACUGCCCUGAGAGAAUAGAAGAAGAAAGAUUACAAAGAGCUGGAUCGGGUGAUGUUGUCAGUAGAGGCAGACCACCGAGAAAUGUGGGAAGCAAAGCCAGUGGUAAGAGUGUGAUAAAAGAUACAGCUGGAGGAUCAGAAACUAGAGCGCCUGCCAGGACUUAUGCUAUACGCGCUCGAGAGGAUGCCUCAUCUCCCGAUGUGAUUACUGGUACAUUUUCUCUUCAUGAUAUUAAUGUUAUUGCUUUGAUUGAUCCCGGCUCUACUCAUUCAUAUAUAUGCAUGAAUUUGGUGUCUAGUAAGAAAUUGCCUGUUGAAAACACUGAAUUUGUAGUUAAAGUAUCAAAUCCUUUAGGCAAAUAUGUCUUAGUCGAUAAUGUUUGCAAGAAUUGUCCCCUGAUGAUUCAAGGUCACUGUUUCCCGGCUAAUUUGAUGUUGUUACCAUUUGAUGAGUUUGAUGUUAUUUUGGGGAUGGAUUGGUUGAUAUUGCAUGAUGCCAAGGUAAAUUGUAGACAGAAAAUUCUUGAAUUAAAUUGUGAAAACGGUGAAAUUCUCCGGGUUGAAACAAAGGAGCCGAAUAAGUUGCCUAUGGUGAUUUCGCACAUUUCUGCUCAGAAAUACUUGAGAAAGGGAUGUGAAGUUUAUCUUGCUUAUGUGCUGAACACGGAUAUUACCUGGUCAAAGCUUGAAUCAGUGCCGGUAGUUUGUGAAUUUCCAGAUGUAUUUCCAGAGGAAUUGCCUGGGUUACCUCCGAUUAGAGAAGUUGAGUUUUCUAUUGAUCUGUUACCUGGUACUGUACCGAUUUCUAUUGCACCGUAUCGAAUGGCUCCGACUGAGUUGAAGGAAUUAAAAGCUCAGUUACAAGAGUUGACAGAUAAAGGAUUUGUGAGACCGAGUUUUUCUCCUUGGGGUGCUCCUGUGUUAUUUGUGAAAAAAAGGACGGCUCUAUGAGACUUUGUAUUGACUAUCGUCAGCUCAACAAGGUGACUAUAAAGAACAAGUAUCCUUUGCCGAGAAUUGAUGAUUUAUUUGAUCAAUUAAAAGGGGCAACAGUGUUUUCUAAGAUUGAUUUGAGGUCUGGUUACUAUCAGUUAAGAGUUAAAGAGUCUGAUGUGCCGAAAACCGCCUUUAGAACAAGGUAUGGACACUAUGAAUUUCUGGUAAUGCCUUUUGGGUUAACAAAUGCUCCAGCUAUUUUUAUGGACUUGAUGAACCGAAUUUUUCGGCCGUACUUGGAUAAGUUCGUGGUGGUGUUCAUAGAUGAUAUUUUAAUCUAUUCUCGGGAUGAAUCUGAGCAUACAGAAUAUUUAAGAACUGUGUUGCAGAUUCUGAGAGAAAAGAAAUUGUAUGCUAAAUUCAACAAAAGUGAGUUUUGGCUUCGUGAGGUUGGAUUCUUGGGACAUAUAGUUUCAAGUGAAGGUAUUCGUGUUGAUCCAAGCAAAAUUUCAGCAAUUGUUGAUUGGGAGCCACCAAAGAAUGUGACAGAAGUUAGAAGCUUUCUGGGCUUAGCUGGGUAUUACAGACGCUUUGUCAAGGGAUUUUCGAUGAUUGCUUCUCCUAUGACUAAGUUACUGCAGAAGAAUGUCAAGUUUGAAUGGACCAAUAAAUGUCAACAGAGUUUUGAAAAGUUGAAGGCAUUAUUGACUGAGGCGCCAGUGUUGGUGCAACCUGAGUCCGGGAAGGAGUUUGUAAUUUACAGUGAUGCAUCGUUGAAUGGCCUUGGGUGUGUGUUAAUGCAAGAGGGCAAAGUAAUAGCUUAUGCUUCGAGACAAUUGAAACCGCAUGAGAAAAAUUAUCCGACGCAUGAUUUAGAAUUGGCUGCCAUUGUUUUUGCUUUAAAAAUUUGGCGUCAUUAUUUGUAUGGUGAAAAGUGCCGAAUCUUCACUGAUCAUAAGAGUUUGAAGUAUUUGAUGAGCCAAAAAGAUUUGAAUUUGCGGCAACGAAGAUGGCUCGAGCUAAUCAAAGACUAUGAGCUAGUGAUUGAUUAUCACCCCGGGAAAGCUAAUGUGGUUGCUGAUGCCUUGAGCAGAAAAUCUUUAUUUGCUUUGAGAGCUAUGGGUACGAUGUUAACUUUAUCUGAUGAUGGCUCAAUGUUGGUUGAAUUGAGAGCUAGACCAUUAUUUCUUCAGCAAAUUCGGGAAUCUCAAAAGAAUGACAGUAAAUUGCAAGCCAAGAGAGCUCAGUGUGAAGCAGGUGUUGACUCAGAUUUUCAAAUUGGUUCAGAUGAUUGCUUGAUGUUCCGGGAUAGAGUAUGUGUACCAAGAAAUGAUGAGUUAAUUCAGACCAUUUUAUGUGAGGCACAUAGUGGUGACUUGUCAGUUCAUCCGGGUAGUGUGAAAAUGUAUAAUGAUUUGAAGAAGUUGUAUUGGUGGCCAGGCAUGAAAAAGGAUAUCUCGGAAUUUGUAUCAAAGUGUUUAAUCUGUCAACAAGUGAAGGCUGAGCAUCAAGUACCAUCGGGUUUACUUCAACCGAUAACGAUUCCAGAGUGGAAGUGGGAUAGUAUUACGAUGGAUUUUGUGACAGGAUUGCCUUUAACUCCAAAGAAGAAAGAUGCUAUUUGGGUAAUUGUUGAUAGAUUGACAAAGUCGGCUCAUUUUAUUCCGAUACGCAUUGAUUACUCACUUGACAGGUUGGCAGAAUUAUAUGUUGCUGAAAUAGUGAGAUUACAUGGGGUGCCUAAAUCUAUUAUAUCGGAUAGAGAUCCGAGAUUUACUUCGAGGUUUUGGAUAAAGUUGCAGGAAGCCUUGGGUACAAAAUUGAAUUUCAGUACUGCGUUUCAUCCGCAAACUGACGGGCAAUCGGAAAGAGUGAUUCAAAUUCUUGAAGAUAUGCUCCGGUGUUGUAUUUUAGAAUUGAAAGGCAGUUGGGAGAAAUAUCUACCAUUGGUUGAAUUUGCUUAUAACAAUAGCUAUCAGUCAAGUAUACGAAUGGCACCGUAUGAAGCAUUAUAUGGGCGUAAGUGUAGAACUCCUUUAUAUUGGACUGAGCUCGGUGAGAACCGGAUUCAUGGAGUCGACUUGGUGAAAGAAACUGAAGAAAAGGUGAAAAUAAUUCGUGACUGUUUAAAGGCUGCCUCAGAUCGGCAAAAGUCGUAUGCGGAUUUAAAGAGAAAAGAAAUUGAGUUUCAAGUAGGUGAUAAGGUGUUCUUGAAGGUGUCUCCAUGGAAGAAGAUUCUGAGAUUUGGUCGUAAAGGCAAACUAAGUCCACGAUUUAUUGGACCAUAUGAAGUUACCGAGAGAGUUGGCCCUGUAGCAUAUCGGUUAGCUUUACCACCGGAGUUGGAAAAGAUACAUAAUGUGUUUCAUGUGUCGAUGUUGCGACGUUACCGUUCGGAUCCUUCACAUAUAGUUUCCCCUACAGAGAUUGAGGUCAGACCAGAUAUGACUUAUGAGGAAGAACCAAUAAAGAUUUUGGCUCGGGAAGUCAAGCAGUUAAGGAAUAAAAGUGUAUCCUUAGUAAAAGUACUGUGGCAAAAACAUGGGAUGGAGGAAGCUACGUGGGAACCGGAGGAAAUUAUGAGGAAACAGUACCCAAAUCUCUUUUCCGGUAAGAUUUUCGGGGACGAAAAUCCUUAAGGGGGGAGAGUUGUAACAGCCCGAUUUUGGGCCUAGUCGGAAUAGUGGUUUCGGGACCACAAAUCCGACGAGGGAAAAUAUGAUUAUUAUUAUAUUUUUAUGGUCUACAAUUUCACGGAAAAUUUUCGUAAAAAUUUCGUUCGAAAAUUUCGACGUUUGGGCACUCAAUUUAGUCAAAAGGACUAAAUUGUAAAUAGUGCAAAAGUUGAGUUCUAUAUGUAGAAGUAUCUAAUUGAUAUGAAAUUUUAAAUUGGAGGUCUUUAUGUGGUAAUUAGACCAUUAGUUAGUUGAUGGACAAAAAUAGACAUAAGAAAUGAGAGAAAUAGAUUUUUUUUAAGUGGGGGCAUAUUAGUCAUUUGGUAAUAAAAAAAAAUAAAAUGGGAAAAAGAUGACAAAAAUCAUCAUCUUCCUCAUUAGUUGCUGCCGAAAUUUGAAGGAAGCCAUAGCUAAGGUUUCUUUGCUUUCUCAAGCUCAUAGUAAGUGCAUCCUAGCCCCGUUUUUAAUGUUCUUCGCAUUUUUGGAAUCCUCGUAACUCGGUUUAGCUUAUUCUAGCAAUAAUUCGUGUUAGGGCUCAUAUUUGGAAAAAUACCCAUAGGUGAAAUGUGUUUAUUUUGCUGUUUUAUGGUGGAAUAUGAAGCUAUAAAUUAUGUUAAACAACUUUUGCUAAGCGAUUUUAAGCGAAAACGGGUAAAUAGGCAUAAUCGGUAAAAAUAAUUAUUGUUCAUAAGUGUAUGUUAGAGUGAGAAUUUGAUGUUGCCAUAGAAGGGAAAAAUGUUCAGCAUGUCAUAAAACCUAAGAAUAAGUGAUGAAGUUUAAUUUCCGAGCUUGGGGACAAAAGUAUAAUUAUGCAAAAGUUUGGGGGCAAAAUUGUAAUUUUCAAAAAGUUGGGUGGUGGAUUAUUUUAAUGAAUGUGAACAUUAAAUGAGUUAAAUUUGCUAUUAUAGAUCAAGAAAGACAUGAGGAUUAUCUCAAACGAGGAAAAGAAAAGAUAGUGGAGUGAAGUGCAAAAUUACGAUAUUUUGCACCGAGUGACUUCCGACAACUCGGAAAUUUGGAACGAAGUCAGACAAUCAUCCACACUAUCCUUCACACUUGGGGUAUUUUGCUACUAUCGUUCCGGAAAAUUAUGGCAUGUAAAGACGACCUAUGAAAUAUGGAAUCAUCAUGUAAAUAUAUGUUAUGGUUUGAUUUAAAAUGUGGUGUUCAUUAAUAGUUAAAUUGUGAGUAUUAUUAUAAAUGAGUUUGGUUGAUAUAUAUAUAUUGGAUUGUGAUUUAAAUUUGCAGGAGGUUUAAGCAAAAUUAAGCAGAAAUGCUGUCGAAAUUUUUUUUAAAAAACUUAGUAAUACCUCAUACUCUGUUCCGAGCCGGAAUACGAGUAAGGGGUGUUACAACUCAUAAACGACUUCUAACACGAAUCGACCACUAUUCCGCUACUUUGACUUUUCUGCGAUUUGUGUCCAUUCAAGUUGUUUCUUGAUCUAAAUAAAUAUUUUUAUUCAAUUAAUCUCAUUCCAAAAUUUCAAAUAAUUAAUUUAAACCUAUAACCCUUAUUCAUGUUAAUUUAUUAAAAUUACCCCCAAUGGUUUUUUUUAUACAAUUUAGUCCCUAAACCCGAAACUUACAAAUCUAACACUUUUAGCUAAAAUUCAUGCUAGCAAAAUUUUACCUAAUCUUAUGACAUCCCAUAUUUAUCAUCAAUUUAUAGUAUUUUUCUUGAAUUUUACCGUUUUCAUAAAUAAGUCCUUAAACCUUAAAAUCAUCAAAAAAUACUUAACAAAAUAUGUCUAUGUAACAACCAAGCUUAACAAUCUAUCAUAAAAAUUAAAAAAUAUAUCAAUUUCAUCCAUGGCAUAAUCUAUAACAUUUAACAAUUUUACAAAUUGACCCCCGAGUUAGCUAGAUUAAGCUAAUACGAGCUCGAAACCAUAAAAAUUACUAAAAAAGGGAUAAAAUUACACACCAUGCAUGAAGAAUUGAGCAUGGUCGAAUGCUUUGGUUUCUUUUUCAUGGAGAAUUAGGCUACUCAUUCCUUUUGGGGAAGAUGACAUUGUUUUCAUCAUUGUUUAAACUUAAUUUAUUAUUUAAUUACCAUUUUACCCUUAUAAUAUUAACUUAUAAAAUGACUAAAGCAUGCCCAUAUUUUUCCACUAUCCAUAUACAUGAUAUAAUUACCCACUAAGUCCUUUAAUGUAAGAUUUCAUAGCAAUUUGACCCCUUUAGCAUAUAAAAUUCAACUUUUGCAUGUUUUACAGUGUAGCCCUUUUCACUUAAUUAACUAUUUAAACGUUAAAACUUCUUAGCCAAAUUUUAAUAUAACCCUAAUAACACUCUGUAAAUAUUUAUGGUCUCAUUUUAUAGAAAUGAUGUCCCAAAACCUUAUUUUCCAAAACCACUUAAUUUUAACGAUUUACCACUUGAACUUAAUUAUUUGUUCAAAUAACAUAAAUUAUCAAAUCAAAAUUUAUUAAUAUACUAUAUUUGACUCGUAAAUAUUAAAUAAUAAUAUUUAAGAAUUCUGUUGUAGUUUUUGGGGCCCCGAAACUACUGUUUCUGAAACCACUAAGUAACGAUAUGUUACAAGUAAGCUCGUCUUUCAACAAUGAUACUAUACCUUGAACUCCUACUCGAUGGUACAAUCCAUGCCAUCUAGAAUUCUUUUCGUAGCCUCCAUCCAAUAUUCAGGUAUGGUAGGGGUAGCCCAAACAACACCCUUAAACAGCUUAGCUCUAUUGGGUCAAAGCCUCUCAACUAUGGUCCCUCGACUAUCGGUUCUAGUUUGGGCUCUAGCUACCCACUAUAACACUUUAAACAUGGCCUGUGAUACAACACCAUCAGCAGGCUCCUGAUGACUACCCUCAACGGCAGGUGUAUUCUCAAUGUGCUCGGCCACAGGCUCAAGAGUACGCACUUGAGAUGCAAAAGAUUCAAUUUGGGCAUUGUGGCCUUGUGCUCCUCGGGCUCGCAUGCCACGAUUUCGUACACCUCAAGUGUUCAUUUCGUUAUCAAGAGUCUAAGUUUUAUGAAAUUAUCUACAGUUCAAAAAUAAGUUCUUAUUAUUAACCUGAAGUGUUUUCAAUCUAAUAGUUUAACUAAAGUUCACAAUCUAUAGUUUUUCUAUAGUUUUAGUAAUAAAAGUACUUAUCUAGGAUUGACUUCAGAGUCUCAUAUUUUUGUUUUGAAAAACAUACUUCAUAAAAUUUAUCUAUGGCAUGGUUCCUACAAUACCCUUUUAAAAUAUGCAUACAAAUUUUGAGUUUUGAAUCGGGCUCUGAUACUACUAAAUGUAACCUCCCAAACUCGGCCUCAACAUUAUGGUUGAAUCCUGAAAAUUACAUUGUUCAUUGGAAUGGCAUGGAAAAACGUUCAUAUUUUAAAUUACUCUUUAAAACCAAUUGUCUUUUUAUUUAAGACUAGUGAUCUUGAUUAUUUCUCUUGUUUCAAGAAAAUCAUAUUAAUUUUAAAAUCAUCAAACAUCUUUAAAGUUUCAAUUGUAAAGAUUAAUUAUUUAGGAAAAACUAAGUUAUAUUUUGUUAAAAAAAAACCUUUAAGUAUUGUAGUGGAAAAUUGUAUAAAAAUCAUAUUUUUGUUAAAAAUCAAAUUUUCAUGCAUAUUUAAUAAAACAUCAGAGACUUAAAACUUCAAAUCAUGCAAAAAUGAAGUAAAAAUCCUCAAAUGUAAAGCCCCAUGCCACAGUCCAUAAGAAAAUUAUUACAAUCCCAAAAAUAAUCAUAUAAUAAAGUUUAAAGUAUUUAAAAUAAAAACCAUUCAAGAACUCUUCCGACAGCCUCAUCCAAGUCCUAACCUCGUGGAUCAUCUAAAAUCAUAUUAGAAACUAAGGGGUGAGGUAAUAAGCUCAGUGUGAGUCUUAUUUCAAAUAUAUAGUAAUAAUAAAUAUGACAGUCAAGCCAAAAAAUAUACAGAGUACUAUAAACAGUGCAAAUUUCACAAUGUGUACCAUGAAUAAUCAUGUCAAUGCAGAAUUUUCAGAAUUUUCCUACCCAGCUCAGCUACACACCAAUAUAAGAUUUCCCCAAAACUCAUCCAACCAACCAAAUUAUGGACAAGCCAUUAGAAUUACAGAUAAACUACCAGAUUUGCAGAUAAGCUACUAGAAAUAUGGUUAUGCCACCAGAAUUGUAGGUAAACUACCAAAAUUAUGUGGUUGAACCACCAUAAUUGCAAAUAAACUAUCAGAUCUUCCUCCUUACAUAUUUGUAACAUCCUUAACCCGUAUCCAUCACUAGAAUAGGGUUAUAGAGUAUUACCGUAAAAUCGUAACAUAAAAACAUACAUUUCCAAAUGUUAAUAUAAACAUAACAUAAUCCCUACAUAUACAUGCAUAUCAUCCCUUAAUCGAGCCAUCGAGGCCUUAAAAAUACUUUAGAAAUGAUUUGUAACUAAAUCGAGAUUGAGAAAAUAGUUAGAAAAAUUGAACUGUAGGGGUCACACGGUCGUGUGACUACAUAGGUUAGACACACACUCGUGUCUCAAGCCCUGUAACAAUCGAAAUAGGGACACACGGUCGUGUCCCUGCCCGUGUCCAUGCCCGUGUAACUCUUUGAGUUGGGUCACAUGGCCAAGCCACACGUCUGUGUGCUAGGUCAUGUAACACUUGAAAUAGCCUCACAGGCCUGUGUGCCAGGCCGUGUGCUAGGCCGUGUAAUUGCCUGACUUGUAACCUUUAAAACCUACAGGGGGCACACAGCUGUGUCGCAUGGUUUUGUGUCACACAUGGUUGAGACACACGCCCGUGUCUUAGGCCGUAUGAACAAGAAAUUAGCCAAAAUCAAGCCAUUUCUUUCACCCAUUCCAACAAGUACCUACAAGCCAUAUACACAUAUGAUCAAGGCACCAAAAAUCCUACCAAAACAUGCUUAAUUUAACCAAUUCAAAUUAUCUAAAAUCCAUUUAACCAAUAUGGCUUACAAGGCACGCCAAUCAAAAUCAAACAAACUUACCAAAACAUAUGCAUAAUUAACCUUACUUCCAACAUACAUUUCUAGUUCCAUAUCAUCUUAAAACAUACGAUAAUUAAGACCAUUUCUAGCAUAGCAACUUAAUUCACCAACAAGCCAAAACAAACCACAAGUGUAUACUUUUAUAUCUUUCUAAUUGUACCAAAAAGAUACCUAUUUACAAUCUUAGUAAAAUACUUAACAACUUAGUUUAGUAUUUUGUCAAAAAUGUACCAUAACAACCUCUAUAGCCAUAUAUACAUGCCACAACCCUAAGGAGCACAAGAACUACCAACAUCGGUGGAUAGUGUGAGCCGAAGAUUCGAUCUAUACAAAAGUCAACAAUAACAAUUUACAAAAAAAUACACGAAAACGUAUAAGCUUAUAGAGCUUAAUAAGAACAUAGUAAAUCUUUUAACUUUAACAAAAAUUGAAUGCAACUCAUAUUUUACUUGAUUUGAAGUUAUCAAAAUGUAAGCAAGGGCACGUAUGUGAAAUUUAAGGGUAUCAAAGUACAAACAGGGGGCACGCAUGUGCAAUUUAUGGGCACCGAUGUAACACCCCAAACCCAGCCUGGACAUGGUAGUGUGUUUGAAAACCGAAGCUCGUGUUGAAAACAAACUAUAACUUUGCUUAAAAAAUUUUCCAUUUAGAGCUCGUUGUUAUCUUUUGUUAAUCCUAAAAAAGUGUUUUUUAUUCAAUCGUUAGUUUGCAAAUCAUUAUACGUUGCGGAAGCUUUUUAAAAUAGUUUGUGUCAUUGUGGGUAUUUUGCUAAAACACAUGCAUUUCUUUUUAAAAACCCGUGUUUUAUCUACCUCUAGCAGAUGUAAAACAUAAAGCUGUGUUAAAUCCAAAUUUAAAACAAAAAUCUAUAGCAGCCAUUAUUACAGAUAAAAAAACCCCAAAUAAAUCUUUAAAAAUAAAUAUAAUUAGGUACGAAAUAGUAAAAAGGAGUCGUGUGGCCACCGCUGAGUCCUCCACCGCACCGAUCUACUUAUGACUGGGGAUUACCUGUACAGAUUAACAGAAGGGGGUGAGUUUUCAAAACUCAAUGUGUAACCCCUCUAUAAACAAGCAGACAGAAAGCAAUCAUAAUAUAGGCCUAAGCCCAUUUCAACAACAGUUUCAGUUUCAGUUAGGGCCUUAGCCCAUUACAAUACAGUAGCAGUCAUGUGUUUGGGCCUCGGCCCAUUACAAUAUCCAUAUUCAAUACAGUAAUAGAUAUGCAAUAUCAAAUCCUACCCAAUCAGCCUCUAUAUUCCAACUUCGUCCAACCCUACACUCCAUGUGGGGAUAUAAUCAACUCACCCAUCCCUACACUCCAAAAAGUAUCGAAUGUGGCACUAGACAGUGGUUUGCAGCUGAACUGCCAGUAAAUUAAGCUUGAGGCCUUUCAGUGCACUUCCUUCGAACAAUAUAAACUCCCACCCCAAUGCAAUGCAAUAUAUAUGACAUGCUAAAACAUAAUAUCAUGCAUAAAGUCGUGGCAUACAGUACCAAACCAGUGGGACAUCAUCAUGCUUAUUAACAUGCAUAAUCGUAUCUGUCAUACAGUCAUUUCAAUCAAUUAGGGGUCUAGGUAAGCUUACUAACCCUACGGUAGGUCCACAGUUGACUCGGGCGACCCAUGCAACCUUAGCCAUCAAACAGUGAAAAUAGGCCCACAAGCCCAUGACAUUUGCCCGUGUGGGCCCACACACCCAUGUGGCCCACACAACCCAAAAAAGGCCUUGGCCGUGUGGAUCACACAGCCUAGCCCAAUAAUCUCACACGCCCAUGUGGUUCACCCGUGUGGGCCUACACGCUUGUGUGGCCCACACAGCCCAAUUCGGUCCAACUCGUGUAUCGCACACGACCAACCUCGUCGAUCACAUGCCUGUGUUUAGUCACACGGCCUAUCGCAUGGGCGACCACACGCCCGUGUGGUGUCGACAGUCCCACUUUUUGGCUUUUCGCCAAUUACUGAUUUUCAAUGUUGUGUUUACACACCUUUUUUCAUUUGAAGUUAACCCGCACUCCGAGUACUCCAAAACCUAGAUUCAAUCAAAACAUCAUUCAAUCAACUACUUAACUCGUUAUUCAAUCAAGGCCUAACGAAGUUAAAAAUCGAUCAACAAUCGAAACCCCCUUACCGAAGUCAACCAGAAUUGCACCCUCAAUUCCUUAAAGAUACACCAACCAACCCUUGGUCUCCACCUAAAACGAGAGUCACAAACCUUCUCGUUAAGCCUUUAAUCGAAUUACACUACAAAAUUCAAUUACAUUAUACUUACCGAUCAUACACAACCCUUCAUUCAGUAUCUUAUAAAACGAGACAAUAAAACACCUAAAUCACUUACCCAACUGACGAAAGAACAUAGUGCAAUUUGGCAACGCAAGAGAGAACGAAUCGAAAAGGGGAAUCCAAGACUGAAAAGAGGAAAAAUAGAGGGGGUGACAGUAAGAGGAGGAAAAGGAAAACGAUGAGAAGGGGAGUGCAAAGCCGAAAGGGGACAGAAGGCAAAGCAGAACUCACCUAGCAAUAUUCGGCCAAGAAGAGGAGCAAGAUGACGCACGGUCGGCUUGAGGGGAAGGGAAACUAGGUCAAAAAUUUGGGAACAGAAAAGGGGAACCGAAUUUUUUUAAAAAAAAGGGCAGCAAGUGGGGAUAUUUCGGCUAAAAACAAAAAAUAGGUAGAAAAGAUGGAGAGUAGAAAAUCGACAGAACACAAAAAGAAAGGAGGAAGAAAACUGUUCAGCCAAAAAUUUUAUUCUGGCCGAAAUUCCUCAAGAUAAUGCCCAUAUCCCCCAAAACAAAAUCCCUAAAAUCUCCCCCCCCCAAACCGUCCGCCACUUCCCUACUACACCUCAAAUUCUCAGCAUUUGACUACAAUCCAAACUCCUUCACGACACAAAUAACAAAAAUAAUACUCAUGCCCAGACUUGAACACAAGACCUUUAGCACACUAACUCACCACUUAACCCCCAAACCAGCAGACCCAUUCUGUCAUAUUUUACCAACAUUUAUUUAUAAGCCAACUAGUUAGAGAUAAAGGUUUAUUCAUUUAAAAACCAAAAAUUUGCCCAAGCUAAAGCUUGAACUUAAGACCUCACACACACACCCAGAACACUUAACCACUGAAGUAGACAGAUAUUUGUAUCACAAACAUACAAAAAUAAAUAUACAAGGGAUUGUUGGGGUGUUACAACCAAAGUACAAAUAAGGGAACGUAUGUGUAAUUCAGGGGUACCAAAGUACAAACAGGGGCACGUAUGUGUAAUUUUGGGGUACCGAAGUACAAAUAGGGGAACAUAUGUGCAAUUCAGGGGUACCGAAGUACAAAGGGGCAUGUAUGUGAAAUUCAGGAAAUAAUUAAGUAUAAGCAAUUAAUUACAUAACUAUAUUGAAAACAUACAAGUAGAAAUUCAAGUACGUAUACAAAUACUAUGGCCUUCCAUUGACAACUAGAGCGUAAAAGUACGGUCAAGCUAAUUCGUGAUUUUUAUCUUUCCUCGGUUUAGAUCCUGUUGAGAUUUAUCUUGAUCUAAAUAAAUAAUUAUAUUCAAUUAAGUGUUUCAAUCAAUCUCAAACAUUCAAUUCAAUCCAUAAUCCAUAUUCAUAAAUAAUUACAAUUUUGCCCCUAACAUUUUAACUUUUUUACAAUUUAGUCCUUAAACUCAUAAAUUGAAAUCUAAGUAUUCUCAUCCCUAACUCAUGCUAAAAGAAUUUAUUAUGAACCCAUAUCAACUCAUACAAAUCAUCAUUUCACAAUUUAACCAUGAUAUUUUACUACUUUUACAAAUAAGUCUCUAAAUGAUUUUUUUUUAUCAAAAAUCACUUUACCAAACUUGUUUAUUUAUCUACAAGGACUCAUAAUAUUUUUUUAAACUUUAAGAAUCAUACAAAAAAUUCAUGGAAAACCCUAAAUCUUUAACAAUUUUGUAAAUUAGUCCUCGGGCUAACUAGAUUAAGCUACAACGAUCCCAAAAACAUAAAAACCAUUAAAAACGGGGCUUGAACACUCACCACGCACACAACCCUAGCUCAACCGAAAGUUCCCUCUUCUCCAAUUGCCAAAAUCAGUUUUGGUUCAUCAAAUAAAGAAGAUGGACAUUUUGUUUUAAUUAAUUUAACCUUUAUUUACUAAUUUACCUUUUUACCCUUUAAAAACUUUAAUAAUUUCAAUAAAACCAUGUUAUGGAUGUCCAACAUUUAAACCCACUCACAUUUAAAUUUCGUAGCAAUUAAACUCCUUUAACUUAUAGAACUCUAUUUUUGUACCUUUUACGAUUUAGUCCUUUUUACUAAAUUAAGCAUGCAAAUGUCCAAAUUUCUUAACGAAUUUUUUAUACAACACUACUAACAUACUGUAGACAUUAAAAUAAUAAUAAGAUAAAAAUUCUCUCAUCAAAUUUGUGGUUCUAAAACCACUAUUUUUAUUUUACUAAAAACGGGUUGUUACAAUAUUCAUCCCAACCCAAUGCAAAAUGACAUGUUAUAAUUAAAAAAUAGCAGAAACAAGGCAUGAUCAGAGCAUGAAAACAGUGGCAAAAAUAGUAGGCAUGAUUUAAACAUGCGAUCAGAGUAAGAACAAUGGCAUAAAUUCCACGCAAUCGGUAAAAUAGUAUAGCAAGCGUAUUUGAUGACACUUUUAGAAUUAUCAGUAUUAGAAUUCACAUUUUUAAUAUGACUAAAUUUUAGUUAUAGUGUGCAAGGUUUAUCAUGACAUCAAUCUCAAUAAUAUAUUUGCAACAUGGUUCAAACACAUAUUAUACGAAUAUCAUCAAAUCAUAAUACAACACCCAUACAUAUUUAUGACAUCAUGGAUUUAACAGGUUAGAGUCAUUUACUUAAAAACAAUCCUAUUGAAGGAUUUUAUCAAUCACCAUGAAUACUUAGCGUAUUCAAAUAACCACGUUUUGAAGUAGAUAAUAAAUAUUAAUCAUAAUUAAACAAUGAUUAAGAAAUAAUCAUAUAUAUUUUUAUUUUAUUAAAUCCACGCCUAAAAAUAAGCCUUGUCACUAAAUCUACACCUCAAACUCCAACGAUAACGAAUCUAAACAGAUCUCGUUUGAUCUGAUCAAGUAAUAAUAGUAUGAUACCAAUAGGACAUUCGUUAGUUUUAGCCAUAAACCAAAAUAUAAUUCUCUUAUGAAUUCAAAUAAGAAACUCACCCCAAUAUCUUUUUGAAAAGAGAUCCAAACGUUUUUCAGAUCCAAACGUUUUUCUUACGCUAAAGUAAAUCUAAAUGAUCUGGAUUAGACUUGUGAAGAAACGUGUAACACAAAUAUUAGACCAUAUAUUCAGAUCACAUAAGAAAAGAAAGGAUUUAGAUUAGAUUUACUAAUCGUUAAGCUAAACUGAUCAAAUUGAGAAGAUUAACGAUUCACUAGAAUUUUUGGUUUGAUAGAGGAGUAGUGGCUAAGGAAAAACAAAAAAAUGAAUAAAGUGAGUAUGCAUAUUAUUUAAUAAUUUAAGAAAAAGAAGAAGAAGAGAUGCUAAAAUUCAGUUAUGACCAAAUAGAUGAAAAGAGAAUAAAUAAGAAGAAAAUUGGUGGGCGUCGGUGGCGCGUUAGCAAAGACAGUGGAAUAGGUCCGACGGUGGCAAGAAGAGAGUGGGAGAAGAGGGAUGAUGGUGCAGUGGUGGUGUUUAGGUUGUGUGAUGUUGGCUAAAGGUGGUGAGUGGUGGCAAAAUCAAAUGUAAGUGGCGACUCAAUGUUGUGCAAGAGAAGGAGGAUGAGAGAAAAAGAAAGGGUAGAAAGGAAACAAAGAAAUGAAACAAAAUUAUUUUGUUUCUCUAGUUGCAAAGGACGAAUAAAGGGUUUGAAGGGGAGAAAAAUAGGAAGAAGGUGAAAAGAGGGGAAGAAAAAGAAAGAAGAAGGAACAUGUGGAGUGCAAAAGGAGAAAGAAGAGAAAUAAGAGUAAAAUAUGGGAGGAAAGAAUCCCGCUUGCAAAGAAACUAGAACGAAGGACAAUAGGGAGGUUUGAACAAAAAUUUAAAUGCAAAUUUUUUUUUAAAAAAAUAAGAAGAAGGAGAGGGAAAUUGAACUUAGAUCACCUGAAAAAUUUAGCUUGCUCUUAACCACUAGGCUAGAACUCUCACUUGUUUAAGAAUUAACGAUAACUUAAUUUAGAUGAGGUGUGACAUAACCUUUUUUAAUAUUUAUAUUAUAGAAAUAUUAUAUUACUAUAGAUUUAAUUUUUUUGUGCUACAAAUUACAUAAUAUAUAAAAAAAUAACAUAACAUAAAAUAUUACGAACUUAAAAGCGAGUCAGACUGGGCUGAUUCGAGCCUUGAAUGUUCAAGCCCAAGCCCGACCAAUAUUUUAAACAGGCCUAAUUUUUUUGUCAAAACCCAUUUUUCGGGCUUACUAUUUUUGUUCAAAUCCUCUCAAAUUUUAAGCCAGCCUUCAGGCUUGGGCAGAUAGCCUGUCCCAUUAACAAAUCUAGAGCUUUGAAAUUUAAGCAUACUUAGGGCUCGUGCAUUUACGUGUGGUUAGUAUCAAAACAGUACUGACGAUGAGAUUAGAUUCUAUAAUGAUGCUAUAACGUGAGACAAGACAGAAAAAACUAAACGUAUCGCACGAGAACUAAACGUCCAUCCAAAGGGAAAACUGAGUGUGGGUUUGGAUGGACGGUGCGGUGCGUUUAGCUUACUAUUUUUCUCACGCUAUAAUAUCUAAUUUCACCACCAAUGCUAUUUUUACACUAAGCGCAAAGUAAAUGCACCGUCCAUCCUAAUUAUCCCCUAAUUAAAAUUCCCUCCUGAUUUUCACCUAAAAACAAUUUUUGAAAUUGCGAUUCUCUUCCCUUUGGCAUCCCAAAAUCUAAACUCUAACCUUUUCCAACAUCCUCCAUCAGUACUUCCUUGAUGCUCUCCAGUUUUCGCUUCUCAAAUCCUUCAAAACCCACCAAGAAACCUAGCACCUCCAUGCAUUUUCCCUCAAAAUUGGCAUUUUCUCUCACCCCUACCCUCUUCUUGUCUCCUUUCUCUCUAUGCCGACCACAACAUUAGCAACCUCCACUAUGCUUGCUCCGCUUUCGAUCGAAUCCAAUACCCCUUGUUGAUUCUCUAGAAUAUCAUCCUCAAAUGCUACAUACAAAGGGUUAACAAGGGUUAUAAUGUAGGGGUGUAAGGUAGGCUGAAACAAAAGUAAAGAUCAGUUUAAAUGUGGCAUUUUAAGGAUGGGUAAAUAGGAAUAGUAUGAAACUCACUUGAUCGAGACUUACAAAGAAAGAGUAACAAGUAUUUCAACACUUCACUUUUUUUUAUACUCGAUUUUUUUUUUACUUCAUAUACUUUUUUUAAUUCAAAUACAAUUGAACAAUACAAAAGAACUUUGAAUACAACUUAUUUUUUUUAAUUCGAAAUUUUUUUUACAAACCUAUUUCGAGAUGAAUACGAACGUCGGUGCUCCUCAUUUUAAUAGCUCUGAUACCAAAUGAUAUGAACUGACUCAAUAAUGUUGAUUUGAAUCACUUUAAUUGCCUGACCAUCUACGAGAAGAGUCGUUUGUUUUGUAAAAUGAUGGAUUUUGGUUAACUUAUAAACGAAAGUUGGCAAAGGGGUUCAAAUGAUAGGCUAGGUUUGAUAUUUGAUAGGCUCGGUUUAACAAAGAAAUAAAGUAAAUAGUUGAUAGAUAUGAUGGAAUGGAUAAGUGAACUCAAGCUUCAAGAUCGAUUUAAUACUAUAAUGAGUAUUGCCCCGGAACUUAUAUCGCUUAAGGUGGGUUAAUGAAAGAUAGAAGAUGGACCUUGAACCGUUACCUAAAGAGGUAGGAACCAAAGGUAUAAUUUGAUGCAUGAGCACCACACCAAGGUUGGUGAUAAGUUCAAAGAGUUCGGGUUGACGCCACUAGCAAGCUAGAUAAGUCCAUUCGAGACUCAAACGAAAUAGAGAGGAAGAAACCUCACAGGAACAAAUGUUAAUUCAAUAAUUUGGCAAAAAGUUCCUUCAAAUGUUUACAAGAAAGCUAUUUAUAGACACAAAGAUAACUACUCAAAUUCAGAAUCUAUGUGUUCACACAAUAAUAAAAAUGUUCACACUAAAGCAUUAAAAUUCGAUUCAUGCUUGAAGAGGGUGCAUGAAUUGGCCGAACCAUCAUGUUGCUUCACUUGAUGCAUUCAUGCAUACUUAGCCUUGAAGAAUAGAAAUAAUUCGAUGAAUAUGCAGCCCUUUAAUGCUUCUACAUCUCCCAUGGCUGAGUGAAGCUUUAAUGUGCCUUGAAUACUUGAUGAUCAUCUUAAAUAUGCAUGAAACAUGCAUGAAAACUUCCCAAUGCAUGUUCCUCCAUAAAUAUGGUCCAUGAAUCUUCAAAUGGAUGAACAUUCAGCAGCUCCCUUGUAACACCCCCGAACCCGAGACCGUCGCCGGAGUCGAACAUGAGGUGUUAACAGACUUCAAACCACUUAUUAAAAUUUUUCCAGACAAGCUGCCAAUCUGCGUACUAGUCACUUUAAAAAUCAUAUCUUGAGCUCUGGAACUCGAAAUCCAGUUCCGUGAAUUUUCCCUGAAACUAGACUCAUAUGCCCUUCUACAUAUUAUUUUUCUAGAAUUUUUGGUCGGGCAAAUUAGUACAGUUUAUUAGUAAAAGUCUCCCAUGUUACUGGGGUCGACUACACUGACCUUUGCGCAUUACGACCUGGAUAUCUCCCUGUACAGAGCUUCAAUACUGAUGCCGUUUGUUUCUAUAGAAACUAGACUCAGAGAGGAAUCCAUAUAUAUAUGGAUUGACUCCUAAUUGUCUCUGGUUAAUUUGUAAUGAAUUUCCAAAAUCGGAACAGGAAAUCCAGAAACCGUUCUGGCCCUGUCUCACGAGAACCUGAAUAUCUCUUAAUAUACUGUUCAUAUGAUUGUUUCGUUACUUUCAUAUGAAAAUAGAUUCAUCAAGGUUCGAUUACAUAAUUUAUUCACUAUUUAAUUCCAUUCCUACAAAUUUUUGUGAUUUUUCAAAUCCACACCACUGCUGCUAUCAGCAUCUGUUUUCAAGGUAAACUUUACCUAUUUCGUGGUUACCACGGACCAACUAGGGUUUUGUCAUACAUAGGUCCGCAUAUGAUCAUAUUUAGCCAUUCCAAUGGCUGAUCAUUUGCUCAACACUUCCAUUCCAAACCAUAGUCACAUCAUGAAACCAUAUAUACAUACAUAAACACAAAUGGUCUAAUGCCAUACUCCACUUCUACAAGCCAUUUUCGCAUGGCUGUACACACAUACAUCACAAAAAGUACUUGAACAACAACAAUGGGUAGUCCUAUACAUGCCAUAUCCAGAGUUCAACUAAAAGAGUACCAAAAGGGCUUUGAUAGUGUGGAUGACUUCGACUUCGAUGAUCCCGAAUCCGAUAUCUAACGAACAAAAUCUAUAAAACAGAGAGCCAAAGCAACGGGGUAAGCAUUUUAAAGCUUAGUAAGUUUCAAGUAAUGAAAUCAGCUUUGACUAAAGUAUUACAUUCACAUAGCUAAAUGAACCACUUUAUUAAUACACAUUCUCAUAAUCAUGCUUACUUCACACUUCAUCAACAUAUAUACACACACAAGGUAUCAACCCAUCUAAAAGCCCAAAAGUUCGUUAGUCGAUUGAAUGAAUACUAUUUAAAACGAAUCGACUUUCCGAAGCACAUGCAAACAUACCUUAUCGUUUGGGUUUGUCGAGCGUAUUAAUUGAAUUUAUUACAGCACAAAACGCUCACAUUCAUACCCAAGUUUCUUCGGAAUUUAGCCGGGUAUUACCACAAGCACAAUUGCCUUCGGGUCUUAACCCGGGCAUAGCAACUCGCACGAAUGCCUUCGUGUCUUAGCCCGGAUAUAUCAACUCGCACAAAUGCCUUCGGGUCUUAGCCCGGAUCAAAUCACUAGCACAAAUGCCUUCGGGACUUAGCCCGGAUCAAAUCACUAGCACAAAUGCCUUCGGGACUUAGCCCGGAUCUCAUUCAAAUGCUCAUGCACACAUAAAUCAACAGUCUUGGCACAUCCAUAUUUCAUUUUCGUUACUAAGGCUCAAACACAAAACAUUUAUUAAACCUUUCCAAUUUCGGCUCAAUAGCCACACACAAAGAGCAUGAUUUCAAUUGGCUUUAUAACAUAGUCUCUAUGCACAUUCGGCUAUCCGUCAUAGUAUGACUAAUCAUUUCAAUAUAAUUCAAGUAGGGUCAUUACUCGAAGACUUACCUCGGAUAUUUUAAAUAGUUGUGGAUAGACUACUCGAUCGCUUUUUCUUUUCCUUUAUCAGAUUUUGACCCUCUUGGCUCUUGAGCUUGAUUCAAUAAAUAGAUUUUAUUAAAUAACUUAUCAAUUUAGCGAUUCGAUUUAAUACAUGUAUACCAUACAAUUAAGUACAAAUGAUGUUAUUAACUAGAUAUUAAACAUCAUACAUAUGCUCUACUCAAGUACUAAAGAACAUAAUACUAGCUUAAUACCAUGCAUAAUCGAAUUUAUUUAGCAUCAUUUAGUUUUAUAAAAAUACACAUAUCAUCCCAACUCGACACAAGAGUCAAAUUCAUCACUCAAACAUUCACACCAAUUUAUUUUAAUAUUUUGGCCGAAACCCUCAAUUGGCUAACAUAGCCUUAAUAUUUCAAUAUAAACACGUAUACAUCAAAGGCAAUUUAAAACACUUAACCCUUAUACUCAAUAAUGAAACCAAACCGUAUACCUAAUUUUUAAACACAUCACCUCCAAAUGCAUGUAUUAACUAACAUAUAUCCAAUCCACAUGCCAAGUUACCAUGAAUAAAUUAAACUUAUAUAUAUAUAACAUAGCUAAAUAUUCCUUAACAUAAAGGCAUUUAGUGACAUUUAAAAAAAAUAUAAUAACCAUUUCCAUAAGUAUAUUUUCAUGCAAAGACCGUACCUAAAUCACCAACAUUUUAACUCCCAACUACUUAGACUUAACCUUUCAUACCCUUAUAUCUAAUGUCAUAAGAAUAGCCGAAUGUCCAAAUUAACCAAGCUUAAAGAUUUAACCUUCAACACUUUAAUAUUCCACAACCUAUUCUUCAAGGCUUCAAAUAUAAAGUAAUUAACAUUUAUACUCUUAUGCCGAAUUAGCUAACACUUAUAAUCCAUAGCCGAAUGUCAUUAAACCUAAACCACCAUGAAAAUUUUACUUAUCACCUCAUACCUUAUUAUCAAAUUGAACUAAUUAUGCUUAUAAAAAUAAUAUCAAAACCGAAACCUUUUAAUAAUUAAGCCUCUAAUUAUUUAUUUCAAUUACCCAAACGAAAUUUUCUCACAUUUAACACUUAUAUACCCAUCAAUUGUUGAAGACAAACAAAAUCUCAUUUCCUCCCUUGACAACCACAACCGAAAGCUCAAACCAACAUCUAAAAUUCCAAGUUUUCAAAUGGGCUAAUAUGGAACUAGCUAAUUGACUUAAACUAAGCUUAAAAUUUCAAAAAACUAGCAAAAUUUUUACUAACCUUCUCAAGCUUCAAGUGACCGAAUGUUUUUGCCCCAAUUCUUUCUUUCAAUUCGGCCAAGAAGACAAAGAUGAAGCUUUGUCUUCAUUACUUUUCUUUUUAUUCUUUCUUUAAUUUAUUUCCUUUCUUUUGCAUAAAAUAAUGGCCAUUUAAUUAAGAUUUAGUACAUAUUAUAUAUAUAUGACCAUCAUGGCCGGCCGCCACUUAAAAUAAAAGGGGUAUUUGACAUGCAAGUACAAUUAUUUGCAACAUGCAUAAAUGGGCCAUUUUACAUUAGCCUAGCACAUUUCUAAAUUUUCUCACAUAAGUCCUAUUUAAUAAAAUUCACUUACAAUUUACAAAAUUCAACCAUGAAAUUUUCACACAUGCAUAUAUACAUAUAAUAAACAUCAAAUAUGACGGUCAAUUAUUUUUGUGACUCGGUUUAGUGGUCCCGAAACCACUUUCCGACUAGGGUCAAUUUAGGGCUGUCACAUCCCUCUUGCAUGAAUGUCCCAAAUACAUGUGCUCUUUUAAAUGUCAUCCAUUGAACCUCAAUUAUGCAUGCACCCUUCCAUACUUUGCACUAGGCCCUACAUGAAUCUUGUAUUAAAUACAUCUUCACAUUCGGCUGAACCUAGUUCAUAUCAAGACAAAUUAAUUAAAAUACUAAGAUAAAUUAAAAAUAAUUAAUUAUGGACUAGCUAGUAUAUUAAGUUCGGCUAGCUCAAACAUGUGAAAAUAAUUAAUGAACUCAUUUGAGCUAGGGAAUUCAGUCAUGAGCUGUAUCAAAUUAAAUAAAAUAAAACUAAUACUUCGCUUAUAAAAGAAAAGAGCUGAAACUAAGCUAGGUUGAGCUCAAAUGAGCUUAAAUGAGCUCAAGUGAACUGAUUCAAGCUGAAUGGAGCUUGGGGAGCUGAAGAUGAGCUAACAUCAGCUUGCACUAUGGUGCAAGGAGUCUUUAAGGUGCUAGCCCGACCUUCUCCAUUGACAUCGAGCUUGUUCUCUUCCCAAAAUUGAGUGAUUAAAGCUGAAACAGCUUCUUGGAAUUGCCUAGCUCGAGCUCGAGUCAUUGGGCCUUUAGGGACCUCAAUAGGUGCUUGGCUCAAAGUCCUCGAGCUCCCAACCGUGCUUACAUCAUCAUGCAUAACUUAUACCUUGUCAUUAGAACUUAUCAUUUGAACCAUAAUUUUCAUGCAUCCCAAAUAUACAUAUAUCUAACUUAUACAUACUUGACUAUAACUUAUCCAUAUAUAUAAUUUAAUUUCAUACCAAGUUAUACCACAAUUGACCACAUGCCAAAAUCACAUUCAAACAUACCAAUUUGGUUAUUCAAAACACAACUUCAAAUGACCAUUUCCACUCCAACCAUCAAGGACAUCUAAAUGACACAAAUCUAACCAUAUUUAGAUGGUUCCAACAAUCAACAUGUAUACAAACCAUAUUUCAAUCAUGCACAUCUAUUCAAAAAGCCUUACCAAAGCAUACUAUAUCUUGGCCAUGUUGAGGUUAAUUCAUCAUAUAUCACUUUGGUCAUUCAAACAUGCUUUAACACAUAUCAAUAAGGCACCAAAUGUACCAAGGCUUCAUCACCCAAAAUGACCUAUACAUGCCAAACUCAUCAACUAACAUUCGACUAAUCAUCAACCACAAGUUCACCUAUACAUGCCAUUAUAACCUUAACCAAGACAUCAAAAUCUACCGAUAUAAUCGAUGGAUAGUGUGAUGGAUCUCCGACUAGUUUCCAACCCGAUCGAGCUUUUGAUAAUUUGAAAAGUAAAGGAAAAACAACUACAUAAGCAAUGAAUGCUUAGUACGCUCGUAUAACUUUAAUCAUAUCAAUCCAUUUCAAAUAUGAAAUUUAUACAUAUCAAGAAUAAUCCUAUACCAAUACCACAAGAUUUAUGAAACCAUAAUCAACAACUCACACAGUGAAUAAAACCACAACAUCACAUAUACAUAUCAUCCCUAGCAUAGUAGGAUUUUUUAAAACUUUAAACCCUUUCAAAUUUUAUUAUUUUCAUUUACAUUUCAUUACUUUCCAUUACAUUUACUUUCUUUAGCUUAAACAACAACAUUAGUUUAACUCAUCAAUCCAUUUUUCAUCAUUUUACACUUCAAGUAUGAACUUACUUUUUCAUUACCUUUCCACACCCGUUUCAUAUGCAUAGCACACAAGACAUAAGCAUAUCAUCAACCAUAGCCACAAGCUAGUGCAUUUAAACAUAGCUCUUUUGGAAUUAACCACAUGAUAAACCAUUUCAUAAGAAAUUACAUAAUUUAAACCUUACCACUCUUUCAUGAACACAAGCAUAUUUCUAUUUGGGCACUUACAAUUUCAAUGCAUAACUUCUAAGUAAACAUAAUAAAAUCCAACCAAUAGCUUGACACAUGCCUAAGCAUCAAACAACAACACAUGUUAGCAUACUUGAACAUAUUUCACAUAAAUUCAACAUGGAUAACCAUUAUACUUGAAUACGAUUCAAUUUGGAUAUAACAUCCUUCAAAACAUAACAUGUUUUCCAUAUAUCUCAUCAUUUCAAUGUAUUUCAUGUAUACCUGUAUUUUCUCAUAUUGAACAUUUACAGUUCCCUGUCCAAUUCGUGUCCGUUGAACCGAAUAGAAUAUCAUUGGAUACUCGGGAUAGCUUACACAAAGUGGGCUAACUCAUAUAAUCGUAAUGCGUCAAUUCAUGUACAUAUAUGCUCACAUGAGCUGUGAAUAAGUAUGCUCACAUGAGCUAAGAAAAUAGGCCUACUCACACGAGCUGUGGGUCGGAACGUAGCUAUACGAUGCUACUCAUACGAGCUGUGGAGUAUGCGCAACACAUGCCAGACCUGAACCAACAGUAGGACAUUCAAGACCAGCACCUGAAUCAUGUAAACCCUAAUGACAUGUCAUUUGUAUCCUACGAAUUCCUAAGGUUUAAAUGGGGCUCAGUAGUCGUCGUACGCCGUUGAAUUUCUAUCGUUUCAUGACAUAAUAAUUUGCAUAAUAUCAUCUAUAUAUAUUAAUUCAUGUACAAUACAUUAAACAGUUAAUUUAACUCACAUUUAAGUGUUUAUAUUUCAUACGAACUUACCUGGCUAAAUUGCAGAAAUGUCAAAGUAUAAGGGCAUUUUGGUAAUUUUUUAUUCUCCUCUUAAUUUUCCACUUGAUCUUGAUCCAAAUUAAUAAUUUCAUUCAAUCUAUCAAUUUAGAUAGUAAAACAAUGUAUUUUAUGCACUUUAUUCAUUUUUUACAUUUUUACAAAAUUACCCCUAAAGUUUUACUUUUAUUCAAUUUAGUCCCUGAGCCUAAAACAUGCAAAUUAACCAUUUUUACCCAAAAUUUAGCCUAUCAAAAUUCUUAUGGCAUCCAAACAGCUCAUUCAUGCAACAAUUUCACAUCAAAUCCUUGUACUUCUACUAUUUUAACAAUUUAGUCCCUAAUAAAAAAAUUCAUCAAAAAUCACUUAAUAAAAUACUUUUAAAUAACAACUAAUAUUUCAAAUUCAUCAUUUAACGUCUAAAAUCACUAGGUUCAUCAAUGGAAACAUUCAAAAUCUUUAACAAUUUCAAAAUCGAAGGUACGGGCUAGCUGGACCUAGUUGCAAUGAUUUCAAAAACAUAAAAAUUAAAAGAAAUGGGGCUAAAACGGACUUACAUGCAUCAUCCAAAGCAAGACCGAAGCUUGAAGCUUCUCCCAUUCUUUUUCCAUGGAAACCUUCGGUGGUGAAAAACAAAUGGGGAAGAAAACAUUUUGUUUUCUUUAUUUUAGUAACAUUUAAUUUUAUUCUAUUAAAUAAAUAACAUAUAAAACAUUAUAAUUAAAAGAAAUUAAGCAUCCAAACUCCCUACCAUAUUUAGGAUGGCUAUUUUACUCAAUAAGGCCUUCCAAUUAUAAUUCUUUCAGCAAUUAACACCUUUAAACUAAUAGCAAUUGACUUUUUCAACUUUUACAAUUUAGCCCUUUUUGUUUAAUUAACUAUCGAAACGUUAAAAUUUUUUAACGAAACCUUAAUAGCACCUUAAUGACACUCUGUAAAUAUUUAUAAAAAUAUUUAUGACUCGGUUUAUAGAAACAAGGUCCCGAUACAUUAUUUUCUAAAACCAUUUGACCCUAAGGUCUUACCACUUGAACUUAAUAAAUCGCUUAAAUAACAUAAAUUAUCAAAUCAAAAACCUUUUUAAAAAUCACAUUUGACUCGUAAAUAUUAAAAAAUAACAUUUACGAACUUACUCGCCAGAUUUGGUGGCCCCGAAACCACUGUUUCUGACACCACUGAAAAACGGGUUGUUAUAGUACCCUAUAGGCGACACCGACCUGUUGUUUCUGCCCUCCUCUACUUCUCCGUGCACAAUGGGAUGAGACCUUUAAGGGUCUUGUGAAAAAUAUUUUUCAGGGACCUUAUAAUGGUCCCCUAAUGUGAAAAAAAAACAAAAUAGAAGAAGAAGAAGAUUUAGAGAAGAGAAUGGGAAGGGAAAAAAUAAAGAAAAAUGAGAGUAGAAGAAUAGAUAAGAGAAGAGAAUAAGAAGGGGAAAAAAGAAUAAAAGAGAAGGAAAGAAGAGAAUGAGAAGGGAAAAAAAAGAGAAAAGGAGAAAAGGAAGGAAGAAAGGGAAAGACAUUUGGGCUUUAAGGAGUUAAGUUUAGGGUUUGAAAAAAAAAGACUAGUGGGUUUUGUUUAAAGUUUGGAAAAAAGGAUUAAAGGGUUUUGUUUGGGGUUAUAUGGGUUUAUGAUUAAAAAGAAUUCAAAAGAGGUAUUUUUUUUAGUAUCUAUACAUUAUUUGUUAGUUUAGUAAUUUUUUUUUAUUUAUAGGUUAUAAAUGUUAAAUUUUUUUUGUUUAACCAUGUUAUUUUAGAAAUGUUUUUGAUUAAUUUAGAUUCUGAUUAAUUUUUUUAUUUUUGUAAGGUAUUAUUUCGGUAAGAAAUAAAGGUUUUUUAUAGGUAUUAUUUUGGUAAGGUAUGUUUCUAUUUUAUUUUUUGAUUUGUAUGGUUUUUUUAUGCUUUGUAUUAGAUUCAAAUAACAACAUUAAUCCCAUUAGGUUUAUUAUGUUGAGAUCAUUUCUACUGUUUCAACAUAAAUUUUUUGUUGUUUUAUAUAGGUAAAAGAUGAUACCAUUGAGUUGAAAUUUAUGAGAUAUUUUUUCUGUUCUUUAUUAACUUAAGUAGUAUAAAAAUGUUUAUUAUAUACUGAAAUAAUAUGGCAAAAAAUGUGAUGUGCACCAAACUCUUUAGCAUUUUUGUAAUUAUAUUAUUAGUGUACUAUAUUUAUUGUAUAAUAUUAAUGUGUUUUGAUAAUUAUUUAAGAUGUGAUAAUUAUUUUUUGUUAGGGUGUCUUAUUUCUGUAUUUUAAUAUUUCUUCUCCUAUUAUUGGGAUAAAAAGGCUCAAAUAGAAACUAAUUACCUACCGAAAUGUGUUUUUAACAAAAAACUAAUUACACUCUUUUUUUUAGGUUGCAAAUAUCAAAAUGGGUUCUUUGAUUAAAGAUGAUAAUCGCAUUUCAAAAAUGGUUAAUAUGAUGGUAAUAAAAUUGUUUUUUCUUACCUUAUAAAAUGUUCCACGUCAUUUACGAAUUUAAACUAGGUUAUAUUAACUAUUUCUGUAAUUUAAUAGUGUUAGGGCCUAUACCGCACAUUGAGGGGUCGUACGAAUGAUUUAGGAUAUCUGCUGGAUGAACGUGUAAUUCCAUACUUGGAGUUAGCCAGAUUCGGAUCAACAACAUUGAUCCGAACAUUUGAUUUACGGUACAACUUAAUAUCCGCUUUGGUCGAGCGAUGGCGUCUAGGGACCCACACUUUUCAUUUGCUGUGUGGGGAGUGCGCCAUCACUUUAGAGGAUAUUACACUGCAACUCGAGUUCCCAAACGAUGGGAAAGCGGUAACGGGCAUAAGUGCGAUCCUAGAGCCGUCCACCCUUUGCUAUAACCUACUGGGAGUCUCGCCCGGUGAUGUUAGGUCGAAAUUUUUGGGUUUGAGGUUUUCAUGGCUGAAGGCCAAUUUUGAGAAUAUACCGAUUAAUUCCACUGAUCGGGAGGUAAUGUGCGUCACUUGAGCGUACAUUAUGCACAUUAUAGGGGGUGUACUCAUGCCGGAUGCAGAUAGCAAUAAGGUCCAUUUGAUGUACUUGCCCCUGUUAAUUGGUUUGCAUAACGUCACUUCAGAUGGAUCUUUCUUUCGAUUUGCAGCCCUUGUUACAAUACAUACAGUGGUACUCCGAGAAGGGGAAAUCGUAUUUAUUUGGUGGGAAAUCAAUUCUAGUUCUUCUACACAUACCAUAACUUGGGCAACCCGCCCAUCCCCUUUCACAUCCGACUCCUGCACUCGAGCUAGAGCCCUAGUCUAAACCUGAGCCUACGCCCAAACCCGAGCGGUCUCAUACAUAGCCUGGAGAUAGUUCUUUUCAUUCGGACCUAGGGUUCGAUGACUAUUCCUCGGGCUCAUCAGGCCACGAUAUCAUUCAGGGUUUCUCGGAUCCAAUUCUGAUAUACCUAAUUCGAUAUCAUCAAUGACGUUUGAUAUCUUCAACCCUUACCACCGUAAUACCCUGCUCCUCCCAGAUAAACAUUUGGGGCAUACGCCCCUAGGUUUCAGUGAGGACCACAUUGAUAACCGCGAGCACCCUCAAUGUGAACACCAACCACCACAACAAUUUACCCCUAGGACCACACCAUCAAACCAUCAAUUUUUGGGGUUUCUAUCAUUUCAAUGAUCAUGUUUGUAUGUAUAUAAUUGUUGUAAAAUUUGUAGUAAAAUUUAGGCAUUUAAACUCAAUUUUUACUUAACCUUUAAGUUUUUGGUACUAAAUUUAAAUGAGAUGGUGCCUAAGGUAUAAACUAUCGAUUUAUAUACAUGCAAAAAUAUAAAUGCAAAAAUAUAUAUUUGGUAAUAUAAAUGAAAAAUACAAACUUUAUAAUAUAAAUGCAAAAUUACAAACUUUGUAAUAUAAAUUAGAUGCAUUGGAGUACAUUUGUAACACCCUUUAGCCGUAUUCGACACCAGAAUAGGGUACGAGGCAUUACCAGAACACAUACACUUGUAAAUGUAUUUAACCGAGUUAUAAAACUUCAUCUAAAUUAAAACUUUCAAAUUUUAUAAUUCUUCAUAAUAUAUCCUCAAAAUAUUAUAUUCAUAAUAAAUAGGACCUAUGAGACCCGAUACAUAUUCAUGCAAUUCACAAGUCUUAAUAAUUCAAUGCUUCAUUUCCAUUUCAUUCAAUUCUCAAAUUUCUCAUGUUGACAAUUCAAAUCAUUAAUUUCAAUACUAAUACGUAUUUAUCAUUUAACUCAACGUUCAUUGAUUAUACCAUUCAUUAACACAUUUAUGAAAUUCUAAAUUUUUGCAAUGAAAAUAUCACUUAUCUUAUAAAAAACAUCAAUUCAACUCAUCAUCCUAGUAUAAAUUCACUACCACUUAUCCAUUUACUAUAAUUCUUUUGGGUUCAUUUGUCACUUACCAUUCUGAAUCAAAUUAGGGAACGGUUACGGAAAAUUGAGUACUUCACUUCCACCUUGCCAUAGUAUAACUAUGAUCUUACGUAUGAUCACUUAUCACUUGUCCCUGAUCAGAUAAGUGUAGCUAAGCUACCACUUAUCACUUGCCACUUGUCACUGAUCAGAUAGGUGUAGCUAAAGCUACCACUUAUCACUUGUCACUUGUCACUGAUCAGAUAAGUGUAGCUAAAGCUAACACUUAUCACUUGUCACUUGUCACUGAUCAGAUAAGUGUAGCUGAAGCUAUCACUUAUCACUUGCCACUUGUCACUGAUCAGAUAAGUGUAGCUGAAGCUACUACUUAUCACUUGUCACUGAUCAGAAGUACUCAAAUCCGACGUUCCGCUCAAUUUGAUCAUUUAUUCAGUUUUCGUAUUGUUAUUUUAUUCUCAAUUCAUUAAAAAAUAUAUCUCAUCAUACAUUAUAUAAUUCAUGAAAUUAACAUGUAAUCAUUAAAUUUCAGCCAUAUGAACUUACUAUUUCAUUAACUUUCCACACUCGUUUCCUAUGCACAUCACACAAGGUAUAAGCAUAUCAUUCAACCAUAGUUGCAAGCAAGUGUAUUUAAACAUAACUCUUUUUGGAACUAACCACAUGAUAAACCAUUUCACUAGAGAUUACAUGAUCACAACUAAAUAUGUUACCAUUUCGACCACUACUUGGCCAAAGCCUAAGCAUGUACGCCAAAUAUGUUAGUCAAAUACACAUAUAGCAUAAACAUUAUAAGCAUGGAUGAGCACAACAUUUAUUCAUGUAUCACACUUACCAACAUGUGUUAAUUCAUAAAUCAUUCAUGACAUUACUUCAUGUCAAAUCAUAUACCGAAUAUACCAUACACACAUUCUAUGAAACUUUAUUUUCACACAUGAGCUUAGACCAUGACCAAUAAUGUACAAAUAUAAGCAUCAUUUCUAUUUCAUCGUUUAUCAAUUAUAAUCAAGCAUAUGACCAAUUAUACACAAAUCAUUCAUAUAUUUCCCAAUUUUCCUCCUCCUCCUCUCCAUUCCACAUCCUUAAUGUGUAUAACAAAUUUAAACAACAUUAUCCAUACUAUCACUAUUUUUCCUGUAUGUAAAUUCAAGUUAUCUGUCUAAGUUAGAGUCACUAAUUUAUUUAUAUCUCGAGAUAAAGAGCUCCAAAUUAAGAUCAGUUAAUUUUCCAUAAAACUAGACUCAUAUAUCUUCAAAGCAUAAAAUUUUAAAAAUUUUUGGUUCAGCCAAUAAGUACAGUUUAUUCUUUAAAGUUUUCCCUGUUUCACUAUUUGAUAGUUCUGACCCCUCUUCACUAAAAAUUAAUUAUCUCUUUAUAUAGAAUUUAGACGAUGUCCUCGUUUGUUUCUAUUGAAAAUAGACUCAUUAAGGAUUUUAAAUAUAUAAAUUAUAACCCAUAAUUAUUUUUAUACAAUUUUUAAUGAUUUUUCCAAAUCAGAAUAGGGGAACCAAAUUCAUUCUGACCUUAUCUAACAAAAUUCAUUAUAUCUCAUGAUUUAGAAUUCCAUUACUUACACCGUUUCUUCUAUGAGAAACUAUACUAAAUAAGAUUUAAUUUCAUAUUUUUUUCAUCCUCUAAUUCAAUUUCCAUGAUUUAUGAUGAUUUUUCAAAGUUAACCUACUGCUGCUAUCCAAAACUAUUUUAGUGCAAGAUGUUGAUAAUCAAAUUUAUAACACCAUCCUUUCCUUUCUCUACAAUAUUUUUAUCAAUUCCUCUUGUUUCCCUUCACUAACAUAUCAAGAACAUAGAACCUUAUAUAAUAAAGAACCUUAUAUAAUAAAACCCUACAUUAACAUCAAUUUCAUACUUUUUCAAUAAUAUCAAACUUAAAAAUAUAUUGAAACCUUGAUGUUCUUACCUUGCUCUAUUGAUUUCAAUCUUUAACUUGAUUUUCUCUCUCCUCCAGCUUCUAUUUCUCGAAUCUAACUUGAUAUUAUAGCUUCCCAUAGUCUCUUUAACAUUUUUCUCUCUUGGUAGCUAUGGAAAUUCUUUUAAUUUCUAGGUGAAAAUGGUAAAUUUUUGGUGAAAUGACCAAUUUGUAAAGAAAGCAAAACUUUCUUUCUUCCCUUCUCUUAUAACGUGAAAUGCAUGGGAAAGGAAGAUGAUUCUUCAUCUUUUCUUCCACAUAUAUAUAUACUAAAUAAAAUAAUAAUAAAAUGAUAAAAUGUCAUUUAAAAAUCAAAUUAAAAUAUUAAUAAACUAAUAUUUAUUUAUUUAUUUAUUUAAUCUAAAAUAUCUCUAACAUCAUCAUUAUUUUCUAGAUUUCUCUUUCUUCUAAUUGACCAUUUUGCCCUUUAGAUCUUUUAAAAUCCCAUCCUUAAGUCAUCACUUAAUUUGGUAAAAUUAUGAUUUAGCCCCUCAUAAUUCUUCAUCUAUUCAAUUUGGUCCCAAUUUAUCCAUUUUCCUUAGUUUCUAGAUUAUUCCACCCUUAAAAUAUUUACACUAUUGGUCCUUCAACUUUUUCAUAUUUACACUUUAACCCUUCAAAUUUUGAGUAUUUACUCUUGGAUAACAAAACUUUUCUCACUUUUGCAAUUUAAUCAUUUCUUUAAUUAAUAUGUCAGAAUAUACUUCCCAAUGUUGUCAUAACUUAAAAUUUUCCUUUUUGUCACUUUACUUCCUUACUAUAUCAAAGAUAAUAUCUUACUGUAAAAAUUUUCGGGGUAUUACAACAUUGGCUCAAUUUCCACUUGAUUGCGAUGAUUGACCAAUAUGGUAGGUUCGUUGCAGGCAUGUACUCCGAUUAUGCCCAGCUAAUCUACACACACCAAAAAGCUUCCUAUCAGUUUUCUCCCUAAUGUCCAUUUCAUUAUGAAUUCUAGUUGAUUGCGGACGACCUUUUGGAUUCCUACGUAACCUCUUGUCCAAGACAAGCUCAAAAGUCCUCGUAGGCACCUCAUAUAUAGACAGAUCAGGCAAGAUGGGGAGCUCAUUUUCCUAAACACACAACAUGUUCUUAAGAGUAUACACCUCAGUGAUAAACUGUUCAACAUUGAGCGAGGUGCGAGCACAUACUGUCACGACAUGCACAUAGGGAUAAUAUAGUGUUUGGAACCUUCCGUAAUCACACUGUCAGCUUCAGAGAUCAACUUCGUAGGACCUGGAUGGGAUAUCGGGCUGACGACCGAUGCUUUCUGUAACUCAAAAUGUUUCAAACUGUUGUGAAUAUAUUUCCACAUUCAUCGACCUCGCCUUACAACGGUUCACAUCCAUUGCAUCCCUGGCAUCUUCGACAAACACGUGUCCCGCAUUAAUCUGGUUGACUUGUUUUAGCCCCAUUCUUGGCAUCAAGGUGGCCAACCUAUAGAACGUACUCGAGAACACAGAUAAAAUCAAAAGAUGUCGUGUGUUCUUCAAUAUGGAGUUAACUGCCUCUGCCAGGUUGGUGGUCAAAUGACCAUAUCGAAACCCGUCAUUGAAACUUUGAGCCCAUUGCUACGGCUUCAUGGUACCCAACCACUAUCGGAAAAGAGUGUUCGUUUCACCUUGCAUGUCACCCUCAAGUGUCACCAUCCUUUACCGAAAAAGGUGUGGUUCUGGAUCGUACGCUGUGUAUGUAUUAAGAAAAGACAAGUUACAGUCUCGAAUUGUUCUAGUAUUGAUAAUAUUAAAACAUAUAUUGAAACUAUAUUUUACCUAUUUUCACAACUUGUCUCCGCAAGUUUGCAUUCUUGUACUACUGGUGAAAGUUAGCUGCUAUGUGCUGCAUACAAUAAACUGAUCUCCAUGGUACUCCAGAACACCUAAUGGCGACAAUUAUUCCCUUCCCUCUAUGAAAAAUUAUGCAAAUAUUAUUGUCACUAAUAACAUACCUUAGUAGGUUCGUAAGGAAGAAUUCUCAUGAUUCCAUGUUCUCUUUGUCUACAAUGGAAAAUGCUAUCAAGUGCACAUUUUUGUUCCCAUCUUAAGCAAUCGCAAUAAGUAGGAUCUGCGUAUAUUUACCAUAUGGUUAGGCCUUAUCUACCUGCACAAGCAGUUUGCAGUAGGGAAAUGAUCGCACGCAUGGAUCAAACAUCCAAAACAUCCGAUGGAAAAUUCUUCUUCUCGGUUGUAGUUGGUCAUUUGGAUCAUAAUAAGGUCAUGUCUCCAACUCAAUGACAGUCCCCGGACGUACUCUCGUAUAGCGGCUACCCACCCCCGUAGCUCAUUUUACGACGCAUCCCAGUCUCCGUACAACUACUCUAUUUCCAUUUGUUUAGCUAUCCAUGCUUUCCAAUAUGAUACUCGAUACUGGAAUCGUGCUUGCAUUUUUCCAAUCAAUACCGAAACUUUAAUGGUUGGCAUGUCCUUCACCAUUGGCAUGAUGCGUGUGCAAAUAGUUUUGGAAUCAAGUUUUCGAUGGUCUUUUGUCAUACAUGUUGAAAGGCAUGUGUGAUGCCAAACAAAUUUUAAUAUUUCUUCUCCUAUUAUUGGGAUAAAAACUCCCAAAUAGAAAUUAAUUACUUAUCGACACGUGUUUUUUGCAACAAACUAAUUGAACUCAAUUUUUUUUAGGUUAUUUGAUUAAAAAUGAUAAUCACAUAUCAAAAACGGUUAAUAUGAUGAUAAUAAAAUUGUUAUUUCUUACCUUAUAAAAAGUUACACAUCAUUUACGGAUUUAAACUAGGUUAUAUUAACCAUUUUUGUAAUUUAAUAUUGCCAGGGCCCAUACUGUGCAUUGAGGGGUCGUGUGAAUGGUUUAGGAUAUCCGCUGGAUGAACGACUAAUUCCAUACUUUGAGUUAGCCAGAUUCAGAUUAGCGGUAUUAAUCCAAAGUUUGAUUUUUCGUACGACUUAAUAUUCGCUUUGGUCAAGAAAUGGCGCCCGGAAACCCACAUUUUACAUUUGCUGUGUGAGGAGUGCACCAUCACUCUGGAGGAUGUUGUACUACAACUCGGGCUCUCAUUCAAUGGGAGUGCAAUAACGAGCAUAAGUGCGAUCUCUGAGCCGGUCACCCUUUGUUGUAACCUACUGGGAGUCUCGCUCGAUGACGUUGAGUUGAAAUUUUUGGGUUUGAAGUUUUCAUCGCUAAAGGCCAAUUUUAAACAUUUACCGAUUAAUGCCACUGAGCGGGAGGUGAUGUGUGCCGCUUAAGCGUACAUUAAGCACAUUAUAGGGGGUGUACUCCUGCCAGAUGCAAACAACAACAGGGUCCAUUUGAUGUACUUGCCUUGUUAAUUGAUUUGCAUAACGCCUAUUCGUAUAGUUGGGGUUUCACGGUACUAGCUAUGUUAUAUCGCGAGCUUUCUUGAACGAAAAAUCCUUUUGAUGUGGACAUAAAUGGAUGCCUCAUAUUUCUGCAGUCUUAGGCCCUUUACCGGCUGUCAUUCUUGGCAUCGGUUAGUCAUGAAUCAUAUGUCUUUCCACGUGUGAAUAGGUGACAAAAAUUUGACCCAUUAUAGCAAUUAUUUGACAUUUCAUUUUUAAUGAUAUUAUUCUAACAAGUUUUUGUUUUCGUAGAUGGAGUACUAAUUAAGGUAUCGAGAGGUUAUGUACGGUUCUGAUAAACCAUCUGAUGAUUGAAACACAUGCUGGGGAAGGGUUAAGCUAUUCCAAUAUUUAAGACAUGUAAUUACUUUAUCUGUCUUAUUCGAACCGUGUUAAUAUAGCCAUGUUAUUAAUUAUGCAGUUCAUCUAGAUGCACUAUUCCUUCCAUCAAAUUGCGACUAUGAUUCCCUUGUCUACCCACAUCCACUCACACCUGUGGUGCAUUAACGCACCCAUUAUCAAUGUCCAGACAGUGGAGUCGUAUAACAAGGAUUGAGUACUCUGAUAGUUUGGAUGCAUACAAUAUAUCCCGGCACCACUAGUGCAAUUGGAGAAGAUCCACGGGAGUAACAGGAGGGGAAAACAAGGAAAUAAUUGGACAAUAGUGCAUAAACAAUAUAUUGCAAUGUGGAACAACCGGAUGGGGUGGAGACCUCAGAUGGAUCUUUCUUUCGAUUUGCAGCCCUCGUUAUAGUACAAACAGUGGUACUCCGAGAAGGGGAAACUAUAUUUUUUUGUGGGCAAUCGAUUGUAGUCCCCUCGUACAUGCCAUGACUUGGGUAACCCGCCCAUCCCCUUCCAUAUCCGCCUCCUGCACUCGAGCCAGAGCCCUUACUCAAACCUGAGCUGACGCCCGAACCCGAGUAGUCUCAUACACAGUUUGGGGAUAGUUCUUAUCAUCCGAACUUGGGGUCAAUGACUAUUUCUCAGGCUCGUUAGGCCACAGAUAUCAUUCAGAGUUUCCUAGAUCUAGUUUUGAUAUACUUGAUUCGAUAUCAUCGAUGAUGUUUGAUAUCUUCAGCCCAUUACCACCGCAGUACUCUACUCCUCUCAGGCAAACAUUUGGGGCAUACAAUUUUUCCACUAUGUUUAGCACACCACCAGGUUCGAGUGAGGACCACGUUGAUCACUGUAAGCACCCGCAAUGUAAACGCUAACCACUACAACAAUUUACCCCUAGGACCACACCAUCAAACCAUCAAUUUUAGGGGUUUUUUUCAUUUCAAUGGUCAAGUUUGUAUGUAUUUAAUUGUAGUAAAAUUUGAGCAUUUAAACUCAUUUUUUACUUAACUUUCAGGUUUUCUGGUACUAAAUUUAAAUGAAAUGGUGUUUAAGGUAUUAAUUAUCGACUUAUAAACAUGAAAAAAAUACAAACUUUGUAAUAUAAAUGCAAUUGAAAUAUAAAUGCAAAAAUAAAAAUGUUGUAAUAUAAAUUAGAUUCAUUAUAGUACAUUGGCUCAAUUUCCACAUGAUCGCGACGAUUGACCAAUAUGGUAGGUUCGUUACGGGCAUUACUCUGAUUAUGCCCAACUAAUCUGCACACGCCACAAAGCUUCCCAUCGGUUUUCUCCCUAAUGUCCAUUUCAUUAUGGAUUCUAGUUGAUUACGAAGUCAUACGCAACUUUUUAUUUGGGACAAGCUCAAAAGUCGUCGUAGACACCUCCCAUGUAAACAGAUCAGGUAGGACGAGGAACUCAUUUUCCCAAACACGCAACAUGUAAUAACCCAAAAUUCAUGGGCAUCGGAAAAGCAUAAUAUUGGGCCUCCGUCUUAGUAAAUUGAGUUUGAAAAUAAUUAUUAGAAAUAUUUACGAGGCUAGUUGUGUGUUUAAUUAGAUUUUUAUUUAGUGAAUAUAGCUUAAUUAGGAGUAAUUAGCAAAAAGGAUUAAAUUGCAAUAGAAGUGAAAGUUUAAUUAUAGAUUAAAAGAAAAUAAUAGGGACUAAAUAGGAAAUUAUGCCAAUUGCCAAAUUUGAGGCGGCAUAAGCAUAAUAUCUAAUAUUUUUAUGUGUUAAAAUAUGUUAUUAAAUUAUUUUUAUUAUAUUAUAAAACAAAUAAGAUAGUGACAAAUGUAUGGUAAUAAUUUACACAUGUGUCAUGAUAAUGAUUGUAUAAAUACACUUGUAUUAAAAUUUUGUAAUUACUUAUUAUAUAAGAAAAUAUUAUUAUAUUAUAUUAUUAAAAUAUUACAUUUAUUAAAUAAUAAACAAAAAAUAAAACAAAAUAAAGUAAAAGAAAGAAACAGAAUAGCAUUCGAAAAUAGAACAGAGAAAGAAGAAAAAGAAAGAAAAAGGGAAAAUAGGGUUUUUAAAGCUUGGAAUUUAAUUUGGUAAGUCAAAUAAGCCAUGUUACUUAAUUUUGAUGUUUUAGAAGUUUUAAAACAAGGUUUGAUGGAAUUAAGUUGAUAUUUUGUAAGUUCAUAGGUUUUCAAGUACAGUUUAUGUUGAACAAAAGAGAUGAAUUAGGGAUUUAAUUGAAUGAAUUUCAAGUUAGAAUUGAUAAAAGGAUUAAAUUGUGAAAGAAAUUAUAAUUUUUAUGUUGUAGGGAUUAAAUUGAGAGAAAUUCAAAAUUAGGGAAAUAUGCUAAAAUUUUAAUAGUUAAAUUUGAGUUAGGAUGGAAUUUGAAUAAAAAUAAAGUGUGAAUUGAAUUAGAAAAGUAAGAAAACUUAGUUAGGAUUAAAUUGAGAACAAGGUAGGAAUUGAUUAGAAAUUUAAUUAAUUAUUAUAAUUAGUGCUGUAAUUAAUAGUAUAAAUUAUUAUUAUUUUCGUAGCUAACAAAGAACCCGAGCCAUCAGCAUCAAAAGGAAAGGAGAAAGCUAUCGAGGACUAAAACGUGAGAUUUACGGUUUGUAUUACUAUAAUUCAAGUUAUUUGUUAUUAAUUGUUAAAUUUAAAUUUAUGUGUUUGGUAAAUGAAAUGUGAGGUAAGUAUUAUUAUUAUUAUUAUUAUUAUUGUUAUUAUUAUUAUUAUUAUUAAGAUGAGUGGGAAUUAAAUUGAAUAGUUGAUAUGAAUUAAUAUUUGAAUUGUUUGUUGAUUGAAAGCGAGAAGUGAAUUUGAAUCGAAUUGUGACUGAUAUUAAAUUGAAUGAAAAUGUAUUGAGUUGUGAAAAUGUGUGAAUUUUUGGAUUAAUUAUUGAUUGAAAGGUGGAAAAAUGAUUGAACUGAAAAUGUGAGAAAUUGUGAUUGAAUUGGGGUUAUAUGUGAUUUAAAUACCCUAUUAACUAGUCGGGCUGAGUCAGAUAUAGUUGGCAUGCCAUAGGAUUGGAAGAGUUCAGGGAUACUUCGACCUCGAGUCGAUGAGACACUUGGUGUCACUAUAUUUCUUUGGAUAGAUUCGAUGAGGUACUGGGUACCAACUUUCUUCGGCUUUGCCGAUGAGACACUGGGUGUCAACUAUUGCUUCGAACUAUCCGAUGAGGCACUGGGUGCCAUAAUGGAGUGUUUGGUUGGAUCCGUGUAUCCGCCAAAGUCCGAGUUUUGUUAAUAGGGUAAAUAAUGAAAAGAUAAACUGAAUGAGUGGAUCAAUCGAGCUAUUGAAAUGAAAUGAAAAGUUGAAUGGUGAAUUGAAAUGUGAUAUGAGAUUUAAAAAUGAACCUAAGGUUCAUGAUAUGUCCAAAUUCAAAUUGUGGAUAUAUGAUAUUGAUUGAUGGAUUGCUAUUGUUGAGAUAAUGAAUUAAAAUUUGUAUAUACGAUUUAUGUAUUAUAUGUUUAUUAUUGUUAUAAUUUGAAUUAUGGUAAUAUCACUGAGUAUGAAAUACUCAGCGUACGGUUGCUUCCAUGCACAGGUUGAUAGAAGUAAAAAAAUUUCGGUUCAGCAUCUAGAUCAAUCCCGACUUCAGCAUAACUUUGGUGAUGUAUACUUUCUUUUAGUAAUGUGGCAUGUUGGAUAUGUAUAAAGGUUAUUAUGUUUUAAUAUAAAUGGUUAAAAAUAUUAGUAUUAAAAGUUUAUGAAUUAUAAUGAAAGAAGUUUAUCUAUUUUUAUUUAAUUAGUACAUUGUUAAAUUUAAAUUGAUAUUAUAUUAAUUGAGUUUGAUUAGAAGGAAUUUAGAAUAGAAAAUGAGAAUGUGACAUGAAUUGGUUGAUUUGAUUAUAUUUGAAAAUGAUAUGAUUUUAAAUUGCAGGGGGUUUUAUGUAAAAAUAAGUAGAAAUGCUGCCGAAAUUUAUAAAAAAAUGAUGUCAAUUGGUAAACAAACAUAUAAAUUUAUGAUUUAUUUUAAUAUGUUGGUUAAUUAUUUAAGAACUAUUUGUAAAUCGUUUGAAAUGUCCGGUAAUGCCUCGUAACCCUGUUUCGGCGACGGUUUGGGGUUAGGGGGUGUUACACAACAUGUGCUCAAGAGUAUACACAUCAGUGAUAAAUAGUUCAACAUUGAGCGAGGCGUGAGCACAGACUGUCACGACAUGCACACAGGGAUAAUGAAGUGUUUGGAACCUUUCGCAAUUGCAUUGUCUGUUUCAGAUAUCAACUCCGUAGGACCUAGAUGGGAUACCAGGUCCAUGACCGAUGGUCUCUGUAACUCAAAGUGUUUCAAACUGUUAUGAAUAUAUUUCUACAUUCAUCGACCUCGCCCUCCAAUUGUUCGCAUCCAUUUCAUCCCUGACAUCUUCGACAAACACGUGUCCCGCAUUAAUCUGGUUGACUUGUUUUAGCCCCAUUCUUGGCAUCAAGGUAGUCAACCUGUAGAACGUAGCCAAGAACAUAGAUAAAAUCGGAAGAUGUUGUGUGUUCUUUAACACAGAGUUAACCGCCUCUACCAGGUUGGUGUUCAUAUGACUAUAUUGAAAUCCGUCAUUGAAAAUUUAAGCUCAUUGCCACAGUUUCAUGGUACUCAACCACUAUCGGAAAGGAGUGUUUGUUUCACUUUACAUGUCACCCUCAAGUCUGGCCAUCCUUUAUAAAAAAAUGUGUGGUUCUAACUCGUACGUUGUGUAUGUAUUAAGAAAAGACAAGUUACAGUCUCGAAUUAAUUUUUUCUAGUAUUGAUAAUAUUAAAACAUAUAUUGAAACUAAAUUUAUCCAUUUUCACAACUUGUCUCCGCAAGUUUGCAUUCUUGUACUCUUGGUGAAAGUUAGCCGCAAUGUGCCGUAUACAAUAAACUGAUCUCCAUAGUACACCAGAAUGCUUAAUGGUGACAAUUAUUCCCUUCCCUCUAUCAGAAAUGAUACAAAUGUUAUUGUCACUAAUAACAUACCUUAGCAGGUUUGUGAGGAAGGAUUAUCAUGAUUCCAUGUUCUCUUUGUCCACAAUGACAAAUGUUAUCGGGUGUACGUUCUUGUUCCCGUCUUGAGCAAUUGCAAUAAGUAGGAUUUGCGUAUAUUUCUCGUAUGGUUAGGUCCCAUCUACCUACACAAGCAGUUUGCAGUGGGGAAACGACCGCACGUAUGGAUCAAACGUCCAAAACAUCCGAUGGAAAAUUCUUCUUUCCGGUUGUAGUUGGUCAUCCAGGCUGUAAUAAGGUCAUGUCUCCAACUCCCCGGCACAUACUCCUACAUAGCGGCUACCCACCCCUAUUACUCAUUGUACGACGCAUCACAAUCUCUAUACAACUGCUCCAUUGCCAUUUAUUUAGCUAUUCAUGCUUUCCAGUAUGAUACUCGAUACUAAAAUCAUGCUUGUAUUUUGCCAAUCAGUACCGAAACUUUAAUGGUUAGCAUGUCCUUCACCAUUGGCAUGAUGCAUAUGCAAAUAGUUUUGGAAUAAAUUUUUCAAUGGUCUUUUGUCAUAAAUGUUGAAAUACGUGUGUGAGGCCCAACAAAUUUUAGCAUCUCCCACAUCUGCGAGUUCUUGGUAAAUGUGGCUCAUACCCACUAAUUGCAGCCUUCUGUCGACCUCCAAUAGUUUCAAUAUACAAUGUCGGUUUAGACAUGACGACUUUGUAGUCUAUUCAUAUAUUCAUGCUAUACCGCUUAAUGGCAAAUACGCACUCUUCCUUGGUUUCAAAUUUUUGACCCAUGAAAAAUCCUUAGGUUCGGAAUCUACGACCAACCGAUGAGCAGGUAGUAUAUCAGGAUACUCCAAAAACUUGACUAGAUGCGUAGCAUCGAGGUCUAUUAGCGACAUGUGUGCCCCAGGAUCAUUGCAUAUCACAAUGUGUCGAACCAGGUUUUUGACUGAAGACUCAUUAACAUUUCCAUCAUCAUUCGCGCCUUCGUCGUGGAUAUCAUCUGAGACCUCGUACACAUCGAGAUCACUAUCACCAUCGACCUCAUGAUCAGAAGGAUCACUACUAUUAGUUCCAUCAUCAGCAUCAGUCUCAAGUGCAACAUUAAGAUCGAUGUCGAACCCGCGUACAAUCGAUUGACAAUCAACAUAGGAUAUCGAAACCACCAUACACAGAUCUUGAACUCUAUGUUCGUCACAUAAUGGAGUGGGAUCUUCAGCUUGCUCCACAUCAGCUAACUCAGCAAAUAACUGAAUCAGUGCAUUUUGGUGGCUCUAAUUCCCACAAUAAAGAGGGACCAUUGCCUCCACGUCUUCAUCGUUUACAAGUUCCAUCUCGGUGAAUUUGAUGGGAUCUGUCAAAACUAGAAACUUUUAGAGAAGUUUCGAAAUCUUUCUCCCAUAACGUCUAACAAUUUUUGCACUAAUCAUUUCAUUCAUAUCAUAAACCAAGACAUUUCUAUUAAAUCUCAUUGCUAUUUGUUAGUGACAUUCAAAUAUACGUCCAACUGUUGUUGUCAAAAUUACUCCAUCAAAAUAAACACAUACAAAAAAUUGAUUAUCUAUCUUCAAUAUUAGAUCUGUUAAAAAAGAAAUAAAAAUUCUCAAUACAAUUUCAAGCAAAAUAAUUACUGUAAUAUAAAAUAUGAAUUUCAUAUCUACUAACCUAGUGAAUUCUUCUUUGUUUGUUUACUAUUCUUCUACAAAUUUUUUAUUGCUGUUAUUUGAAUUCUCAAAACUUUUUUCCCAAACACUGCUUAAAUAAUGGUUGAGAACAGGUGAUACCCACAAGAUUGGCACCACUGGUGCCACCUAUAACAUUGGAACCAAUAUUUUGGUGUCACCUUUCCCAUGGGCACCACCACCAAAACUUGUCCCAAGCCCGUAGUUAACAAUGUAUUGGAACCGUAUGGGAAAAAUACUUUGGUGUCGUCUAUCAACAAGGCUACACCAUUAAAAAUUUAUUUUUUUUAGCUGAAAGUGAUGGGUGUCAAAAUAUAGGGGUGGUGCUGCCUAUGCACCACCCUCCAGCACCCCUGGUAUACCAUUUCCGUAAAUAAUUUAGAUGGUAUACCAUUUUGGAACUUUUAAUUUUUUUUAUAUUAUUUAAGAAAAAAACCCAUUUUUGAGCAUAAUCAAUGCAAUAUCUUUCUAUGGUCGCCUAGAAGUACACAACCCUCAUGAUUUGUCUAGCCAUCAUAUGUUCAUUUGCGGGUGCAUCAUAUACCCUAUCAUGUACUUCUUCUAAUAUUCUUUAAGCUUCCUUAAAAUCUACACAUCUCAAUAGGAUAUGAUCUCGAUUUUUUUUUAUAUAACACCUCACCAUCUAAGAAGAAACUGAUAGAUAGUCUUUUGAUAAUUUGCUUAUCAUUUUCAUAAGCAUGUUUAGGGAAUUUCUGAAAUUUCAAGUAUUUCACAAUAUAAUAAUACUAUGGUCGUUCAUCUACUUCUUCUUCAAUGUCAAGGCAAUGAUCAAACAUUCUUUUAAUUUCCAAUUUGGAUGGUCACAGCUUUACUUCAUAGUUCAAUUUAUGUGCUCUUUCUUACUUAUCUCAUUUUGCUGUCGUGCACCGCAUCGCAUUAAUCUCCCGAACACCAAUAAUUAUAAGAUCAAGACCUUCCUCACUUAGAAAGGAUUAAAAUUGGUGGCUUAGAUAAGUAUUUGUUAACUUUCUUCGGCCCACUCACCACUAUCAUCCUUUCCAAGUAAUUUAAAUAAUGGAUCACAUUUCAACGUUAAGUGUGGAUGAAAUGAGAGAUAUAAUUUAAAAGUUAAAAAAAAAAAAAAAACCCUGCUCAUUAACAAAAUAAAAUUUUAAAAUCUUACUGUAGUACUAUGGGGUACCUAUUUAAGCAUAUUUAGUUGAACCCUCCGCCAGCCAAAAUUCCCUCCAAAAUUUCACCUAGAAUGAAUUUGUGAAAUUGCGAUUCUCUUCCCUUGGCAUCCCAGAAUGCAAACUCUAACCCUUUCCAAUAUCCUCCACCAGCACUUCCCUGAUGCUCUCCAUUUUUCGCUUCUCAAAUCCUCCAAAACCCACCAAGAAACCCAACAGCUCCACGCAUUUUCCCUCAAAACCGGCGUUUUCUCUCACCCCUCACUCUCUUCUCGUCUCCUUUCUCUCUAUGCCGACCCCAACAUCAACAACCUCCGCUACGCUCGCUCCGUUUUCGAUCGAAUCCAACACCCCUCGUUGGUUCUCUGGAAUAUCAUCCUCAAAUGCUACAUACAAAACCAACAAUCCCAUGAAGCUAUCUCCCUGUUCGUCCUUUGCUUGGUCAUUUUCCGCCUGAUGAAUUCACGUUUCCUUGCGUGAUUAAGGCAUGUGCUAAGUUAACUGCUUUGAAAGAAGGCAAACAAAUACAUGGGUUGGUUUUGAAGCUUGGCUUCGGAUUAGAUAAAUUUGUGCAGGCUAGUUUGGUUUAUUUGUAUUCCAAGUGCGGCAAGAUUGGUUCUGGUUACGCAGUGUUUGAUCAAAUGGAUGAGAAAGAUUUGGUUUCAUGGAAUUCUUUGCUUGAUGGGUAUGCAAGGUGUGGAGAAGUUAAGGCUGCCAUGAAGGUGUUUGAUGAAAUGCCUGAAAAGGAUUGUUUUUCAUGGACGGUUUUGAUUUAUGGGUUGGCGAAAUGUGGGGAGGUUGAGACUGCUAGAAAGAUAUUCGAGAACAUGCCAAAUAGGAAUUAGUUUCGUGGAAUACUAUGAUUAAUGGGUAUAUGAAAGCUGGAGAUACUAAUUCCGCUUGUAAAUUGUUUGAUCAAAUGCCCACAAGAAAUUUGAUCACGUGGAAUUCAAUGAUAGGGGGAUUCAAAUUGAACUUGCGCUUUUUGGAAGCUUUGGAAAUGUUUGAGAGAAUGUUGGAGGAGGAAUUUAGGCCCACUCACGCUACGUUAGUUAGUGUGAUUUCUGCUGUCUCUGGAUUAGCUAGUCUUGGCACGGGAAGAUUGAUACAUUCGUAUAUUGUUAAAAAUGGAAUCGAAUUAGAUGGGGUGGUUGGGACAGUGAUGAUCGAAAUGUAUUCCAAGUGCGGAGGCAUUGAUAGUGCGGUAACUGUUUUUCGGACAAUAAGCCACAAAAAGUUGGGGCAUUGGACUGCUAUAAUUGUAGGCUUGAGUAUUCAUGGCAUGGCUGACCAUGCUCUGAAGCUAUUUCUUGAAAUGCGAAGAAUUGGUGUGAAGCCUAAUGCUAUAACUUUUGUUGGUGUGCUUAAUGCUUGUAGUCAUGUUGGAUUGAUUAACGAUGGUCACAAAUAUUUUAAUAUGAUGAUAAAUGAAUAUGGAAUUAAACCUGCUAUAGAACAUUAUGGUUGUUUGGUGGACAUAUUAUGCUGAGCUGGUUGUCUUGAAGAAGCAAAAGAUAUCAUUGAAGAAAUGCCCAUGAGACCAAACAAAGUAAUCUGGAUGACAUUGCUUAGUGGUGCUAGGAACCAUAGAAACACAAAAAUAGGUGAAUAUGCUGCUCAACAUUUGAUUGAAUUGGCUCCAGAGACUACUGGUGGUUAUGUUGUCCUUUCCAAUAUGUAUGCUGUAGCAGGUGAGUGGGAGAAAGUUUCUGAGGUAAGAGAAAUGAUGAAGAAGAGAGGAUUAAGAAAAGAUUCCGGCUGCAGUUCAAUAGAGCAUAAAGGUGUGGUUCAUAACUUUAUUGUGGGAGAUAAAUCACAUCCGCAAACAAAAGAAAUUUAUUCCAAAUUGGCUGAGAUGAGAGAGAAAUUGAAAUUGGCAGGACAUGUUCCUGACACAAGCCAAGUGUUGUUGUAUAUCGAAGAGGAGGAAGAGAAAGAAGCAGAAUUGGAAAACCAUAGUGAGAGGUUGGCUAUUGCCUUUGGUCUCAUCAAUACUGAAGCUGGAUGUCCCAUUCGCAUCAUGAAGAACCUUCGUGUUUGUAGUGAUUGCCAUUCUGUCACUAAACUGCUUUCUAAAAUCUACAGACGUGAGAUUAUUGUGAGAGAUAAUAGCCGGUUUCAUCAUUUUAAAGAUGGAUUGUGUUCUUGCAAAGAUUUUUGGUGAUUACCUCAGAUGUUGGCUGGUAUUAUUGCCAUCUUUCAACAGGACUGAAAGGGAAGAUCCGCAUAAUAACUUUAAGGUCUUCAGGUUGUGUUUUGUCAUCACUUUUGAGGGUUUAUAGAAAUGGCUAGAUAUAUUUCUUGCGCUUUAUUUAUAUCAACUAACUGAACCAGCCACUUACUACAAAAUAAAACAUUUGCUUUAUGAUCUCAUCUCAUUUCAAGAAAGGUGCUAUUUCAGGGAAAAAGGAUAUGGAUUUAAUGAUACAACAGCUCAAAAGACUAGCAGUGAAUUACAUCAGUACACAGCAACAGAUGCUACAUAGCAAUUAAUGUUACAGCUUUCAGAGACAUAUCUAUAAUCUAAGUUCAUUUUCCGGGGACAAAGUUAGUGGCAUAAGCCCAUGCGUUGUUGGCCACCGGAUCGGCAAGGUGGUCAAAGAGGUUCUCAAUGGGACCCUUUCCUGUGACAAUAGCCUGGACAAAGAAUCCAAACAUGGAGAACAUUGCAAGGCGGCCAUUCUUGAUCUCCUUAACCUUCAAUUCUGCGAACGCGUCAGGAUCAUCAGCCAGUCCAAGUGGGUCGAAAGCACCACCUGGGUAAAUUGGGUCCAGUCCUUCACCGAGUGGUCCCCCACCAACUCUGUAUCCUUCAACAAAUCCCAUGAGCACAACUUGGCAAGCCCAGAUUGCAAGAAUGCUCUGAGCAUGGAUAAGGUUUGGGUUGCCAAGAUAGUCAAGGCCGCCCUCGGAGAAUAUUUGAGAUCCAGCUUUGAACCAAACUGCCUCUCCGAACUUAACUCCAUUCUUUGAAAGAAUUUCAGGGAAGACACAACCAAGGGCACCAAGCAUUGCCCAUCUGCAGUGGAUCACUUCAAGCUCACGGUUCUUAGCAAAUGUCUCUGGGUCAGCUGAUAACCCAGCAGUGUCCCACCCAUAGUCACCAGGGAAUUCACCUGUCAGGUAUGAUGGGAUUUGGUCUGAGAAUGGACCCAAGUACUUUGGGCGGUCAGGGCCGUACCUGUUUUUAAAACCAAACCGUAGGUAAUCAGAUCAAGAAGCAGAAAUAUAGUUCCGUUGCAUGAUUUCGCUUGUACAUGUUAUUUCUCUUUAAAUGUAUGGCUUAAAAUAAGGCAGAUUGCUGCUAGAUUGUACUGUACAAAUUGAAAUUUUUAGUCUGUUGUUUCACAAUAUUUGGGUUAACCAUCAAUGAUUAGACUAAAAAGAUCCUUAUAACAAAAUGCUACUAGUUAGUACUAGGAAGUAGUAACAAAAGUAUACCAGAUGCUGGUAGGGGCACUUUUCACAGUUCUGCGCAUGGUAACACGACCACCAUCGAAAGCUCCGACUUUGCGUAAGAGCUCAUUGGACUGCUUCAAAGCGGUCUGGCCAACGAAAGCAGAUUGUUGGAUAGCAGAGGUUGCCAUGGUGCCUAAGGCUUUAGGUUGACUUGGUUUGUUUGCCGAUGGUUA